rnacentral:lncRNA from 1 species
UGGUUCACAAGCGCAAGCCCGGGAGACCCCAGGAGAAAAGCCCGCCCCCAGCGGCCACCAGAGAGGAGCUGGAAUCCCGGGAGUCCCGGGAAGGCCCCUUGAAGGUGCUUGCGCUCCCGGCGCCAGGGGCCCCGUGUACUCACGCUGUCUCUGGCGACAAGAUGAUGAGACGCGCUCGCGCCCCCACCCGGCAUGCCAACGUUGUCUCCGACGACAAGAUCCGCGUUCGCGCCCCCACCCUGCAUGCAAACCGUGUCUCCGAUGACAAGAUGGUGAGCCGCACUUGCUUUCCCCUGUCCUACUAGUGAUUUGAAGUUAACCGGUGCCUAAUGAUUUGAAGUUACUGGCAAUCUUUAAUUUAGUCAUGUGAAUUGUACUAGUGCUUACUGAAUUACCUGAUGUGUAUGUGCAUGAACUACGUGGUGUGUAUAUGUCCUUGGAUUUUCUAAUCACUGCGGUCUAUCUGGCAUAUGGACAAGAACGAGAUGGCGAGCCGCGCUCGCGCCCCCACACGGCAUGCAAGCGCUGUAUCCGACGACAAGAUGGUGAGCCGCGCUCGCUGCUCCCCUUCUGCUACUAGUGAUUUGAAGUUAACCAGUGCCUAAUGACCUGGAGUUAUUGAUAAUCUUUAAUCUAGUCAUUUGAAUUACUAGUACUAGUGCUUAAUUUACUACCUGAUGUGUAUGUUCAAGAAUUACGUGAUGGGUAUAUGUCCUUGGACUUUCUAAUCGCUACGGUCUCAUCUGGCAGAUGGACAGGGACGAGAUGGCGCCGGACCAGGGGGUGCCACGCAUGCGGGGGAGCAUCGCGUCGUCAAGUGCGGUUGGUAAGUAUACUUUAUGCUGCUUUUUUUGUCAGUAUCGUCUCCAUGCAGGCUACACUGGCAAACAAGCAGCUUAGCUCUUGUGCAUGCUGUUUUUUUGUCAUCACUAGGGGCGUGUUUUGUUGCCGUGUGCUAUAGUACCUGCGUUGCAUACCAAUGGCGGAGCUAGCAUUUGACAUCAGGGUGGUCUGACCCCCGAAAAAAAAUUAACAAGAAAUAUGACAUCUGGGCAUUCUAAAUACUUACCAAUAUGACACAAGUUCUCCAGCUUGCUCUUCGGCCACAUCUCACAUAUUCAUUGCCUUCUUCUUCUUCCCUAUCUUCAUAGCUUCUCUUUGAAAAGAGAAACAAUGUCUCCGGUCCUCUUCACUCUUCAAAAAUUCUGCAAUAAAAUUUAGUUUCUAUCAAUAAAGCUAAUUGAGGCAGAAAUGAUAUGCAAAAUUAUGUAUGUGUUCAUCAAUUCAUGAUAGUGUAGUGCAAAAAAGCAAACCCUAAGUCAAAAAAUAUGGGGUUUCAGUACCUUAAAUUUGAUUUGCACAUUUGCUGCGAAUCUGUGAUGCUACCGCUGGACGGCUGGAGACUUGCUGGUGAGCGGCACCUUCAACGGUCGUCGGCUUUGCAGGGAGGGCCGAGGGGGCGCAGGCAGUGGGCGGGCGGGCGGCAGGGCCAGGCGGCCACGGCUCCUGCUGGUCAAGGGGCGCGGGCGAGCGGUGGAGCCAGAGACGUCCAUGAGCGCCGGGGGGGGGGAGGGGAGGCGGCCGGCGAGGAACGGCAGCGCAGCGGCGGUGAGGCGUGAGGCGAGGGCUUCGGGGCGUCCUCUCCUCUGCCUCGAUGUGGAAUGAGCAAAGUUUCAAAUCGCGGGCGAAAUUGGCGCUAUUGCUGCUCUAUCGCGGCUGGAGAGGCUUCCUGCUAUGCUAUGUCAAAUUUUCCGCAAUUUGCCGCUACCGCCGCGAUCGCCGCGUGAAACAGCAAUAAGUGGCUUAGCUGUCACUGCAGUUUCGCUGGAAUGGCUGAGAUCGAUUUUAACAGGCUGAAACAGAGGCCCAGAACAAAUCGUAGCCCAAAUUUCCUCUGAUAGAGCAGCCUGUCCAGAAACCUUAUCUUCAUUAAAUCCUCUCGCUCCCAUCUAAAAAACUUGCGGCGGCUGCGGCUAGGCGGGCCGGCGUCUGCUUCGCAGCAAGCCGGAGUCAGCGACGAGCGAGGCGGCGACCAGGACUCCGACAGGAGGCUGCAUACUCCGUAGCUCUAGUACUCUGUCUGUUUGCUGUUAUUGAUCCAUCCUAGUCCGUUUGCUGAUUUAGUACGGAUGUUGUCUUUUUAUUUGCGGGGAGGAUAUUGACUUAUUUAUGACUGAAUUUAUACUGCCAAUCCUCUGUUUUCUGCUGAAAAUCCUCUGUUUUUUAGACAAAAAACAUGCAUAUGUACUUUUGCCGCUAAAUACCUUAGCGGCCGCUAUCGCCCGCUAUAGCGGCCCUAGCGUUUUGAUGAGCCAGCCGCGAAAUGCUUUUGCCCGUGAUCUUAAAGUUUGGGAACGAGGGGUCGUGGCCUCGUGGGCUAUGGCUGAACGACAGAAUGAGGGCUGGCAGUGUAUAUUGGGCCAUCUGUUUUUUUGGCCCAGUUAAAUACCCAUGGUAGGCUGCUCCAAAAUCCCAGGGUGGGCCGCGGCCCACCCUGGCCACCCUGUAGCUCCGUCCAUGUUGCAUACCCUUCUCCACUCAGUCUGGCUCUGAAAAAACAGCCUCAUAUGCAACAUCUGCGAGUUGUUUGGUUGCCUGCAUGUCCUCUUACCUGCAUGGGCUGAACCACACUGCCUGAUGUUUGAUUGCCCGCAUGUUAGUGGACAAACCCAAGGCAAGGUGUUUGGUUGUAUGCAACGCCUGGUGCGUGGUAACCUCUUUGGCUAGUUGGUGCGGUUACCAGCACACUUCGGCACAACCAUGUAUAGCACACAUCAUAAGCAGAGCAGAGUAUAAACAGAGCAUCAACUACUUAACAGCAUAAUUCAGAUAAGCAGUACCACACUUCAUAACAGUUCAACGCCUAAACCCUAAACAGUUCAAAGCAGACUCCUUGGCGGCGAAGGCUUCAUCGUGCUUCCCGCAAUUGCUGACGACCACAAUGCGAUCCUCGUUGAAGAUGGUGACCUUGAGGGUGUAGGGAGUGAGGAGCUUGAACGUCACCAUGUAGUCGAUCUUGAUCUGAUGAACGGCUGCGUGGGUGUCCCAACCCUGAUCCAGGGUCACCCUGUCGUUCACCAGCUUCACCGUCACCUUCAAGGACCAGCCGGUGUUUUUCCUGAGCUUAAACUCUGUCGGCACCGCAACGAAGUGCAUGGUGAAGUCCAGGGGCAUGGGGAUGCACUCAAGCUUCGGUGCAAGGAUGACGUUGCAGAAGUGAGUCGGGCCAUCCUCCUGAUGGUAGUGGUCGUAGUUGCGGCGCUUGUUGCUGGGGGGCACCUCCAUGCCCUCGUCGUCGCCACCCUCAAGCGUCUUCGGGUCUUCCUCGGCAGUGGGCGGCAGCACAACCUCGUCGGGCAUUGGGUGAAGGGGCUGCUUGCCCCUGUUCUCAACAGCCGGGAGCACCUCAUUGCUCUCCUCGAUCUGCACACAAUUCAUGGAUUCAGGCACAACACAGAGUUCAUGGCUUAUUGAAGAGCAUGCAGUUAAAACGGCAUGACUGUCACUCUUCUCCUCCUCUCCAUCGCCCCUAUAUUUACUCACCCUGCCCAACACUACUUACCCACCCCCUCUCUUCUCUCACUGUCACCUUCCUCCUCCCCAUCGCCAUGAGCUCUAGCUCCAGCUCGGAUGCCAACCCCUUCCCUUGGGGUAUUGGCGGGACAGCCUUCUUCCUAGGGUGGUCGAUUGGUGACCGCACCAAGUUCGAGAACACCAUGGAGGUGUGCUCGAACUUCGGCUCCAUGCCUGACAUGCAGAAGGAAUCUAAUGCAGUGCUCAUGAAGGCCACUGCAGAAGAGCUGAAGACGCCGAUUCCUGACCCAGCGAAGGGCGCGAUGGAAGUUGAUAUCAUUCGCGGGGCCAUGAAUUUGGCCGUCUCCGACGACGCUAAACAGAGAAAGAAGUGGUGCAGGUACAAGAACUAUUGGGCCCCUAAUGACCGCCAUGCCGCAGUGUACUGGGAGACGGCUAUCGCGCCUCCGGCGGUCAUCGGUGGGGAGCCUAAGAAGGAGGACAAGGAGGAAGAACCGGUGCAGAUGCCGGCAAGGGAGCCGGAGCCAGGUUGUCGUACCUGGAAGAUCGACCUCGACUCCUCCUAGGACGCCGACGACGACGACGUGCCACCCCGCACGACGAUGAAGAAGAAGAUGAAGGCCAGCCAGUCCACCCGCCGCUCCGCACGCCGGUGAUGGCGGCCGCGGUUAUGUACCCCCAAUCCCCCAAUCCCCCUUCUACUAUGUGCUACUAUUCGGAUCUACCUCUAUUCCGAUCCUGGAGGAACUACUAUGAACUCCUAGGUACUUGUAUGAACUAGUAUGCUUAUCUACCUCUAUUCCCCAUUCCCCUCUGCGCCGUGGAUCGAAUCUACCACCGGAUCAAACGCGAAAAAUUAGUGUGUGAUGAACAGAGAAGUUCUUACCGCCAUUGUCGCUGCCCAGGCGAUCCGCUCGCCUGUGAUGGAGUCCGGUGGUCUUCUUACUUUGCUCCGAUCCGCCGCCACCGAUGAGAGUUGCGAGAGUAGGGAGAGUGGGGAGAGGGAGCGGUGAGGGGCAGUGAGGCUAAUAACAGUCGGCGCUUCGGGAAGCAACGCAGCUUCUCGAGCAUGGCCGCGCGCGUGCAACCACCGCCGCCCACAUGCACCGCUCGGGCCUGGCCCUAGAGAAACUGCCGAUUCGGGCGUUUCCAGCGAGCCAGGCCUAGGACUGUUUUAAGGUCCGUGCCAUGCGGGCCGAAUAGUGAAAGCAGGCAACCAAACAGGCCGGAUUCUUCCCGCGCGGGCCUGGUUGGGCCUCAUGCAGGCAACCAAACACGCCCUAGUAUACUGAUAUUGGACUGAAGCUUGUUAGCUCUGUCCAUGCUGGGCCUUUUUGUCAUCAUUAGUAUUGUUAUAUAUUAGCUGAAGCUGCACAUGUUUUCUUUCCGUUGACGUUGGUGCGGGCGGUGCUACGCGUCAGUCGGCCGAUGGAUGGCCGCCUUACUCACCUGAUUUUAAUCAAGUCCGACCUAGCUGUAGUUUGUUUUGUCACUAGCUGCGUAUACAUAGGCGAGCUCCAGCACUGUGUUGCAGCGUGGAAAACAUAUGAACUCUAAUAAGAAACAUACAAUGGUUAGAAACAUAUCCACAUCUUUUUUUGGGCACGUUUUAGGUGUCAACGAAAUUAGUCGGAUCGCCAGCAGUCGAAUUGACACAUGGAGCAUUGGAUCACACUACACGGCAGCAGAGAGAAUGCAAACUGUGUUUCUCCAUAGCCUCCACAAUACAUGUGUAUCCGCCACACCUUCCCCAUCGUCGCAACAGACAAUUACGUCGGCCCCUCGCAACACCUUGCUUCGGUACCCUGGAGAUCCCUGAUGUUGCUUAGCUAUCCUGCAAGUACCCUAGAGACCCAAAGUGCCAAGCACCUGAGACCUAUCAUUUGGAUACUUUAUACCUAAGAUAUUAUUUACCAAAACCAUACCUGAGACAUUUUCCCCAAUGCAGGCGGGGCCGAUGAAAAGUCGAACCCCUUGCCAACCUACUCAAAAGGUGUACACGGUCUCCCUCCGUCCCGAAAUACUUGUCGGAGAAAUGGAUAUAUCUAGAUGUAUUUUAGUUUUAGAUACAUCCAUUUUUAUGCAUUUGUACGGCAAGUAUUUCCGGACGGAAGGAGUAGUAACUAUAUAUUUGUUUCUAAAUAUAAGAAAAAUUACUAUUAAAUACUACUAUACCAAAGAUAUAAGAUCAUUAAAUACUAGUAUAUCAAAGAUAUACCUAAAUAUAAGAAUAUUUAAUAGUAGUAUACCGAAGAUAUUCUACAGUUAAAUUCUAUUAACUCUGUUCCAAAAUAUAAGAAUAUUACUAUAAAAUACUAUUAGCUGUAUUCAAAUAAUUAGUAAUAGAAAUAAUAUUCUUUAGUAGUGAUAUAUCUUUAUUCAUCAUUAAAUAUAAGAAUAUUACUAGUAUUAAAUACUAGAAUCCCAAAGAUAUAUCUACUAGUAUACCAAAGAUAUACAACAAUCAAUAUUACCUCUGUUCCAAAAUAUAAGACUGUUACUGCUACCUCCGUCUGAAAAUAUUUGUAGUCAAAAUGAAUAAAAGAGGAUGUAUCUAGAUGUAUUUUAGUUCUAGAUACAUCCCUUUCUAUCUGUUUUGAUCACAAGUAUUUUUGGAUGAAGGGAGUAUUAAAUACUAUCACAGCUAUUCUUAUAUUUAGUAACAGAGAUAAUAGUAUUUAAUAGUAGUAUAUCAUUGUUCCUAAAUACUCCCUCCGUCCCAAAAUUCUUGUCUUACAUUUGUCUAGAUACGGAUGUAUCUAACACUGAAAUGUAACUAGAUACAUUUGCAUUUAGAAAAAUCGAAGAAAAGAAUUUGGGGACCGUGGGAGUAUAAGAAUAUUACUAUUAAAUACUAGUAUGCCAAAUAUAUAUUUAAUACUAUACCAAAAUAUAAGAAUAUUUAAUAGAAAUAUACCAAAAAUAUGCUACUAUUAAAUGCUGGUAUUAAAUAAAUAAAUCUGUAGUUCAACACGCGGUCCCCACCUUGGCCCGUGCCUUUUGUUUCAGUUCAUAAAGGACGACACAUGCUUCUGCUCCUCGCUCACAUUCUACUCAUCCCGCUCUCAUUGACCAACUCUGCGUGUCUGCUCGACCGAUCCACCGCAAUGUCUAGCUCCGGCGUCAAUGCCAUACCCGCAACCAACCAUGAGGAGCAGAGCCUGGCGGCCCCCGCUCCGCCCCCUGCGGCCGCGAUCGCCCAGGGGAAAGGGAAGGUGCUUGUGCAACAGGUGCCUGCGCCAGUGGUUCACAGGCGCAAGCCCGGGAGACCCCAGGAGACAAGCCCGCCCCCAGCGGCCACCAGAGAGGAGCUGGAAUCCCGGGAGUCCCGGGAAGGCCCCUUGAAGGUGCUUGCGCUCCCGGCGCCAGGGGCCCCGCGUACUCACGCUGUCUCUGGCGACAAGAUGAUGAGACGCGCUCGCGCCCCCACCCGGCAUGCCAACGUUGUCUCCGACGACAAGAUGGUGAGCCGCGUUCGCGCCUCCACCCUGCAUGCAAACCGUGUCUCCGAUGACAAGAUGGUGAGCCGCACUUGCUUUCCCCUCUCCUACAAGUGAUUUGAAGUUAACCGGUGCCUAAUGAUUUGAAGUUACUGGCAAUCUUUAAUUUAGUCAUGUGAAUUGUACUAGUGCUUACUGAAUUACCUGAUGUGUAUGUGCAUGAACUACGUGGUGUGUAUAUGUCCUUGGAUUUUCUAAUCGCUGUGGUCUAUCUGGCAUAUGGACAAGAACGACAUGGCGAGCCGCGCUCGCGCCCCCACACGGCGUGCAAGCGCUGUAUCCGACAACAAGAUGGUGAGCCGCGCUCGCUGCUCCCACUCUGCUACUAGUGAUUUGAAGUUAACCAGUGCCUAAUGACCUGGAGUUAUUGAUAAUCUUUAAUCUAGUCAUUUGAAUUACUAGUACUAGUGCUUAAUUUACUACCUGAUGUGUAUGUUCAAGAAUUACGUGAUGGGUAUAUGUCCUUGGACUUUCUAAUCGCUACGGUCUCAUCUGGCAGAUCGACAGGGACGAGAUGGCGCCGGACCAGGGGGUGCCACGCAUGCGGGGGAGCAUCGCGUCGUCAAGUGCGGUUGGUAAGUAUACUUUAUGCUGCUUUUUUUGUCAGCAUCGUCUCCAUGCAGGCUACACUGGCAAACAAGCAGCUUAGCUCUUGUGCAUGCUGUUUUUUUGUCAUCACUAGGGGCGUGUUUUGUUGCCGUGUGCUAUAGUACCUGCGUUGCAUACCAGUGGCGGAGCUAGCAUUUGACAUCAGGGUGGUCCGACCCCCGAAAAAAAAUUAACAAGAAAUAUGACAUCUGGGCAUUCUAAAUACUUACCAAUAUGACACAAGUUCUCCAGCUUGCUCUUCGGCCACAUCUCACAUAUUCAUUGCCUUCUUCUUCUUCCCUAUCUUCAUAGCUUCUCUUUGAAAAGAGAAACAAUGUCUCCGGUCCUCUUCAUUCUUCAAAAAUUCUGCAAUAAAAUUUAGUUUCUAUCAAUAAAGCUAAUUGAGGCAGAAAUGAUAUGCAAAAUUAUGUAUGUGUUCAUCAAUUCAUGAUAGUGUAGUGCAAAAAAGCAAACCCUAAGUCAAAAAAUAUGGGGUUUCAGUACCUUAAAUUUGAUUUGCACAUUUGCUGCGAAUCUGUGAUGCUACCGCUGGACGGCUGGAGACUUGCUGGUGAGCGGCACCUUCAACGGUCGUCGGCUUUGCAGGGAGGGCCGAGGGGGCGCAGGCAGUGGGCGGGCGGGCGGCAGGGCCAGGCGGCCACGGCUCCUGCUGGUCAAGGGGCGCGGGCGAGCGGUGGAGCNNNNNNNNNNGGCGUGAGGCGAGGGCUUCGGGGCAUCCUCUCCUCUGCCUCGAUGUGGAAUGAGCAAAGUUUCAAAUCGCGGGCGAAAUUGGCGCUAUUGCUGCUCUAUCGCGGCUGGAGAGGCUUCCUGCUAUGCUAUGUCAAAUUUUCCGCAAUUUGCCGCUACCGCCGCGAUCGCCGCGUGAAACAGCAAUAAGUGGCUUAGCUGUCGCUGCAGUUUCGCUGGAAUGGCUGAGAUCGAUUUUAACAGGCUGAAACAGAGGGCCAGAACAAAUCGUAGCCCAAAUUUCCUCUGAUAGAGCAGCCUGUCCAGAAACCUUAUCUUCAUUAAAUCCUCUCGCUCCCAUCUAAAAAACUUGCGGCGGCUGCGGCUAGGCGGGCCGGCGGCUGCUUCGCAGCAAGCCGGAGUCAGCGACGAGCGAGGCGGCGACCAGGACUCCGACAGGAGGCUGCAUACUCCGUAGCUCUAGUACUCUGUCUGUUUGCUGUUAUUGAUCCAUCCUAGUCCGUUUGCUGAUUCAGUACGGAUGUUGUCUUUUUAUUUGCGGGGAGGAUAUUGACUUAUUUAUGACUGAAUUUAUACUGCCAAUCCUCUGUUUUCUGCUGAAAAUCCUCUGUUUUUUAGACAAAAAACAUGCAUAUGUACUUUUGCCGCUAAAUACCUUAGCGGCCGCUAUCGCCCGCUAUAGCGGCCCUAGCGUUUUGAUGAGCCAGCCGCGAAAUGCUUUUGCCCGUGAUCUUAAAGUUUGGGAACGAGGGGUCGUGGCCUCGUGGGCUAUGGCUGAACGACAGAACAAGGGCUGGCAGUGUAUAUUGGGCCAUCUGUUUUUUUGGCCCAGUUAAAUACCCAUGGUAGGCUGCUCCAAAAUCCCAGGGUGGGCCGCGGCCCACCCUGGCCACCCUGUAGCUCCGUCCAUGUUGUAUACCCUUCUCCACUCAGUCUGGCUCUGAAAAAACAGCCUCAUAUGCAACAUCUGCGAGUUGUUUGGUUGCCUGCAUGUCCUCUUACCUGCAUGGGCUGAACCACACUGCCUGAUGUUUGAUUGCCUGCAUGUUAGUGGACAAACCCAAGGCAUGGUGUUUGGUUGUAUGCAACGCCUGGUGCGUGGUAACCUCUUUGGCUAGUUGGUGAGGUUACUAGCACACUUCGGCACAACCAUGUAUAGCACACAUCAUAAGCAGAGCAGACUAUAAACAGAGCAUCAACUACUUAACAGCAUAAUUCAGAUAAGCAGUACCACACUUCAUAACAGUUCAACGCCUAAACCCUAAACAGUUCAAAGCAGACUCCUUGCCGGCGAAGGCUUCAUCGUGCUUCCCGCACUUGCUGACGACCACAAUGCGAUCCUCGUUGAAGAUGGUGACCUUGAGGGUGUAGGGAGUGAGGAGCUUGAACGUCACCAUGUAGUCGAUCUUGAUCUGAUGAACGUUCACCAGCUUCACCGUCACCUUCAAGGACCAGCCGGUGUUUUUCCUGAGCUUAAACUCUGUCGGCACCGCAACGAAGUGCGUGGUGAAGUCCAGGGGCAUUGGGAUGCACUCAAGCUUCGGUGCAAGGAUGACGUUGCAGAAGUGAGUCGGGCCAUCCUCCUGAUGGUAGUGGUCGUAGUUGCGGUGCUUGUUGCUGGGGGGCACCUCCAUGCCCUCGUCGUCGCCACCCUCAAGCGUCUUUGGGUCUUCCUCGGCGGUGUGCGGCAGCACAACCUCGUCGGGCAUUGGGUGAAGGGGCUGCUUGCCCCUGUUCUCAACAGCCGGGAGCACCUCAUUGCUCUCCUCGAUCUGCACACAAUUCAUGGAUUCAGGCACAACACAGAGUUCAUGGCUUAUUGAAGAGCAUGCAGUUAAAACGGCAUGACUGUCACUCUUCUCCUCCUCUCCAUCGCCCCUAUAUUUACUCACCCUGCCCAACACUACUUACCCACCCCCUCUCUUCUCUCACUGUCAACCUUCCUCCUCCCCAUCGCCAUGAGCUCUAGCUCCAGCUCGGAUGCCAACCCCUUCCCUUGGGGUAUUGGCGGGACAGCCUUCUUCCUAGGGUGGUCGGUUGGUGACCGCACCAAGUUCGAGAACACCAUGGAGGUGUGCUCGAACUUUGGCUCCAUGCCUGACAUGCAGAAGGAAUCUAAUGCAGUGCUCAUGAAGGCCACUGCAGAAGAGCUGAAGACGCCGAUUCCUGACCCAGCGAAGGGCGCGAUGGCAGUUGACAUCAUUCGCGGGGCCAUGAAUUUGGCCGUCUCCGACGACGCUAAACAGAGAAAGAAGUGGUGCAGGUACAAGAACUAUUGGGCCCCUAAUGACCGCCAUGCCGCAGUGUACUGGGAGACGGCUAUCGCGCCUCCGGCGGUCAUCGGUGGGGAGCCUAAGAAGGAGGACAAGGAGGAAGAACCGGUGCAGAUGCCGGCAAGGGUGCAGAUGCCGGCAACAUACAACCAUGAUUCUCAGAAAUAGACCAUCAUGGAGCCGACAAUGGUGGCCAUGAUAGGCUAGUGAAAAGCACACUGGUGAUCAACCUUACAACACUAAACAAAAUAUUGCAACAUGAGGUAACCCCAACUUUGUAGCACUGGUCCACCAUUUUCAACCACCUUGUAGCAAUGAACAGUUCACUGACCAAUAGCAUUGCUGCAUCAAGUGACCGGCUUCCAGCACUGAACACCCGCGCUUGCAGCACCACGAUGAUCGAUGGUCGGCCUUUCUACAUUAUUAGUUAACAUUGCACACCUCGUCUCCAUUUUUAUGUACAUACACAUGAGUGAGCUUGGAACAUUAGUAACGUAUCAACAUUACCAAACAUGAAGAUGAUAAAUUUGUUUCUCCAAUCAUCGACAUUACUGAAUAAGCGAGCAACUGCACAUCCACCACACGAGCCAUAAUUUUUUAGCUCUGCGACAACAUCUUAUAGUUGCAAAAGAGCUGACGAUAAUGGUUUAGAAUGUAUGUGAUCAAAAUAGAUUCAAUGGAGGGGAGGGUGGACUACCUAUGUUGAAUCAGACUAGCUGCAAGGUCACAAGUGCCUUGUCUAAAUAGCCAAAAAGACAAAACGAGGCCCCCUGGAUUCUCCAUCCUGAAGCUAAGCAUAACUCCAACUCCACACACGCUCGGGGGCUACUAAAGGUGCAAUACGCUAGGGGUAUCUUCUGGGUGGGAAGCCUGGUAGCAGGCCUGCCUUAGGGCACAAGAGGCCAAGUGGAGGAUCAGUACAAUAGGGUAGCUCAGGAGCCCAGAUAAGGACCGUGAGAGCAUCUUGGCAGGCAAGCUAAGAUGGUAGUGGUAUGAGAUCUGAUGGAUUCCUUUUAAACCUAGCCCUUGCCACCUAUAUAAGGAGGGGCUCGGGGUUGUCAUUCACAUAUACUCUCAUAGACUGUACUCUCUGUAGCAUUAUACUUCAUCACCACUCUAAACCCCUCGCAUAAGGUGCUCCACCAAGAAUAAAAAUCAGAUACAUGAUGUUGGGCAUUACCUCUCACCGAGGGCCCGAACCUGGGUAAAAACCUUUGUGUGAACUCCUUUGUCGUGUAUCCGUACAAGUUCACCACCCUACUAUGGGUAUUCACGGUUUUACAUAUUGUCACAUAGUUAAGUUCUGACACAUUUUCUCUGGGGGGUUGAAGCAACUCAUGGUGUAAAUAGGUGUUUCUUGAAGCACUGAUUCUACUAGCACCUCCUUUCCCGGCUUCGAGAUAUCUUGUCCUUCCUAUCCAACCACUUUGCCAUUUGAGCUUUCUUUAAGAUGUUUAAAAUUUCCUUCAUUUGACCUGCCCACCAUGGUUGGGAGCCAAAAUAAUGCUCGCUCAAUGCCUUAGGAUCUGUGCAAAGAUAUUUACAACAACUUUGUCCUCCUAUUUGCCUCAGUUCCCAAAGAAUGUUGAGGCUUUUUGAAAAUUGCCCAUUUUUUCCGAGGCCCACUCAUAGUCAAAGAGGAUAUAUUUAAGGUUAAAAGUUGUCAUUUGACGGUUGAAGAAAUACUAUACUAUCAUCUGCAGAAAUAAGAUGGGCUACAUGGGGGUUAGUGCUCCCAAAAGAUAUACCAUUGAUCUCUUUAUCUUUCAGCAUUCAUGAGAAAGGUCGAAAAACUCGCAAGAUAGAAAAUAAAAAAAUAGGGAGACCAUGGGUCUCCUUGCCAGAGCCCUCUUCAUAGUGUACAAAAUACAUAACACACUCCAUUCAAUUUGAUAGAAAACCUGGCAGGGGUACCACACAUCAUAAUCAUCAAGAUCAACCUAUCUGAGAAACCAAGUGCCCUCAUCACCGGGUCGAGGAAAAUCCAAACCACCCUCUUAUAUGCCUUCAUCAUGUAUAGUUUAACUGCGAACAUUGGAUUUUUCUAUUUGUUGAAUGAACAUACUUUGCUCCUGCGUGAACAUUAUGGAUAGGACAACCAUCAAUCUCUUUGCUAGGCCUUUGAAGCAAUCUGACUGAGUGUGUUCAAUAAGUUGAUUGAUGCCAUUUGAGGAAGUAUCUCCAUUGAGGUAAUUUUGGGGAUCAGGACUAGAACCAUAUCACUAAAGUUUGUUGAAAUAACUCCAUUAAAAGAAUCACCUAUUACUAUGUGUACAUCAUAUUUUUAGAAGUAACUCGUGAAAUUAGUAAACAUAAGUGAGAGGUUGUCUAGCCCCUGCGCUCUUGCCAGUCAAAUUUAGAAUAGUGCAUUCUCAAUUUAUACAUCCAUCACGUCCGUGUUCACCCUCUCCUCCAUAUCACUAGUCACAGAGGGUCGGAUGUGAGCUAAGAUGUUGUCAGUAUCAGCAGAGGCUUCUGAACAGAACAACUAAGCAUAGAAAUCGGCCGAAAUCUUUCCCAUCUCAUUGUCAAUAGUACAACUCAUGCCAUCCGCCCUCAUGUUUUGAUCGUCUUCCUUGAGAAAUUCCAGUCGGGAACAUUGCAUACACAUUAUUUGUUCAUGUGCAUGAACCACAUGAAGCUACCCUUCAAUCUUGCUGGUCUUCAUCGAGGAUGUCUGGAUCCCAAUGCUCUACCCUUUCCAUCGAAGUUGGACCUUGUGCCUAGUAAUCUCACAACAUACAAGACAAAAUACAGAGCCAUUUCAAUGUAUCAUAUCAUUGGUGAAAUUGUUACGCUUCCUGUAGAGCUCACUCUGGCCGGAAUUGUUAUCACAUGCAUACUAUCAUGCCUCCAUGUGCAUCCACCUCUCCUCAAACGUUAAUGCCCUCUUCUUACUUUUGGUAAUGACUAGGUUUUCUAGCACUCUACUAACGAGUGAACCAUGGUCUGGUCCUCCAUGACAACAUGUUCAAUGGGUGUAUCCUACAAUGAAUGAACAAAUUCAUCAUUGCAUGGACCCGUGUCCACAUGUAUGUAAAUGAUCUCAUCCCACUCCCUCUUAUUGUCCCAAGUGAACACGUUGCUACUAAAACAAAGGUUUGAAAUGCUAUUAUUGUCUACACUCUCCCUAAUGCGCUCCAUUUGUGUGAAACUUCUAAAGUAAUCUCCUAGUUGUUGGGAUUAAAAGAAUUCUUUGUUGAGGUAUCAUUGUAACAGAUAAAUGUAUUAUUAGGAUCUAGUCUCUCAGAGCCUCCCUUAGCUAUACAAAUUUUCUUCAAUCUCUCUUCCUAUCCAGUAGCUUUAGGUGAUAAUCCUUGUGAUGCCUUUCGUGGUCACCAUCACCUUGGCUCGUCAUAUGAAUAAAAGUGCCUGGUCUGUGUAGCUUAGAGGUAGAUGGGUCAUAUUUCCCAAUGGCCUUGACCCUUUCCCUUAUAGAUUUUUUUAUGUCUUGCUCCCUUUCAUGCUCCUCUCUCAGGUCCCACUUCCUUUUUAGAUUGAAAUCAUCCCUUAGUUCACAAUCAUGUCACAGAUCUUGCCUACAUGGGUCCUCCCUGCACUUCAUGUUAGACAAUUACCCUCUACAAGACCAUCUCGAGGAUCCUCACCAGAGAGAGAGUCCAUAGAGGGUGUAUAAUCAUUGUAUGACCUGCACCUAAAUGGACGGACAUGCAACGCUACAUGACCCCUGCACCCAUAGACGCCCUUGCUUGACCUAGUGAUCCCAAAACUAAAUUUCAUGUUUUUUGUCACCGGCCUCUACUUUGUUUUUGUCUGUGAGGAGCCAUGUCCAAGUGAUGCCCUGUAACGCCCAAUAUGCGAUACUAUCCUAAAGAGACUCGAAGGUCCCACCAAGGAUAGAAUCGCAGAUUGAAACGCUUUUGCAAGGUGGAUAUCAUUACCUCAACAUUACAUAAUAGAUGGGGAUACAAACAAAAGGCAUACAAUGCCACACGAAUACAACAUCAUCUUACAUAAGAACACCAUCCGACUACGGAUGAAACACAAACAGAAACUCAAACGACAUCCACCCUGCUAGCCCAGGCUGCCGACCUGGAACCUAUCCCCUGAUCGAAGAAGAAGCAGAAGAAGAACUCCAAAACCAUCAAACAUCGCUCUCGCAUCAUGACCAUCACAAAACCUGUACCUGCAACUGUUGUUGUAGUAAUCUGUGAGCCACGAGGACUCAGCAAUCCCAUUACCAUGGGUAUCAAGACUAGCAAAGCUUAAAGGGAAAGGAAGGGGUAAAGUGGUGACUGGUGAGGUUGCAGCAGCGACUAAGCAUAUAUGAUGGCUAACAUACGCAAAUAAGAGCGAGAAGAGAAGCAACGGAAUGGUCGUGAAGCUAGCAAUGAUCAAGAAGUGAUCCUGAACUCCUACUUACGUCAAACAUGACCCAAAACCGUGUUCACUUCCCGGACUCCGCCGAAAAGAGACCAUCACGGCUACACACACGGUUGAUGCGUUUUAAUUCGGAUCUGGUGUCAAGUUAUCUACAACCGAACAUUAACAAAUUCCCAUGUGCCACAUAACCGCGGGCACGACUUUCGAAAGUUUAUACCCUGCAGGGGUGUCCCAACUUAGCCCAUCACAAGCUCCCAUGGUCAACGAAGGAUAUACCUUCUCCCAGGAAGACCCGAUCAGACUCGGAAUCGCGGUUUACAAGACAUUUCGACAAUGGUAAAACAAAACCAGCAAAACCUCUCGAUGUGUCGAUAAAUCCAGAUAGGAGCUGCAAAUAUCUCGUUCUCAGGGCACACCGGAUGAGCCAGACGUCGGGUUGGCAUAGACCCUGGUUGCCCAGGGGGUGCCGGACAUCGCUCGGUUUAGACCAGCACUUGGAGAAGCACUGGCCCGGGGGGGGGCUAAAAUAAAGAUGACCCUCGGGCUCCGGAAACCCAAGGGAAAAAGGGCUAGGUGAGGCAAAUGGUAAAACCAAGGUUGGGCCUUGCUGGAGGAGUUUUAUUCAAAGCGAACUGUCAAGGGGGUCCCAUAAAUCACCCAACCGCGUAAGGAACGCAAAAUCCGGGAACAUAACACCGGAAUGACGGAAACUAGGGCGGCAAGAGUGGAACAAAACACCAGGCAUAAGGCCGAGUUUUCCACCCUUUACCAAGUAUAUAGAUGCAUUAAUUAAAAUAAGAGAUAUUGUGAUAUCCCAACAUUAUCAUGUCCACCAUGGAGCAAUCUUCAACUUCACCUGCAACUAGCAACGCUAUAAGAGGGGUUGAGCAAAGCGGUAACAUAGCCAAGCAACGGUUUGCUAGGAAGGGUGGAAAUGUUAGAGGCUGACAUGGCAAUUUGGGAGGCUUGAAGAGCAAUUGGUAGGUAGCGCUGCAAAGCGAUAAAACGAAGCAACUAGCAUAGCAAUGAUAGUAGUGAGAUCCAGGGUAGCGGUCAUCUUGCCCGAAAUCCCGCAAGGAAGAAGAACGAUUCCAUGAAGAAGGUGAAGCCACGAAGACGAACCAAGCGUAGACGAACGAAUCCUCAUGAUCGCAAUGAAACGGGAACUAUCGAGAAGAAGCACACAACAUAGUAAACACACGACACAUGAACAAGGCAUGAUGCUCAACCAAGUAUGAUGCAUGACAGGGCUACAUGAAGCUACUCAUGGCAAGAGAUGAUGCAAACACGAGCAACACAUCAAGGCAAGUUUAAAUGAGGCCGGGAACAACAUAUAACAAUUCCGGUAAGUCCUCAUAUGCAAAUUUCGAAAUAGGUCCAGAUCUGAAUAAACCUUAUGUUCAAGUUGUUAAAUAGCAAGAUAAGAUACACCAAGAUGAUCUACACAAGAUUCUAGUCAAGUUACGUAUAAAGUUCAUUUAGUUCGGAGCUACGGCCUAGAAGAUAUGAGCAAAAAAAGUUAAACAUGGCAUUGAUGCAAAAUGCAUACAAACAUCUAGCAAACACAUCUAAACAAGGAUGCAACAUGUUAAUAUGAAACUACAUCCAAUUCUAAGCAAGUUUCAUAUAGAGCACACUCAAAACGGAGCAACGGUGCAACACAUACACUCCAAACAAGACAUAACAACAAUCUGCCCAAAACAGCAACUAGGCAUCUAGCAAGCAUCAAAACAAUAUGCUACAACACCCCAACGUAAGAACAAAAGGUAUGGGCAUGAUGUACAUGUAAAUCAUGACAAAACAUGAACACUGACCUAUCUCCAGAAAACACUAGAACAUGCUCAAAAAGGCAUGGCAACAUUGCAAGUAAUAACAGUUUACAGGCUUAGCAGAAAUAACAUCAGGUUGCAAUGUUUAGAGCUAUCAAACAACAUGUUACAUGAACAUAUCAUAGAAACUUAAGGCAUGACAUGAUUCUAAUGAAUGCAUAGAACAAAAGUACUUUACUGACCAUGAGCCAAAAGGGCACAGAAAAUAUGAUGGCAGCCAUGUAAACAUGGCAAGUUAUAUGACAGAUUCAAACAUGGCAGGAACAACUAUAAGUAGGCAUGUUGGUGAGCUUGUACCACUUACCACAGAGCAUUACAUGGCAUGAUAAGGCAACCAACAGUAAUAAUACAUGUUUAUGAAGCUAAGCAUGGCAAGAGCAAGUUCAUAGGGUGCAUGAAUCACUCACAAAACACAUGGCAAAAGUGCACUUAAUGUUAACAGGCUGACAGCAACAUUAUUUAGCAAUUUGAGAGCAAGAUUACAACAAGCUACAGCAGGCUAUAAAUGCAACCAGCGGCACGGGUGGAUAUAGCAUGACAUGUAGAACAAAACAUCCUUAGUGAGCAUCUCCAGAUUAUGCAUAGAAUGACUUGUAGCAGCAGGUUUACAUAGCAUCACGAAAUAACAGAUUCAGCCUAGCAAAAUAGCAACAGCAAGUAUUCUACUUCACGAGCUCGAUGCACUCACUAAAAGACUCACAAAAAUACAUGGAUUGCACCUCUGUAAAGAUGGAAUGAUGUAGAUCAAAAUACAUGUAGAGCUCAUGCUCAUAGGAUGCACACAUCAACUGCAACAAAAAUGACAAAUCGCCAAGUUAUAACAGUUUCAGCAGAUUAACAUCAUAUAGCACUCUUGCAACGAUGAUUCAGGUAUCAAGAUGAACUCAAAUGAACAUCGCACAAUGUAAUGAAAUGAAGAGAAUCUCCUGAUGAACAUUUUGAUAUAUUAUACACGCAAAACGGAGCAGUAUACAACAAGUUAUGGCAUAUCAAAGUAUGCACCAAAACGCAAACUAAUUCGGGACUUAGAGAAAAUCUGGGGUCAACCUUAGGUCUGCACGGAUUUCAAGGCGAGGCGGAUGUCGUCGGAGAGCUCACCGGAGAAGAGGAGGGAGAUGGGGCCGGCGAGGUCUUGCAGGGGCGGGACGAGGCGGAUCCGACCGGAUCUCGCCGGAUCCGGCCGAGCUCCGGCGAAGGCGACGCGGGGCCGGGCACGGGCGGCGGCCGGGGCGGCGCCGGCNNNNNNNNNNNNNNNNNNNNNNNNNNNNNNNNNNNNNNNNNNNNNNNNNNNNNNNNNNNNNNNNNNNNNNNNNNNNNNNNNNNNNNNNNNNNNNNNNNNNNNNNNNNNNNNNNNNNNNNNNNNNNNNNNNNNNNNNNNNNNNNNNNNNNNNNNNNNNNNNNNNNNNNNNNNNNNNNNNNNNNNNNNNNNNNNNNNNNNNNNNNNNNNNNNNNNNNNNNNNNNNNNNNNNNNNNNNNNNNNNNNNNNNNNNNNNNNNNNNNNNNNNNNNNNNNNNNNNNNUGGGCUCCGCGGGCCGCACGGUGGCGGGAGGCGGCGGCGACAGGUGUCCGGCCCUGAUUGGCGCAGGGAGGGUGCGCUGCUGAGGUGGCGCGCUCCUAUUGGCCGGAGCGACGUGGAGGCGGCGGUGGACGUGUCCGGCCGCCGGGCGGACAUGUCCGGCGGCGCGAGGAGGGAGAGGGCUAGGGUUCAUUUGCGCGAAAAAAUCGAAGGGGAUCACAUAUUUAUAGGUAGAGGGAGCUAAGAGACUCCAAAUGAGGUGCGGUUUUCGGCCACGCGAUCGUGAUCGAACGGCGGAGAGCAUGGAGGGGGUUAGGAUGGGUUUGGGGCCAGUUUGGAGGGGUUGUUGGGCAGCAACACAAAGAGGGCUUUACGGUUCCCAGUUAACCGUUGGAGUAUCAAACGGACUCCAAAUGGCACGAAACUUGACAGGCGGUCUACCGGUGCUAUACCAAGGCCACUUGGCAAACCUCGGUCCAUUCCGAGAAUGUUUAACACCCGCUCACAACAAGAGACAAAAAGGGGACGCCGGAGGACAUAGGAGUGUCGGAUUGCAAAACGAACAACGGGGAAAAUGCUCAAAUGCAUGAGACGAACACGUAUGCAAUGCAAUGCACAUGAUGACAUGAUAAAAUGCAACACGCAAGCACAUGACAUGGCAACAACAACGAAUAACUGGCAGACACCUGGCACAUCGAAUCCGGGGCGUUACAACACUCCUCCACUAACAAGAGAUCUCGUCCCGAGAUCUUAGGAACGAGACGGAAGAGAAAGAGGAAGAGGUGAAGCAAGAACUGAACAGAGAGGGUGAACAAAGUCGAGAGCACUCGCGUAGAAAAGAUGAGCGGUGAAUAUGACGAGAAUCAAAUGCUCAAGAAACAAAAUAGACUCUGAAAACACUCCGGUUAAAACGAGAUAAGAAACGAAUAAGACUGAAAAGGAUUUAGCAGAACUCUGACUGAACAUGGAAAGAAUAGAACAUGAACUUGAGAGGAUGGAAUGAUACUUGAUGAACUCUUGAAGAAUGAAAUAAAUCAUGAAGAACCACCAUGAAGAACUCCGGUGACAAAAGGAUGAUGAGAUAGACAUGAAGGAUGAAAGAAUAAGAUGAUCCUUGCGGUGACUUAGAUGGAGGUUCCGACGAAAUGACCGAGGAAAUUGAACUCCGGAAAAGAAAAGAUGAAAACACUUGGAACUAGAAUUUAUUCACCAAGAACAAACUCCGAAGAAAAGGAUUAAUCACUUGGAUGAAAUAAGAAUAAGAUUUAUUGUAUGCUUAUCCUUCAUCAAAUUUAAUUGAUGACAAGCCACGGAUUUGGCAUGCAACUUAUUCUUGUUGAAAAGAAUUGAGAAAUGAUGCAUCGCAAACUUGAGAAGGUCUUCAUGAACCACCGGUAGGAUUUGGAAGAACGAAUGAAUUAAAAUGAUAAUCAAGGAAAAGAAUCUUGAACGAACCACCGUAAGAAUUCGAAAAUGACUGAUGAAAGAGAAUGAAUCACCGGGAAGAAUUAUAAGAACAACUAUGCUAGAUGGAAUUUAAAUACAAGGGAAGGGGAAGAACUCGAGCUGAUUAAAGAAUAUUUGAAGGAAGCACCGGGAUAAAUAGAGAACGAUAGCUGAAAUGUGGGGAUGAAGAAUUCUUCUGGAACGAUGGCCUCCGGUGAAAAGAAAUGGAAAAAACAACUCAUGACAUAGUCCGGAUGGGUAAGAAAGAAUAUCCGGCCAAUGGAAUAAUUCGAGAGGGUAAUAAGAAGCUAGAACCACGAAUCUUCGGGAGAACGGGCAAGAUUGAGAGGAAAAACUCUUCUUCGGUCUUCAAAAGACGACGAGAAACACCACCAAAAUUACUGAGGUACUCCGGUUGAAUGAAAAACGAAGAGGUUGAGGCAACAAUGAAAAUUAUUUGAAAUCGAUCUCAAAGAAGGCAUGUGGCUGAUGGAAUCCAUUCUUACGCCACACUUUGAAAAUAAUUGAGAAUAACUCCAGGGAAUUAGAAGAGUCAGGUAAGAUCCUGGGAAAGGACCUGUGGGUUAGGGCCCACUGAAGAGAAAAACACCGUUGGAAAGGAUUGAUGAAAAGAUAGAUGAUUCACCGGAACAAUUGAAAUAUUUGAAUGAGGUAACAACCUCGAAUUAAUUGGAACACAGAUGAAUCUCCUGAGAUGUCUUGAGCACUCCGGAAGGAUAAACUGGCGAGAGGCGAGUGAGCAGGGAAAACACUUGAUCCAAGGAAAGGAAUGUGAUCAACCCGAAAAACUUGAAUUGAGUGCACCAGAAAAGAGAUGAAGACUGCCAAACAAAAGAGAAUUCACCGGUUGAAACAAUUGAUGGAAGACUGAAGAGGCUCCGCACGAAUGAAAUUGAUACUCGAAAUAGACUCGGGCUUCGGGAAGAAGAGGGUGGGAGGGCAGGAAAAAACAAAGGCAACUUUAAAGGGGGAACCGACGAAUAACUUGAAGAAAAAAACACCAGUUGAAAUAAUUGAGGAGAGAGAGCAAAAACUUCGCACGAGUAGGAUGGAUACUCGAUUACGGACUCCGGAUCCAAGAAGAAAAAGGGGGGGUGGGAAAAGAAAACAACUUAGGAUUGAACUCAAAGAUGAAGAGGCUCGAGUCGACUUGACGAGAAAUGCACCGGAUGCAAAGAGAGGAGAACCAACGACCGAAAAAACAUAUGCGUGGUCCUAAAGAAAACUUUGAAGGGGAAGAGGAGUAAUUCAAAACACCUACAUCAAGAUUCCUGACCAGAGCGACGAAGGGGGCUGAGGAGUAAAAAGAAGUCCUACUCUCCGAUAUAACUAGACUCCGAAAAGUUUUCUUCUAGACUCAACAAAGGCCAAACUACACGAUCAAUCAAGGGGGCUCCUAAGGUCAGUCGAGGCUCUGAUACCAACUUGUCACGCCCAAUAUGUGAUACUAUCCUAAAGAGACUCGAAGGUCCCACCAAGGAUAGAAUCGCAUAUUGAAAUGCUUUUGCAAGGUGGAUAUCGUUACCUCAAAAUUACAUAAUAGAUGGGGAUACAUACAAAAGGCAUACAAUGCCACACGAAUACAACAUCAGCUUACAUAGGAACACCAUCCGACUACGGAUGAAACACAAAUAGAAACUCAAACGACAUCCACCCUGCUAGCCCAGGAUGCCGACCUGGAACAUAUCCCCUGAUGGAAGAAGAAGUAGAAGAAGAACUCCAAAACAAUCAAACAUCGCUCUCGCGUCAUGAUCAUCGCAAAACCUAUACCUGCAACUGUUAUUGUAGUAAUCUGUGAGCCACGAGGACUCAGCAAUCCCAUUACCAUGGGUGUCAAGACUAGCAAAGCUUAAAGGGAAAGGAAGGGGUAAAGUGGUGAGGUUGCAGCAGCGACUAAGCAUAUAUGGUGGCUAACAUACGCAAAUAAGAGUGAGAAGAGAAGCAACGGAACGGUCAUGAAGCUAGCAAUGAUCAAGAAGUGAUCCUGAACUCCUACUUACGUCAAACAUAACCCAAAACUGUGUUCACUUCCCAGACUCCGCCGAAAAGAGACCAUCACGGCUACACACGCGGUUGAUGCGUUUUAAUUCGGAUCUGGUGUCAAGUUAUCUACAACCGGACAUUAACAAAUUCCCAUCUGCCACAUAACUGCGGGCACGGCUUUCGAAAGUUUAUACCCUGCAGGGGUGUCCCAACUUAGCCCAUCACAAGAUCUCACGGUCAACGAAGGAUAUACCUUCUCCCAGGAAGACCCGAUCUGACUUGGAAUCCCGGUUUACAAGACAUUUCAACAAUGGUAAAACAAGGCCAGCAAAACCUCCCGUUGUGCCGACAAAUCCCGAUAGGAGCUGCACAUAUCUCGUUCUCAGGGCACAUCGGAUGAACCAGACGUCGGGUUGGCAUAGACCCUGGUUGCCCAGGGAGCGCCGGACAUCGCUCAGUUUGGACCAGCACUUGGAGAAGCACUGCCCCAGGGGGGCUAAAAUAAAGAUGACCCUCGGGCUCCGGAAACCCAAGGGAAAAAGGGCUAGGUGAGGCAAAUGGUAAAACCAAGGUUGGGCCAUGCUGGAGGAGUAUUAUUCAAAGCGACCUGUCAAGGGGGUCCCAUAAAUCACCCAACCGCGUAAGGAACGCAAAAUUCGAGAACAUAACACUGGUAUGAAGGAAACUAGGGCGGCAAGAGUGGAACAAAACACCAGGCAUAAGGCCGAGUCUUCCACCAUUUACCAAGUAUAUAGAUGCAUUAAUUAAAAUAAGAGGUAUUGUGAUAUCCCAACAUAAUCCUGUCCACCAUGGAGCAAUCUUCAACUUCACCUGCAACUAGCAACACUAUAAGAGGGGUUGAGCAAAGCGGUAACAUAGCCAAGCAACGGUUUUCUAGGAAGGGUGGAAAUGUUAGAGGCUGACAUGGCAAUUUGGGAGGCUUGAAGAGCAAUUGGUAGGUAGCGCAGCAAAGUGAUAGAAUGAAGCAACUAGCAUAGCAAUGAUAGUAGUGAGAUCCAGGGUAGCGGUCAUCUUGGCUGAAAUCCCACAAGGAAGAAGAACGAGUCCAAGAAGAAGAUGAAGCCACGAAGACAAACCAAGCAUAGACGAACGAAUCCUCACGAUCGCAAUGAAACAGGAACUAUCGAGAAGAAGCACACAACAUAGUAAACACAUCACACAUGAACAAGGCAUGAUGCUCAACCAAGUAUGAUGCAUGACAAGGCUACAUGAAGCUACUCAUGGCAAGAGAUGAUGCAAACACGAGCAACACAUCAAGGCAAGUUUAAAUGAGGCCGGGAACAACAUAUAACAAUUCCGGUAAGUCCUCAUAUGCAAAUUUCGAAAUAGGUCCAGAUCUGAAUAAACCUUAUGUUCAAGUUGCUAAAUAGCAAGUUAAGAUACACCAAGUUGAUCUACAUGAGAUUCUAGUCAAGUUACAUAUAAAGUUCAUUUAGUUCGGAGCUACGGCCUAGAAGAUAUGAGCAAAACAAGUUAAACAUGACAUUGAUGCAAAAUGCAUACAAACAUCUAGCAAACACCUCAAAACAAGGAUGCAACAUGUUAAUAUGAAACUACAUGCAAUUCUAAGCAAGUUUCAUAUAGAGCACACUCAAAACAGAGCAACGGUGCAACACAUACACUCCAAACAAGACAUAACAACAAUCUGUCCAAAACAGUAACUAGGCAUCUAGCAAGCAUCAAAAAAAUAUGCUACAGCACCCCAACAUAAGAACAAAAGGCAUGGGCAUGAUGUACAGGUAAAGCAUGACAAAAUAUGAACACUGAACUAUCUCCAGAAAACACUAGAACAUGCUCAAAAAGACAUGGCAACAUUGCAAGUAAUAACAGUUUACAGGCUUAGCAGAAAUAACAUCAGGUUGCAAUGUUUAGAGCUAUCAAACAACAUGUUACAGGAACAUAUCAUAGAAACUUAAGGCAUGGCAUGAUACUACUGAAUGCAUAGAACAAAAGUCCUUUACUUACCAUGAGCCAAAAGGGCACAGAAAAUAUGAUGGCACCCAUAUAAACAUGGCAAGUUAUAUGACAGAUUCAAACAUGGCAGGAACAACGAUAAGUAGGCAUGUUGGUGAGCUUGUACCACUCACCACAGAGCAUUACAUGGCAUGACAAGGCAACCAACAGUAAGAAUACAUGUUUAUGAAGCUAAGCAUGGCAAGAUAAAGUUCAUAGGGUGCAUGGAUCACUCACAAAACACAUGGCAAAACUGCACUCAAUGUUAACAGGCUGACAGCAACAUUAUUUAGCAAUUUGAGAGCAAGAUUACAACAAGCUACAGCAAGCUAUAUAUGCAACCAGGGGCAUGGAUGGAUAGGGCAUGACAUGUAGAACAAAACAUCCUUAGUGAACAUCUACAGAUUAUGCAUAGAAUGACUUGUAGCAGCAGGUUUACAUAGCAUCACGAAAUAACAGAUUCAGCCUAGCAAAACAGCAACAACAAGUACUCUAUUUCACGAGCUCGAUGCACUCGCUACAAGAUUCACAAAAAUACAUGUAUUGCACCUCUGUAAAGAUGGCAUGAUAUAGAUCAAAACACAUGUAGAGCUCAUGCUCAUAGGAUGCACACAUCAAAUGCAACAAACAUGACAAAUCGCCAAGUUAUAACAGUUUCAGCAGAUUAACAUCAUAUAACACUCUUGCAACGAUGAUUCAGGCAUCAAGAUGAACUCAAAUAAACAUGGCACAUUUUGAUAUAUUAUACAUGCAAAACGGAGCAGUAUACAACAAGUUAUGGCAUAUCAAAGUAUGCACCAGAAUGCAAACUAAUUCGGGACUUAGAGAAAAACUGGGGUCAACCUUAGGUCUGCACGGAUUUCAAGGCGAGGCGGAUCUCGUUGGAGAGCUCACCGGAGAAGAGGAGGGAGAUGGGGCCGCCGGGGUCUUGCAGGGGCGGGACGAAGCGGAUCCGGCCGAGCUCCGGCGAAGGCGACGCGUGGCCGGGCGCGGGCGNNNNNNNNNNNNNNNNNNNNNNNNNNNNNNNNNNNNNNNNNNNNNNNNNNNNNNNNNNNNNNNNNNNNNNNNNNNNNNNNNNNNNNNNNNNNNNNNNNNNNNNNNNNNNNNNNNNNNNNNNNNNNNNNNNNNNNNNNNNNNNNNNNNNNNNNNNNNNNNNNNNNNNNNNNNNNNNNNNNNNNNNNNNNNNNNNNNNNNNNNNNNNNNNNNNNNNNNNNNNNNNNNNNNNNNNNNNNNNNNNNNNNNNNNNNNNNNNNNNNNNNNNNNNNNNNNNNNNNNNNNNNNNNNNNNNNNNNNNNNNNNNNNNNNNNNNNNNNNNNNNNNNNNNNNNNNNNNNNNNNNNNNNNNNNNNNNNNNNNNNNNNNNNNNNNNNNNNNNNNNNNNNNNNNNNNNNNNNNNNNNNNNNNNNNNNNNNNNNNNNNNNNNNNNNNNNNNNNNNNNNNNNNNNNNNNNNNNNNNNNNNNNNNNNNNNNNNNNNNNNNNNNNNNNNNNNNNNNNNNNNNNNNNNNNNNNNCAGGCGGCCAGCGGCGAGGCGCACGAGGAGGCGGGCGGAUGGGCCAGGCGGCGGCGGCGCGAGGGCCCGCCCGGGCCCACGAUGGGCUCCGCGGGCCGCACGGUGGCGGGAGGCGACGGUGACAGGUGUCCGGCCCUGAUUGGUGCGGGGAGGCUGCGCUGCUGAGGUGGCGCUCUCCUAUUGGCCGGAGCGAUGUGGAGGCGGCGGUGGAUGUGUCCGGCCGCCGGGCGGACAUGUCCUGCGGCGCGAGGAGGGAGAGGGCUAGGGUUCAUCUGCGCGAAAAAAUCGGAGGGGAUCACAUAUUUAUAGGUAGAGAGAGCUAGGAGACUCCAAAUGAGGUGCGGUUUUCGGCCACGCGAUCGUGAUCGAACGGCGGAGAUUAUGGAGGGGGUUACGAUGGGUUUUGGGCCAGUUUGGAGGGGGUGUUGGGCUGCAACACAAAGAGAGCUUUACGGUUCCCCGGUUAACCGUUGGAGUAUCAAACGGAUUCCAAAUGGCACGAAACUUGAUAGGCGGUCUACCGGUGCUAUACCAAGGCCGCUUGGCAAACCUCGGUCCAUUCCGAGAAUAUUUAACACCCGCUCACAACAAGAGACAAAAAGGGAACGCCGGAGGACAUAGGAGUGUUGGAUUACAAAACGGACAACGGGGAAAAUGCUCGGAUGCAUGAGAUGAACACGUAUGAAAUGCAAUGCACGUGAUGACAUGAUAAAAUGCAACACGCAAGCACAUGACAUGGCAACAAUGACGAAUAACUGGCAGAUACCUGGCGCAUCGAAUCCGGGGCGUUACAUGCCCUCAACCAUUCACCCUACUCGGGUGAGGAAUCAACUUGUGGUUCAAAUGAUCCGCCAACAUGUGCUAGUCUGUCGUAGUCAAUCCAAAAGAGAGGUAUCUUCUCAAAUUGAAAAUCAAACAAGGUCCCCUCAUCUUUUGCUGGAGAGUGAUGAAAGAAGCCUCGGACUAGUGAAACAAAUAUGAAAAUUCUAGCUCUAAAUCUGAGAUGGUUCCCUCAUAAAUCCAUCCUUCUUAACAUCGCUCUUUACCACGCCACCAAUUCAAUUCCCAAGAGAAUUCCCAAAAGUAUAUGAUCACUUAUAUAUGGAAGGAUCUGUAAUUAUCACCCAUGGCUCCAACAUACAAAACAUUAUCUUCGAUGACCUAGUUUUUUCAUCAUAAUCCUUCAAAACUAUCACAUUGAAACCAAAUUGCCACAUUAAAUUAUAUAGAGCGUGCUUCUAGACUCCUUUGUUCUUGAAUCUCAAGAAGAAGAUAUUAUUUCUAAUGUGACUUAUUUGGGCUUCCUAGUAGAGUCCCAUGUGUGUUGCAUAGCCCUAGCAAACACGUUGAUGUUGAUUUGUUGGAGUGAGCAUGCCUUUCCAACCACUGACCACCGAGUAGGCCUCGGUCGGUCUGGUAUCCUGAUCCUCAAACAUGAGAUCUAUUAGUUCCUUUUUUCCCAAGUUUAGGGCUCCUUGUUAAUUUGAUUGAGCGAUUAGCUGCCUCCCCUGAAGCAUUUCCGUCUGUCAGGGACUUUGAAGGUUCUCGUAUUAACGGUCCUUGGUUGCCCUGUUCACUUGAGCUGUCGAUUUAUGCCACGCCUUCUCUCCCAUCGUCACGCAAAGGAGUGGAAGCACCAAGACCAAUCAAUGUAGGAGUUUACAGCGUCAUCGCCCCAUAGAUAAAUAAAACUCUAACCCUAUAGUCGCCCUUAGCAUUUCUUUUCAUGCUGGGCCCGCCGCUAUGUAUUUAUACGUGUCCUUCCAUUGGUACUUUUUUUUGCUCUGGAGCCUUUCUGCUACAUUUGUCUUUCUACAAAGGUGGUCUUAUCCAAAUCAUAUAGUCUCCUCUAUCUAUAUUAAGCCAGGACAUUAGUUCUUCUUUUUUUCAAGGCAAAUACACUUGCUAGUGUUCAAGCGACAUCGAAAGAAGUCUUGUCACAUGUGUAGACGACGCUAAGAGUGUGACACAUAUAGGUGCCAACUUUAUGGAUAAUGCAAAUUUCAGCAAAUAUGAAUAGCUCCCGGGGGAACGAGCGCACAAAGGAAUCAGCCACCAUAAAUCGAUCAUUUCCAAUGAAACAGAGUCACAAAGAGAGAGACAAGACAUUAGCUUCUUUAUGGGGAACACAUACAUUUAAAUGUUGCCUUGCUAUCUGAUUAUUAACAAGAAAUAAUUUUUACUAAUAUAUUAUGUGUAAAUCUUGAUAGAUAUGGAAUGUAUUUUGGUCAGUAUGUUUUAAGGAAUCAUGUCAGUUUUUGGUAUGUUGAAAUUAGAAGAAGUUCAUGUGCCUUCAAGGCAUGUCAAGGUGUGUUGUUCCACCUCAAAUUGGGACAUACUAAAUGGUUAUUCUCCCUACAUAUAGCCCCAAUUCUCAUGCUCUUGCUCUCUCUCUCUCUCUCUCUCCAUUUUAUAUUCCAGACUACUCCAUAAAGCCUAACCGGUGAAGGUCCAGAAACACCCAGCAGUGACGGGUUCAACUCCCAUUAGUAGUCUAUACUUAGUGGAGGAGAAACAAGCCACUUACAGGCACAUGCCCGCCAAUGGUGAAUAAAUUAGAAAAGAAAAUCAGGCCAUGGCCGGUCCAUAUCCGGCAGCUGCCAACAAUGUGUAGUCUCCACUACUCUAACCUAAUUUUCCUCAAUGUGUUACAUCAUGUGAUGUUUGGAGAAGCCAUAGAGUCGGGGACCUGAAUAUAGAAAACAACGAUGGGGAGUGGCUUGAAGAAUAGGAGCCAAGAAGCCGGAAGGAGAAGGCCUCCACCAUGUUGCACCAUUGGCCGAUACUGACCCGUAUGGUGCAAGGACCAAGGUAGAACUAAACACCUUCAUCAUCUGGGUCGCAAAGGAAGUUGGACUAGUGUGUUGCUCCUCUCGGACAAACUCAAUGAUUUCAUGCAGUUGGCACCCAUGCAACAUUCCACAGAGAUAACAACACUGAGGACGAGGAGGGGCAACGCAAGGUUUCUUCCUCAUAGGAAUUACUUUCGAGGAUGUGGGGGGAGGGUAUGGCAUGAUGAGCAGUUAACAAGGGAAGUUUGCAUGACUGUGGAGGAGAAAUCAUGAAGACAAGUGUGCUAGUAGCUAGACAAGGGAUGAAUGAUAGCAGGAAGGAAUAAUGAGCUUACUGGGUGAGGCUACUAUUUUUUUAGUUGCGACCUACUGAUCAUAACAACAAUUGAUCGUAACAAUGUAGCAUUGAUGAUACAGGGUAUUGAUUUAGUAACUGUCAGGAUGUGACUAGGGCUUGUAAGUGGUGGGUUGUAUAUUACUAACAAGUAGCAUGUUUAGCCUCCAUCUUGUCCUCUGUCACUCGUAACAACAUACCAUUGAUGGACUACAUAUUGGGCCCGUCACUACUAUCUUUUUCCAACAAAAAUAGAAUUUUAGUUAUAGUCAGAUUCACAACAAUCCCGCCAGCCAUUAGUGCUAGGUAGCACUGUUGACCAGUUUUGUGAGCCACCACUUUUGAUCGAUAACGAGGCGAGAACUCUAGUGUAGUGCACAUUUGUUUUGUUGCGAACUUUUAGUGUUUUUAUGUGCACAAAGACAUAUCUUUCAACCCUAACAGGUGUUCUCUUUAGGUGGGGUCGAGAGUGAAGGACUGGGGAGCUUGGAAGCAGGGGAAAUGGCACCUAGAGGGGUUCAGAUCUCCAUGAUCAAUAACCACAAUUUUGAUCUGAAUGAGCUGUCGACUGAGCAUGAGUAGCUCAAGAAGGAGUAGUCACCCAUGGAGAAAGAGUAGCCGCCUAUGGCACAACAUGAGCUUUAAUAUUCACAAUGGUUGGAGGCUACUCAAAUCCGCUUGUGUGAGCAAAAGUAACUCUUGGGAAAAAGUGUAGCCUUGUCAGAAAUUAUCAAAACAAUAUCCUUAUCCUGAGGACGGUUGUAAAGCUUAUGUGGAACUUUUGAAUUUCUUGCUUCCUAUUUUUUGGUGAUUGACUUACGCUAUUGCUAAACUUGAGGGAAGGAGUUGGUAUACUGCCUCAUGAUCAACGUGUCAACUGGAAAUGGAUUUUCUAUUCGUUUCCUGUGAUGGUUUUGAUAUGUGGAUUUUUUGAACAAGUAGUUGUUCAUUCGGUAAAGCUUUGUGAAACAUCAACGGUGGAGCUAGGUAUCAGGUCAUGUGAAAAGACAGUAGGUCAAGAAGUGUGUUGGAUCAUGAGAUAACAUAUUUUCUAAGUUGUGAAUCAUGUGUGUUAACACCAUGGGUAGUAUGAGAGAAGGUCAGCAUGCAUGUUUGGGUCUAAAAUGACCUCACGACCAAGAAAAGGAGAAAAACAUGGCUAAUAUGAAUACAAACGAUAUGGAAGUUACUUGAUGCGUGGAUGUUAACUAUGGUUAUGCAACCACACAAGAUGUCAGAGGACCCGCAUCCAUACAUAUCAAGGUUGACUUCAUGUGCCAACUGGAUUUCGUCUAAAUUAUUGUAUAUGUAUGUAUGUUAUAUCUUGACAUCUUACCAAACAAAAAACACCAAAAAAAUACACUAUUUACUUCACUUUGAUGCAUAUUCUAGUUGAAGGGUAAUCAUAACCUUAUGUGGAUAUAUUUUCCAUAAUAGAAUCUAUAAUGGUCUAGUGAGGCAAGGUGUAAAUGGAGAGGACAAUAGUCGAACAUGAAAACAUCCAACAUUGUGUCAUACUUGCAUCUAGUUGUCUAGUGAGUAAAUAUGGAAAUGGAGGAGGCUCAUAGGGCAACACGAGAACACCACACAUGUUGAGACCGAGACUAGUUAAAGGUUAAUCAUAACACAUGGACAAGUUCUCUCAUACAAGAUGAAAAUGGAGUGAGUCUUGUAUGAAAAUGCUAACAAAGUAUGAGUGUGCAUAGCAUGCCAUCCCCUCCCUUUCUUGUUUGAGUUUCCUUCACCAACCCCAUAGUACCCUGAUCAACACUAUUAUUUGAAUAUGCUUCUCAUCUGAGAAAGAAUAGUUAUUGAGAGAUAGUUAUAUCAUUGUCUAGGUAGAAUUGUUAAAGGGGCAAUAAUGGAGGUGUCUUAUCUAUUAUAGCCACAUUCCGGAGAAGAAUAAAAAAAGUAGACACAACCUGAUAAUUUAUUGAGAUUUGAAUUGAGGAUUCAACAUACAUCAACUAUCCUACAUGUGAAUCAAAUCCACAUCCUACAUGGGCAUUGGGAUUUAGUUGGACUACCACUUUAUGGACAAGCCAUGUGCUCCAUGUAGUCUAUGUUGCAAAGGCGGGAGGACAAGGAGCAAAUAGUUUUCAAUGGCUGGACAUUGAAGUUAUUUGUCAAAAAUUUCUUUCCCGACAUGGUUUGUUUAUUUCAUUGUUUAGUAUUUGAUAUCGGUUCAAUGCUCUAGUGUGGAACCUUCUUCUCAAAUUUUGGGUCUAGCUCUUGGUGUUCAUGAGUUCAUUAAUUAUGUUAACUAUUAUUGGUGUGCCCACUUAUUCGACAAGAGACUAUAAAGGUAACUAAGAUACUCCAGUAUUUAUAUUAAUAUAGCUAGCAUUGAGGUAAUCAUCAACCUUGAAUAUUACUCAUAUUUGUCAAAUAGGAGGUCAAGCUGGAUCUUUCUGGCGCAUCAUCUGUGGUCACAUAUGGUGUAUUGUAUAUUCUAAACCCAAUGAGUAUCGUAGAAUGACAUGUCCCUACGAGGAGGAAUGAGUCACUCUUUUGUGUAAAGGGGUGAUGCCAUGCCUAAUAAUUGAUAAUCAAAAAUUAACCACCUACAUCAAAAGUCUAACCCAAGACAGGGAAUAUGUGCCAUUGCAAUUUUAUCGCACAAAGUCAUCUGUAUUUUGCAAUUGAAUGUUCCCCAUGUUGUGACUGAGAACACAAAAAACAAAACACCCCACAAAACCCUAUUUACUUCUCAUCGAUGUAUAUUCUAGUGGAAGGGUAGUCAUAACCAUAUGGGAAUAUUUUUCCACAAUAGAAUCUAUAAUGGUCUAGUGAGGCAAGGUGUAAAUGGAGAGUAUAAUAGGCGAACAUGGAAACAACCAACAUUGUGUUGUACUUGCAUCUAGUUGUAUAGUGAGAUAAUAUGGAAACGAAGGAGGCUCAUAGGGCAACAUGAGAACAGCCAACAUGUUGCUCUACUUACUUCCUAUUGGUACCAAGGGACUGAGACUCGACCAUGGUUAAUCAUAGCACAUGGACAAGAUCUCUCAUACUAGUUGAAAAUAGAACGAAUCUUGUAUGAAAAUGCUAACCAAGUAUGAGUGUGCGUAACAUGCCAUCUCCUCCCUUUCUUGUUGUAGUUUCCUUCACCAACCCUCAUAGUACCCUGAUCAGCACUAUUAAUUUGAUGUGCUUCACGUCUGCGUUAGAAUUGUGAUUGGGAAUAGUUGUAUCAUUAUCUAGGUAGACUUCUUCAAGGGGAAAUAAUGGACAUGUCUUAUCUAUUAUAGCCAGAUUCCGGCUAGGAAUAAAAAAGUAGACAUAACAAGAUAAUUUGUUGAGAUUUGAAUCGGCAAUUCAACAUACAUCAACUAUUCUACAUGUAAAUCAAAUCCCCAUCCUACAUCGGCAUUCGGAUUUAGUUGGACUACCACUUAAUGGACAAGCCGUGUGGUCCAUGUGGUCUACGUCGCAAAGGCCAGAGGACAAGGAGAAAAUAGUUGUCGAUGAUUGGUCAUUGAAGUUAUUUGUCAAGAAAUUUGUUUCCCGGCAUCAGUGGCUGAGCUAGCAUUUGACAUCAGGGUGGUCCGACCCCCUAAAAAUUUAACAAGAAAUAUGACAUCUGGGCAUUCUAACUACUUACCAAUAUGACACAAGUUCUCCCAGCUUGCUCUUCGGCCACAUUUCACAUAUUCAUUGCCUUCUUCUUCCCUAUCUUCAUAGCUUCUCUUUGAAAAGAGAAACAAUGUCUCCGGUCCUCUUCAUUCUUCAAAAAUUCUGCAAUAAAAUUUAGUUUCUAUCAAUAAAGCUAAUUGAGGCAGAAAUGAUAUGCAAAACACUACAGGAAACAGGUAAUAUGCCGUCUGGAGAUCACAGACGGCAAAGACCGAAAUCCAGACGGCAAAGAUUUUGCCGUCAGGAAGCAGACGGCAAAAUCAGACGGCAAAGAUAAGUCGACAAAGAAUAUUUUGCCGUCAGCUUUUCAUUUGCCAGACGGCAAACACUUUGCUGUCAGCCGAACCUUCUUUGCCAUCAGCCUUAUAAAUCAUAGACGGCAAAGAAAUGCAGUUUUGCCGUCAGUCAGAGUACAUGUUUGCCGUCAGCUAUUCACGUCUUUGCCGUUAGCCUCGUAUACCACAGACAGCAAAGAAGUUAAUUAAAAAAACACAACAGCAUUGCUCCCGAGCGAUGCGGUCAACUCAUGCGAGUGCAAAUCUUUCUUCUUCUUUUUUAACAGGGAAAGGCCAUCCGUGUGUAGUGCCAUUCAUUUAACGUUAUUGGAGUACAAAAUGCAAAUAUGAGCCCGAACCAAAACUAAAGUUACAGAGUAGUUCAGGAAAUUAACACAAAGGACCCUAACAAGUUAAACUGAAAAGCAAUCGGGUCCUUCUCCACUCCGGUGCUCUGCCCGCCCCGCUAUCCAGCCCGACGCUCGCCUUUCCUCUCUGCCAUGCUCUGCUCGCCGCUCCGCCGCCCGGCCCUGCUCAGCCGUGCAGCUCCGGCCCAGCCGCGCUCGGGAGCUGACUUGCUCCGGCGCCGCGGAGAGGCACGCGAGGGAGGUCGGGGAUGGCCGGUGCUCAACCGGCGGAGCGCCCGGCUGCUCUAGCGACGGAGCUUGCGAGGCGGAGCGCAGGACCGGCAGGUGAGGAGGAGCUCGGGGUGUGGACGGGUUCGGGUGCGCGGCUGGAGGAGCUGGGGUGGGCAAGGCCGACCGGUGAAGUCGAGCUGGCGAGGUAGAGCUUCACGCGGCGCUGGCGGUGUGGCGGACGGAUGGGCGGGAGGGCGCUGGGCGUGGCAGCGGACGGAAGGGGCUCGCCGUUGCUGGCCACGGCACGCGGCUGCUCGGGGACAAGAGGCGCUGGACGGGGGCGCCGGACGGGGGCGCUGGACGGGGGCGCCGGACGGGCAGGCGGCGCUGAACGGGGGCGCCGGACGGGCGGGCGGCGUUGGCCGGCGGCGUGUGGCUGCUCAGGGGAGAAGGAGGGAGGAGGGUGCUGGCACGGGGGAGAAGGAGGGAUGGCACGGCGGCGUGCUAAUGCUCGUGGAGAUGGAGAGAAUGAGAGAUGAGGGAGCACGGGGGAGAAGGAGGGAAUCGUGGGUGGGGCAGCCGGGCAGGUACGGGGUGGGGGCGCGUGCGUCGUGGGGUGGGUUGGGAUGGGAUGGGCGCGCACGACGGUCCUGAGUGGGCUGAGAUGUGUGUCUAAGAUGAUGCCAAGUCAUCAAUCCGUGUGCUCGAUCCGUGUGGUGUGCUUCUUCUUUGCCGUCUGCGGAAACAAAUACAGACAGCAAAGAGCUCAAUUUGCCAUCUGCGAAAAAACACAGACGGCGAAGAUUCUUUGCUGUCUACCAAAACAAACACAAACGGCAUAGAUGCUUUGCCGUCUGUGAUUUUUGUUGCAGACGGCAAAGUGAGCUAUUUGCCGUCUGUAUUUUGUUUCACAGACGGCAAAGUUUAUUCUGCCGUCAGUUUUUCUUUGCCGUCUGCCGAUGACGGCAAACACUUUCUUUGCCGUUUGCCCAACGAAAAGCUGACGGCAAAGACGACUCCUGACGGCAAAUUAGCUGUUUCCCGUAGUGAAAUUAUGUAUGUGUUCAUCAAUUCAUGAUAGUGCAGUGCAAAAAAGCAAACCCUAAGUCAAAAAAUAGGGGGUUUCAGUACCUUAAAUUUGAUUUGCACAUUUGCUAUGAAUCUGUGAUGCUACCGCUGGACGGCUGGAGACUUGCUGGUGAGCGGCACCUUCGACGGUCGUCGGUUUUGCAGGGAGGGCUGAGGGGGCGCAGGCAGUGGGCGGGCGGGCGGCAGGGCCAGGCGGCCACGGCUCCUGCUCGUCAAGGGGCGCGGGCGAGCGGUGGAGGCAGCGACGUCCUGGAGGGCAGCGAGGGGGAGGGGAGGCGGCCGGCGAGGAACAACGGCGCCGCGGCGGUGAGGGCGUGAGGCGAGGGCUUCGGGGCGUCCUCUCCUCUGCCUCGAUGUGGAAUGAGCAAAGUUUCAAAUCGCGGGCGAAAUUGGCGCUAUUGCUGCGCUAUCGCGGCUGGAGAGCCUUCCCGUACGCUAUGCCUAAUUUUCUGCGAUUUGCCGCUACCGCCGCGAUCGCUGCGCGAAACAACAAUAAGUGGCUUAGCUGUCGCUACAGUUUCGCUGGAGUGGCUGAGAUUCAUUUUUAACGGGCUGAAACAUAGGCCCGAAACAAAUCGUAGCCCAAAUUUCCUCUGAUAGAGCAGCAUGUCCAGAAACCUUAUCUUCAUUAAAUCCUCUCACUCCCAUCUAAAAAACUUGCGGUGGGUGCGGCUAGGUGGGCCGGUGUUUGCUUCGCCGCAAGCCGGAGUCAGCGACGAGCGAGGCGGCGACCAGGGCUCCGACAGGAGGCUGCAUACUCAGUAGCUCUAGUACUUUGUCUUUUUGCUGUUAUUGAUCCAUCCCAGUCGGUUUUCUGAUUCAGUAGGGAUGUUGUCUUUUUAUUUGCGGGGAGGAUAUUGACUCAUUUAUGACUGAAUUUAUACUGCCAAUCCUCUGUUUUCUGCUGAAAAUCCUCUGUUUUUUAGACAAAAACAUGCAUAUGUACUUUUGCCGCUAAAUGCCUUAGCGGCCGCUAUCGCCCGCUAUAGCGGCCCUAGCGUUUUGAUGAGCCAGCCGCGAAAUGCUUUUUCCUGCGAUCUUAAAGUUUGGGAACAAGAGCUCGUGGCCUCCUGGGCUAUGGCUGAACGACAGAACGAGGGCUGGCAAUGAUAUUGGGUCAUCUGUUUUUUUUGGCCCAGUUAAAUACCCAUGGUAGGCUGCUCCAAAAUCCCCUCAGCCCGUGCCCGACAUGGUUCAUUUAAUUCAUUAUUUAGCAUUUGAUAUGUGUUCUAUGCUCUAAUGUGUAGCCUUCUUCUCACGAUUUGGGUCUAGCUGUCGGUGGUCAUGAGUUCAUUACUUAUGUUAACUACUAUUGUUGUGUCCACUGGUUUGCCAAGAGACUAUAAAGUUAACUUAUAUCCUCCCGAAUUUAUAUUAAUAUAGUUGGCGGUGAGGUAAUCCUUGACCUUGAAUAUUACUCACAUUUGUCAAAUAGGAGGCCAAGCUGGAACUGUCUGGUGCAUCCUCUAUGGUCACAUAUGGUGUAUUGCCUAUUCUAAACCCAAUGAGUAUUACAUUAUGGCAUGUGCCUGCGAGGAGGAACGAGUUACUCUUUUAUGGCAUGUGCCUAUUCUAAACCCAAUGAGUAUCACAUUAUGGCAUGCCUAAUAAUUGUCAGUGAAAAAUUAAUAGCCUACAUCAGAAGUCUAACCCAAGAAAGUGAAUAUGUGCCAUUGUAACUUUCCAACACUAAGGGCCUGUUCUGAUCUCCUCCCGCUCCACGCUUCACUAAUUCCUGGAGCAGAUACGAGUCGAUCGAAAUAGCAGCGAGAAGCUAUCUCGAGGAAGCUAGGAUCGACCGCAGUGCAAAAUCGUGAAGCAGACUCGGCCCAGCUCCACCGAUCCGGAAAGCUGAAGUUAGCCAAUAUUAAAAGUGAACUGCCACCACCAAGUCAAACGAGCCGAACCGGUACGCUUGAUCUGUUUGAUCGCUCUUCGUUCCCUCACUCGUGCUCCCUCACUGCUCCUCUACAAGGCCGAUUUGGGCUGCCUCCAAUCGGACAAACUAGCCCGAACAAGCCACGACCCUUCUAGCUGGGUUGUAGUGCAGCGAGAAGUUGCAAACCGAGCCGAACAGAUUUUUCAUCGCUGCUUGGAGUGAGAAGCUACUCGGAAAAGUUGAAUUUCUGAAGUUUUGGGAAGCUAAAGGAGAUCAGAACAGGCCCUAAGUCAUCGGUAUUUCAUAAUUGAAUGUUCUCCAUGUCGUGACUUUUGAUGGUGUAAACCCAAAUAAUCGCCAUUGUGAAAUUAAAUUCCUCCCGUGAGUCGAACCCACAUCCGUAAAGAUGUGCCACUACAAUCCACCUCAUGGCUAUCUUGGAGUGCUCAGUAUAAUCAAGUGUGCCCAAUAUGGUGACUUAAUAUGUACUUAUUGACCCUAGGAAGCUAAUCGCCUCCAUCAAGACACCUUCCUGUUUCUCCUAUAACUAGAUUCCCCGAAACCACGAGAAUGCCUAGAAUGGGAUUACAACUUAGCACCUUUUGUUUUCAAAUGUUAAGAAGAGUUGCUCCUUGGAGAGCACGGUACGAUCAAAGUUGUAACCUGUGUUUCGGAGGGAGUUAUUGUCUUGAAACUUUGUUCUCAACUAUUCUGAUUCCAGCAAACAAAGGCCAUUGGGUCAAAGCUGUAGCGCACGCCCUGUAGUUUUCAAGUGGGGCGAGACAACUUUUGCUAGGAACCUAUUUUCAUUCUGACCAGCUCCCUGAAAACAAUGUUCGACUUCAUGUGUAGUCGGUGUAGAUGUGUCAUUGCAAUUCCACCACUAGGAUAUCACCAAUUCCUAUGUAUUACAUGACAACAUAUGCCACCAUAUGGUGACUUGAUAAAUUAAAUGGAUUUCACCAAGCUUUCCUGUUACAGUUAUAGUGAAGAUAGUGACUCACCUGUCAGCCUCCCCGGCGGGAAGCAAAAUCACUCUGACUUUGGCAACCUAAUUUUUGGUGGAUUCAAGCAAACAUGUUGGAUUUGUAUUUUAUUUAUUUCAACAUAUAUAAUUCAAAUAAAUGAAUCAAUUCAUACUAGGAGUCUUGGAGGCACCCAUGUCAAUAAUGUGAAAUUAUGGGAAAUCUUAUUAUGUGCAUCAACAUAAGCCAAAACUCGUGGCUUAAGAGAUAUGUGUACAAUCUUCCAAUGGUUAUGCCCCCCUACUAAAUUCAUGAUGUUAACCAGUUCCCAGAAGUUGAGAAAGAACUUUAGUCAUGGGAUCAAUGUCCAGUGCAUCAUAUUUCCAGUUCCCAAAAAAAUUUAUUAUGGAACGUUGAGAAAGAAGUUUGGGCAACAUAUUUCCAGACACCUGUCAUGUCUAGGAUCGUAUCAAGCCUAGGUAAGCUUAGUCAUGGGAUCAAUGCAGGCUAUUUGUACGCUGACCCGGUUCUUAACUCAAGUCCUCCUUGCUUGAUACAAUAUUGAAUGGAAAGUAUAUAAUCAAUUUACUUAAGUGGGUGAACAAUGUUGGCUAGUAUAUUUCAACACUCACCUCACAUGCAUCUUUUAGGGGCAUAUAAUGCAUCGUUAUGGAAACAUUUUUUCUAUAGACUAAAUUCCAAUGGAAAAUUUUAAUUAAUUUAAUUAGUAGCAAUCUCGUAUGGCAAGGAUAUAUGGCAAAUGAAAAUGAGGGCCCAAAUGCUACUUGUUGGCACACAAAAAUAAAGUUAUCUUUUUCCUCUCAUGUUGAUCCUCCGUGGUUCGACAUUGGGCAUUACAAAGAGAUCAAGUUAUCUUUACACACCGCUAGAGCUACCAGACCCCGGAUGUUCCACCAUGAAUGUCCAUAUGGUGCAAUGAGUGAUAGCGAGCUAUAUUAGAACAUAUAGUUUACACAGUUAAAGUAAUUAAAUGGGCUAUUUUGCCUACUAUGAAAAAUAUUAUUUCAAGAGAAAACUAUGUAAGAGUUUGUGAUCUUUGUAUGUAAAAGCAUUAUUUGCCUUUGCUUGGUGUUCAAGCAGUUUGAUUUAUGGCAAAAAUGGAAAAUCAUGGGACAAUAAUUGUUGAUAUUCUUUGCGGGAAAGCGAGAUGUUUUCACUUUUCAGCUCAAACAAAGUAUUGUUUUUCUUAUAGGGGUGAUAUACAGUGUUCGUGGACUUGUGAUUCGUUGUCCAUUUAAAUUUGGUUUCUUCCAUAGAUUAUGUUGGUUUGUUUCUGUAUUUAUAUCAGCACUAAAGUAUACUGAUGUUAGCUAAGUCCACUCAAAGGCCCAUGUUUUUAUCAUGUUAUGCAAAUUAGUAAGCUAAGAUCUUACCAAACUCAAGUUACAUAAGCCCAGACUACGUGAAAUACACAUCAUGCAGUACACAUGUUCAUCUUAGUGUUAUGUCAUACUUGGCUCCGAGAUAACAAAUGGUAUCAAUUAUUACUAUCUUUUGCAGCUUGUUUCUGCCUGUUCAUCCUAGAAUUAUGUUAUGUGGUCUCCCAAGGUUCAUGCAACUUGGAUUUUCAUACUUUGGUAGUAUUAGUGUUCACUAGGACUAGGUGCCACUCUAUAGAAGUUGAGGAUACAGAUGGAGAAAGUAGUCAUGGUUUUUAUUUUUCAAAUUGUUGGUUUAUAUCUAUAAGAGGUUUAUGAAUUUUCAGUUUAUGGUGUUGUGAAACCUAGAGUGUUUUAUCUCAUUUAACAUUGAACUACGCUUGCACGGAAAAACCUUAAUUUGACAUCGAACUAUGCAUGCAGGGCAAACACUCCGUGCAUCGGUGCCACCGCGCCGCGAACCCUGGGAGCUUGAACCUGGAUGGGUGUGAACUUAUGAUUGAUGUCAAGGUUAGGGGUCAGUCAUGGAUAGAGAAUAAAGGCGACUUUGCGAAACUGUUAUUAAUAAUAUGGAUGAACAUUGCCUUGUGCAGAGAAUAAGAUAUUUCCAGAGAUAUUUAUAAAUGGAUGCAUACUUGCAAUAGCAGUACAAAAUAUGAUGCUGACAUUUUAUUUUCAUUGUUGUUCCCAUUAAACUUCUGGUGAUGGCUCCAUUAUUCAAAGCCUCACACAUGAAAAUGUUAUUUCGUUCGAGUAAAUGUUGCGUGUCGUUGCUCCUGUAGUUUUGCGGUUUGCAUCUCCUUGUAACUUGUGAGUUGGAUUUUGGGAAGUUGCAAUGCAAAUUUGGGAUGCAGGGAAGAUAAUAAACAAUGCUUUCUAAGAACAUUGGAUAUUGGAUGCGACUCAGAAAGAACGCAUGCAAAUGCAAGAUGCAAGACGUAGUAGCCAAUGUCCAGGUUUAUUAAGAGCAUCUACACCGGACGCCUCAUAUCUGCCACAAUCGCCACGGCGUGCUGCCCGAUCUGUACUAGGAUGCAAAAUUGCCACCCAACAGGACCUGUAAAAUCCGGCCCAAAUGUAUAGACAUGACCGCACUCCCCAUACCCAGCCCAUAUCUCGGACGGAUAUGUGGAAGCCCAGAGGUGCCCGGACACACCCGCCAGGUAGGAUCCGGCCGACUGCGGCACACCCAACCCCACAUAAAUUGGACCCUAUCCGCACUCCGAGCGAAACCCAAGCCGCAUUCGACUCCACUCUACUCCUCGCCAGGCCACUCCCCUCCACCCACAAGCCCCAUUUGCGGAUCUCCCACCAUUUCGAGCCGUUGAACUGCUGAUCGUCCCACGCGGCCCCAAGGAGGAGAUGGUCGACUGCCUGGCGCUUCUCCACUACCGGAGGAGUCUGCCCGGCAGCGGUCGAAAUCCAUCUUGCGGGAAUCCAUUGCUUCUGCCACAAUGGUGCAUGGAUCCCGCCCGAGGGCAGUCGCCGCUGCCUCAGCAGAGGCAGUGCAGUCCGUCUGGUGUCCGAACGCCGUGGAGGAUAUGCAACCACUUUGUUGGCGCACUGAGAAAGAGAUGCACACCAGCUUAACGUCUGAUACAAAUAUGGUGUGGCGCAUCCAUCGUGUUAGGCAAUGGGCACGGGAGCACGUGGCUGCCCUCGUGCCAGACACCAGAGGGGUAGACUCGCACUCUUCGGUGCCUCGUAUCGUACCCGGCAGCCCUUGGCACCGAAAUCAUGUCGUGUUGGACGCGGCUGGCUCCACCAUGAUGGAUCAAUUAUCGACCUGGCAUCCACCGAUGACAGGCAGGGCACGGGCUCCAACGAGAAAGAGUAGGCCAUGGGAGAUGGCGCCGACUCGAGUUUCUUUUGCCGGGUCGUGUCCCAUGUCCUACUCUACCUCACCGGAGAACGACCCUCCACUUCGACAGGCUAAGACAGCCAACGGACAUGGACAGGGUUGGAACAACAAGGACAGUCGCUGGCGCAAAUUUAGACUACAGCCGUCGACGCGAGGUGAGCGCGGCACGAGUUAAUCGCUGAAGAGGUUGGGCCCUUCUGUCGCUCCUGGUCGUGCAGUAGCCGACGUAGUCCUCCAUGACCACUAGAUCGACGCCGCCACCACUGCAUGUCUAGGCGUCUCUGUAGUGGCUGAUGUCAUUAAAGUGUAUUUUCUUUGUAUUGUGAUGAUUGCAGACUGUGUUGCGUAUUGUGGCGUAUUUUCUUUGUAUUGUCAUGAUUGCAUACUGUACAAUUUAUUGUGGCAUAUUUUUUGUGGUCUAUCUUUAAAAAGAAAACUAUAAAUAGCUAAAAGUGAUGUGCAGAAUAAAUGUAUACCCGCCACUACAAAACAAAUGCCAGUACUGGCACAUAUUUUUGCCCGCCAUUAAUAGCAAUGCCUGCCACUACUACAAGAUUGAGGUCGAUGGCGGGCUGUUUGUAACGCCCGCCACUGUUAUAGUCAUCUGUGGGAGGUGGAGCGCCCGUCACUAAUGCCAUGUUGCUAGUGGCAGGCGCCUCUGAAAGCCUCACCCAUCAUUGCUAGGCUUUUGAUGCCGCCACUCCUACGCAUUCCUGUGGUAGUGUGCAAUUGCGUAUCUAGUAGAACAUAUACAACUAUCCUCCCAACAAGCAGUUUCGUCCUACCAUGAAGUUAUAGUCGCGUUGAAGACAUUCAUUUAUAAUCGAAAGUGACGUUGCAGUUGCAUAUCAAGUAGGAGAUAUUUAACUGCCUAAUGAAAAAACACUUUGUUCCCUAAGUUACAGUCGCGUUGGAGACAUGCAUUAGCGAAACGACACCACCUGUAGUUGCGUGUUUGGAGUUAGACAUGCAACUAGCUCCACAGUAAUAAUCUGAAUUUUAAGUUUUAAUGAAUUUUAAAUUAAAGAAAAAAAAUAAAAGAUGAAGAUAUAAAAACAGAAAUAGAGCAAACAAACAAUAGGAAAAAUCCUAAAAAAGGCAAAAACAAAGAAAGGAAAAACUUGUUUGAAGUUUCUAGAAGCUUCAUAAAACCAGUAGAAAGAGUCCUACAUGGGCCGGCCCACUCACACAUGUAAAAAGAGGCGGGCGAGGCAUAUGUCGACUAGCUCAGAGUUGGGGAAUCCUAUUCCGCGCAUAGGUCGCUACGUAGCGACCUAGCACGUACCCCUCGGGUUUGUGGUCCUCUUCGAGUCGGUCCAUUCCAGGUUCUUCCCCAUACCGGUUUUUAGGAAGGUUCCAGACCUUUUUUCUAUUUUCUUUGUUUUCUUCUAGUUUUUUCUUUCUUUUAUAUUUUAUAUAUUACUUCUUAUUUUCUUUUAUCUUAACUUUUCCUUUUUGGUGUUGCCAACAUAUUUUCAAAUUCAUAAACUUUUAUUGAAAUCAAGAACAGGUUUUGAGUUGACAAACAUAUAUCUGAAAUAAUAAACAUUUUCUAAUUUGACAAUACAUUUUGGAUUCACAAAAUAACAAAAAAAUUAAUUUUGAGAACAUUUUUUAAAAAAUUCUGAACAUUUUUGUCAAUCGGCCGACAUUUUUUGAAUCGAUGAACAUUUCUAUGAAUUGACAUAUGUUUUUUGAAUUGGCAAACAUUUUUUGAAUCGAUGACCAUUUUUUGAAUCAAUGAAUAUUUUUACAUGAAUGAACAUUUUUUGAAAUUCACAAUAAAAAAAUUUAUGAACAUUUAAAAAACUUGUUGAAUAGUGCUUGUAUCUCAAAUUCCGUCCUGAUUAAUUAAAGUGGUGAUACCUAUCAAAAGAAAAUAGCUACGGUUGGCACAAAAUUUACUGCAAAUUAAUCAUGUGAUGAAAGACUUAGACGUGACAUAGGUUUUUUAUGGACCCUGAUAAGUGCCACACGUCAGGGACGUUCUCAUGACAACAUUGAACAUUUUUAUGACAAGUUUAGUUGCACGAUGAUGGCAAAUUUAAUUGAAAAUCAUGAAAACUUUCGUUAUUUAUCUUAUUUUGAUAGAAACUUGUCGUGUGUCACUGGAAUUUGCGAUCCUUGGAUGACAAUAAUAUCCAUCAAAAAAGUCAGACCCAAAGUGCCAAGCACCUGACGUGUAAGACCUAUCAUUUGGAUACUUUAUACCUAAGAUAUUAUUUACCAAAACCAUAGCUGAGACAUUUUCCCCAAUGCAGGCGGGGCCGAUGAAAAGUCGAACCCCUUGCCAACCUACUCAAAAUGUGUACACGGUCUCCCUUCGUCCCGAAAUACUUGUCGGAGAAAUGGAUAUAUCUAGAUGUAUUUUAGUUCUAGAUAGAUCCAUUUUUAUGCAUUUCUACGACAAUUAUUUCCAGACGGAAGGAGUAGUAAGUAUAUAUUUGUUUCUAAAUAUAAAUAAAUUACUAUUAAAUACUACUAUACCAAAGAUAUAAGAACAUUAAAUACAAGUAUACCAAAGAUAUACCUAAAUAUAAGAAUAUUUAAUACUAGUAUACCGAAGAUAUUCUACAGUUAAAUUCUAUUAACUCUGUUCCAAAAUAUAAGAAUAUUACUAUAAAAUACUAUUAGUUGUGUUCAAAUAAUUAGUAAUAGAGAUAAUAUUCUUUAGUAGUGAUAUAUCUUUAUUGCUCAUUAAAUAUAAGAAUAUUACUAGUAUUAAAUACUAGAAUCCUAAAGAUAUAUCUAAUAGUAUACCAAAGAUAUACAACAAUUAAAUAAUAUUACCUCUGUUCCAAAAUAUAAGAUUGUUACUAUUACCUCCGCCUGGAAAUAUUUGUAAUCAAAAUGAAUAAAAAAGGAUCUAUCUAGAUGUAUUUUAGUUCUAGAUACAUCCCUUACUAUGUGUUUUGAUCACAAGUAUUUUCGGAUGGAGAGAGUAUUAAAUACUGUCACAGCUAUUCUUAAAUUUAGUAACAGAGAUAAUAGUAUUUAAUAGUAGUAUAUCAUUGUUCCAAAAUACUCCCUCCGUCGCAAAAUUCUUGUCUUACAUUUGUCUAGAUACGGAUGUAUUUAACACUAAAAUGUAACUAGAUACAUUUGUAUUUAGACAAAUCGAAGACAAGAAUUUUGGGACGGUGGGAGUAUUUGAAUAUUACUAUUAAAUACUAGUAUACCAAAUAUAUAUUUAAUACUAUACCAAAAUAUAAGAAUAUUUAAUAGAAAUAUACCAAAGAUAUGCUACUAUUAAAUGCUGGUAUUAAAUAAAUAAAUUUGUAGUUCAACGUGCGGUCCCCACCUUGGCCCGUGCCUUCCGUUUCAGUUCAUAAAGGGCAACACAUGCUUCUGCUCCUCGCUCUCAUCGACCAACUCCGCGUGUCUGCUCAACCGAUCCACCGCGAUGUCUAGCUCCGACGUCAGUGCCAUACCCGCAGCCAACCACGAGGAGCACAGCCUGGUGGCCCCCGCCCCGUCCCCUGCAGACGCUGUCGCCCAGGGGAAAGGGAAGGUGCUUGCGCAACAGGCGCCUGCGCCGGUGGUUCGCAAGCGCAAGCCCGGGAGACCCCAGGAAAAAAGCCCGCCCCCAACGGCCACCAGAGAGGAGCUGGAAUCCCGGGAGUCCCGGGAAGGCCCCUUGAAGGUGCUUGUGCUCCUGGCGCCAGGGGCCCCGCGUACUCACGCUGUCUUCGGCGACAAGAUGAUGAGACACGCUCGCGCCCUCGCCCGGCAUGCAAAGGCUGUCUCCGACGACAAGAUGGUGAGCCGUGCUCGCGCCCCCACCCUGCAUGCAAACCGUGUCUCCGAUGACAAGAUGGUGAGCCGCACUCGCUUCCCCCUCUCCAACUAGUAAUUUGAAGUUAACUCGGUGCCUAAUGAUUUGAAGUUACUGACAAUCUUUAAUCCAGUCAUGUGAAUUGUACUAGUGCUUACUGAAUUACCUGAUGUGUAUGUGCAUGAACUACGUGGUGUGUACAUGUCCUUGGAUUUUCUAAGCACUGCGGUCUCAUCUGGCAGAUGGACAAGAACGAGAUGGUGCCGGUCCAGGGGGUGCCGCGCAUGCGGGGGAGCAUCGCGUCGUCAAGUGCAGUUGGUAAGUAUACUUUAUGCUGCUUUUUAUUGUCAACAUCGUCUCCAUGCAGGCUACACUGGCAAACAAGCUGCUUAACUCUUGUGCAUGCUGGUUUUUUGUCAUCACUAGUAUACUGGUAUUGGACUGAAGCUUGUUAGCUCUGUCCAUGCUGGGCCUUUUUGUCAUCAUUAGUAUUGUUAUAUAUUAGCUGAAGCUGCACAUGUUUUCUUUCCAUUGACGUUGGUGUGGGCGGUGCUACGCGUCAGUCGGCCGAUGGAUGGACGCCUUACUCACCUGAUUUUAAUCAAGUGCCACCUAGGUGUAGUUUGUUUUGUCACUAGCUGUGUAUACAUAGGCGAGCUCCAGCACUGUGUUGCAGCGUGGAAAACAUAUGAACUGUAAUAAGAAACAUGCAAUGGCUAGAAACAUGUCCACAUAUUUUUUCAGCACGUUUUAGGUGUCAACGAAAUUAGUCGGAUCGCCAGCCGUCAAAUUGACACAUGGAGCAUUGGAUCACACUACACGGCAGCAGAGAGAAUGGAAACCGUGUUCCUCCAUAGCCUCCACAAUACAUGUGUAUCCACCAUCCCUCCCACAUCGUCGCAACAGACAAUUACAUCGGCCCCUUGCAACACCUGGCUUUGGUACCCAAGAGAUCCCUGAUGUCGCUUGGAUAUCAUGCAAGUAUUAUUACAGUGCGCCAACGAGGCGUCGUCCUUGCAAGGGCCGUGGCAUGUGGCACUAUUCGUGGGAUAAAACACACACCGCGAGAAUAUGCGGUUGCACCACUGCGAUCUGUGCAACUUAGGAAUUGUUGUGACUGCCCCUGCAAAACUAGCGAUGAUACGACCAUCGCCCUGCAACAUCGGCCAUAGUUGUAGCACAUAUGAGAAGACGGAUGCCCCACCUAACAACACAUUAUGUGUUUUUUUCACCAUAAGAAAGCACUGCCUUGCAACAUCGGCUAUCAGGGUGCUGCACCGACAAACACACUCACGACCUUGAGACGUCGUAUGCCUUGGCCGAUGUAGCAUAGUGGUCCUCUUUCAGCAUAUAGCGAUGGCUUGUAGCAAUGAUGGUCGGAGAGUCGCAGCAUCGUGGAGUGGCAGUGCUAGCCCAACUCAUUGUCAUAGAGAAAGGGGAAUAAAGGAUGGGUGUGCACGUGGUGGAAAUAAAGCGAAUGGAUAUGGUCAAGAGAGAAGAAGAUUAACAAGGGGCAUCUCGCGCUAGAGCGAUCUGACUGAUUACCCCCCAAAACCAGCUUGUUGAAUAUAAUUCAAUUUUCUUUUGAGAGACAUCAUAAAAACGUCGCAACAUGCGAGCAUGUCUAUACAAAAAAUUGUAGAUAUACGACACAUACUCAUUAGCUGCACCAAAUCAGUGAACACUAGUAGAAAAAGGGAUUUUAGUCCCGGUUCAUAAGGGCCUUUAGUCCCGGUUCUGGAACCGGGACUAAAGGGUCGUUACUAAAGCCUCCCCCUUUAGUCCCGGUUCUUACACGAACCGGGACUAAAGGCUCUCCACGUGGCCGCUGCCUGGAGGUCCACCUUUAGUCCCGGUUGGUAACACCAACCGGUACUAAAGAAAAUGAUAUGCUUUUUUUUAAAAAAAAUUUAAAAAAAAUUGGAAUAUUUUUUUUAUUUUCAAAUUUUUUAACCUCUCAUCUCUAAUCACCCCUCAUCAUCUAACUUCCCAGACGGUCACCCAUCCUCACACUACUCCAGCCUGAGUACGCUUAACUUCCGGGUUCGAUUCUCCCUCGUUUCCAAGUCCGCACUUGUAGUUUUCUUGACAAUAGUAAGAUGUCAAUCCUAUUAACCUCAGGAAUUUAGCUUGAGCAUGAAGUCACACAUUUCACUGUUUGAGUUUGAAACUAUUGUUCUAAAAAAUAACACUAAUAUUUAGUAACACUAAUACUUCUUGAAUAAUUAGUUUGACCAUUGUUUGACCAGAUUUGACCAAAAUUCAAAAAAAAUGAAAUAAUUAUUUAGUAACACUAAUAUUCUUGAAUAAUUAUUUAGUAACACUAAUACUUCUUGAAUAAGUAGUUUGACCAUAGUUUGACCAGAUUUAAAAAAAAAUAAAAAAAACUGAAAUUUGAGCAUAACUUUUUUUCCUUUUUCAUAUUACGCAUCAUAUUUUGAAAAACAAUUCCCGAAAAAAAAUUCGAAACUAAUUUUUUUUUCUGUUACUAGUAAGUUUGAAAUUUUUUGACUCCAGAUCUUAAAAGCCCCGUAACUUUUUUCUGUUAGGUUUGUGAGGAUUUUGAACAUUUUUAACGGAUGUAACUUUUUGAGUAGAUGCUUUUUCAUAUAAAAAACUUUUUCAUCCGAGUUAGUAUGCAAAAGUUAUGCCCAUUUUACAAAUUCCACAGAGAUUUUGCAAAUAAAGUCGAAAUUCAUAUUUGCAAAUUUUCCCAACAACUAGACCACAAAUCACAUGGGAAACUUAUUUUCUUUUAUUUUUUGACAUUUCCGUCAUUUUCUUUUAUUUUUUAAAACUGAAAAGGCGAUCCACCGGGGGGGGGGGGGUGUUAGAGUUUGAAAAUGGGACCUUUUAGUACCGGUUCGUGCCAUGAACCGGUACGAAUGCCUCAAACGCCAUUAGUCCCGGUUGGUGGCUCGAACCGGGACUAAAGGUCUAACCUUUAGUACCGGUUGGUGCCACGAACCGGUAGUAAUGGGCAUCGAACCCUUUAGUCCCGGUUUGCGGCACCAACUGGAACUAAAAGGUCCAGACGAACCGGGACAAAUGGCCCACGUGGCCCGGCCGGCCCCCUGGGCUCACGAACCGGGACCAAUGCCCCCAUGGGUCCCGGUUCUGGACUGAACCGGGACUAAUGGGCUAACCCGGCCUGGACCAAAGCCCUCUUUUCUACUAGUGGAAAAAACACAAUGUAUAUAGGCCUGAACCGAUGGAUCAUCAGCAUGCAUCUACCAGGUCUUCCUAGGUUACGCCCAAUCGUGACUCGUUCAAUUGGGUCACACAUCACUACCCAAUCAACCACCAACUUAGUUGUUCCUCUCGUCUCCUCUACCCACCCUUCGCAACAUACACCCAUGAUUCUCAGCAAUAGACCAACAUGGAGGCGACAAUGGUGGCCAUGAUAGGCUAGUGAAAAGCACACUGGUGAUCAACCUUACAACACUAAACAGAACAUUGGAACAUGAGGUAACCCCAACUUUGUAGCACUGGUGCACCAUUUUCAUCUACCUUGUAGAAAUGAAAAGUUCAAUGACCAAUAGCAUUGCUGCACCAAGUUACUGGCUUCCAGCACUGAACACACGGGCUUGCAGCACCGCGAUGAUCGAUGGUCGGCCUUUCAACAGUAUUAGUUAACAUUCCACGGCUCGUCUCCAUUUUUAUGUACAUACACAUGAGUGAUAUUGGAACAUCAGUAACGUAUCAACCUUACCAAACAUGAAGACGAUAAAUUUGUUUCUCCAAGCAUAGACGUUACUGAAUAAGCGUGCAACUGCACAUCCACCACAUGAGCCAUAAUUUUUUAGCUCUGCGACAACAGCUUAUAGUUUCAAAAGAGUUUUGAUGAUGGUUUAGAAUGUAUAUGAUCAAAAUAGAUUAAAUGGAGGGGAGGGUGGACUACCUAUGUUGAAUCAGACUAGCCGCAAGGUCACAAGUGCCUUGUCUAAAUAGCCAAAAAGACAAAAGGAGGCCUCCUGGAUUCUCCAUCCUGAAGCUAAGCAUAACUCCAACUCCGGACACGCUAGGGGGCUAAUAAAGGUGCAAUACGCUAGGGGUGUCUUCUGGGUGGGAAGCCCGGUAGCAAGCCUGACUUAGGGCCCAAGAGGCCAAGUGGAGGACCGGUGCAAUAGGGAAGCUCAGGAGCCCAGAUAAGGACUGUUAGAGCAUCUUGGCAGGCAAGCUAAGAUGGCAGUGGUAUGAGAUCUGAUGGAUUCCUUGUAAACCUAGCCAUCGCCACCUAUAUAAGGAGGGGCUCGGGGUUGUCAUUCACAUAUACUCUCGUAGACUAUACUCUCUGUAGCAUUAUACUUCAUCUCCACUCUAAACCCCUCGCACAAGGUGCUCCACCAUGAAUAAAAAUCAGAUACAGAAUGUUGGGCAUUACCUCUCACCGAGGGCCCGAACCUAGGUAAAAACCUUUGUGCGAACUCCCUUGUCGUGUAUCCCUACAAGUUCACCACCCUACUAUGGGUACUCACGGUUUUACAUAAUGUCACAUAGUUAAGUUCUGACACAUUUUCUCUGGGGAGUUGAAGCAACUCAUGGUGUAAGUAGGUGUUGCUUGAAGCACUGAUUCUACUAGCACCUCCUUUCCCGCCUUCUAGAUACCUUGUCCUUCCUAUCCGACCACUUUGCCAUUUGAGCUUUCUUUAAGAUGUUUAAAAUUUCCUUCCUUUGACCUACCCACCACGGUUGGGAGCCCCAAAUAAUGCUCGCUCAAUGCCUUAGGAUCUGUGCAAAGAUAUUUACAACAACUUAGUCCUCCUAUUUUUCUCACUUCCCAAAGAAUGUUGAGGCUUUUUUAAAAUUUCCUAUUUGUCCCGAGGCCCACUCGUAGUCAAAGAGGAUAUAUUUAAGGUUACAAAGUUGCCAUUUGAUGGUUGAAGAAAUACUAUACUAUCAUCUGCAGAAAUAAGAUGGGCUACAUGGGGGUUAGUGCUCCCAAAAGAUAUACCAUUGAUCUCUUUAUCUUUGAGCACUCAUGAGAAAGGCCAAGAAACUCGCAACAUAGAAAAUAAAAAAAUAGGGAGACCGUGGGUCUCCUUGCCAGAGCCCUCUUCAUUGUAUAAAAAAUACAUAACACACUCCUUUCAAUUUGAUAGAAAACUUGGCCAGGGUACCACACAUCAUAAUCAUCAAGAUCAACCUAUGCGAGAAACCAAGUGCCCUCAUCAUUAGAUCAAGGAAAAUCCAAACCACCCUCUUAUAGGCCUUCAUCAUGUAUAGUUUAAUUGCGAACAUUGGAUUUUUCUAUUUCUUGAACGAACAUACUUUGCUCCUGAGUGAUCAUUAUGGAUAGGACAACCUUCAAUCUCUUUGCUAGGCCUUUGAAGCAAUCUGACUGAGUGUGUUCAAUAAGUUGAUUGAUCCAAUUUAAGGAAGUAUCUCCACAGGUAAUUUUGGGGAUUAGGACUGGAACCAUAUCAAUAAAGUUUGUGAAAUAACUCCAUUAAAAGAAUCACCUAUUACUAUGCGUACAUCAUUUUUUAGAAAUAACUAGUGAAAUUGGUAAAAAUAAGUGAGAGGUUUGUCUAGCCCCUGCGCUCUUGCCAGUCAAAUUUAGAAUAGUGCAUUCUAAAUUUCUUCAUCCAUCACGUCCGUGUUCACCCUCUCCUCCAUAUGACUAGUCACACAGGGUCGGAUGUGAGCUAAGAUGUUGUCAGCAUCAGCAGAGGCUUCUGAAGAAAACAACUAAGCAUAGAAAUUGGCCGAAAUCUUCCCCAUCUCAUUGUCAAUAGUACAACUCGUGCCAUCCGCCCUCAUGUUUUGAUCGUCUUCCUUGAGAAAUUCCAGUCGGGAACAUUGCAUACACAUUAUUUGUUCCUGUGCACGAACCACAUGAAGCUACGCUUCAAUCUCGCUGGUCUUCAGCGAGGAUGUCUGGAUCCCAAUGCUCUACCCUUUCCAUCGAAGCUGGAACUUGUGCCUAGUAAUCUCACAACAUACAAGACAAAAUACAGAGCCACUUCAAUGUUUCAUAUCAUUUGUAACAUUGUUACGCUUCCUGUAGAGCUCACUCUGUCUGGAAUUGUUAUCACAUGCACACUAUCAUGCUUCCAUGGGCAUCCACCUCUCCUCAAACGUUAAUGCCCUAUUCUUACAUUUGGUAAUGACUAGGUUUUCUAGCGCUCUAUUAACGAGCAAACCAUGGUCUGAUCCUCCAUGACAACAUGUUCAAUGGGUGUAUCCUACAAUGAAUGCACAAAUUCAUCAUUGCAUGGACCCCUGUCCACAUGUACAUAAACGAUCUCAUCCCGCUUCCUCUUAUUGUCCCAAGUGUACAGGUUGCUACUAAAACAAAGUUUUGAAACACUAUUUUUGGCUACACUCUCCCUAAUGCGCUCCAUUUGUGUGAAACUCCUCAAGUAGUAUCCUAGUUGUUGUGAUUAAAAGAAUUCUUGGUUGAGGUAUCGUUGUAACAGAUAAAUGUAUUAUUAGGAUCCAUUCUCUCGGAGCCUCCCUUAGCUACACAAAUUUUCUUCAAUCUCUCUUCCUAUCCAGUAGCUUUAGGUGAUAAUCAUUGUGACGCCUUUGGUGGUCACCAUCACCUUGCCUCGUCUUAUGAACAAAAGUGCCUCGUCUGCGUUGCUCUAAGGUAGAUGGGUCAUCUUUGCCAAUGGCCUUGCACCCUUUCCCAUAUACAUUUUUUAUGUCUUGCUUCCUUUCAUGCUCCUUUCUCAGGUCCCACUUCCUUUUUAGAUUUAAAUCAUCCCUUAGUUCACAAUCAUGUCACAGAUCUUGCCUGCAUUGGUCCUCCCUUCACUUCAUCUUAGACAGUUACCCUCUACAAGACCAUCUCGAGAAUCCUCGCCAGAGAGAGAGAGUCCAUAGAGGGCGUAUAGUCAUUGUAUGACCUGCACGUAAAUGGACAGACAUGCAACGCUACAUGACCCAUGCGCCCAUACACGCCCUUGCUUGACCUGGUGCUCCCAAAACUAAAGUUCAUGCUUUCUUUCACCGGCCUCUACUUUGUUUUUGUCUGUGAGGAGCCAUGUCCAAGUGAUGCCCUCAACCAUUCACCCAACUGGGGGUGAGGAAUCAUUUUGUGGUUCAAAUCAUCCAUCAACAUGUGCUAGUCUAUCGUAGUCAAUCCAAAAGAGAGGUAUCUUGUCAAAUUGAAAAUCAAACAAGGUCCCCUCAUCUUUUGCUGAAGAGUGGAGAAAGAAGCCUCAGACUAGUGAAAGAAAUAUGAAAAUUCUAUCUCUAAAUCUGAGAUGGUUCCCCCAUAAAUCCAUCCUUCUUAACAUCACUCUUUACCACGCCACCAGGACAAUUCCCAAGAGCAUUCCCAAAAGUAUAUGAUCAUUUAUAUAGGGGAGGAUCGGUAAUUAUCACCCAUGGCUCUGUCAUACAAAACAUUAUCUUCGAUGACCUAGUUUUUUCAUCAUAAUCCUUCAAAACUAUCAAAUUAAAACCAAAUUGCCACAUUCAAUUAUAUAUAGCGUGCUUCUAGACUCCUUUGUUAUGGAAUCUAAAGAAGAAGAUAUUAUUUCUAAUGUGACUUAUUUGGGCUUCCUAGUAGAGUCCCAUGUAUGUUGCAUAGUGCUAGCAAACACGUUGAUGUUGAUUUGCUGGAGUGAGCAUGCCUUUCCAACCACUGACCACCGAGUAGGCCUCGGUUGGUCUUGAAUCCUGAUCCUCAAACAUGAGAUCUAUUAGUUCCUUUUGGUGUCAAGUUCAGGGCUCCUUGUUAAUUUGGUUGUGAGAUUAGCUGCCUCCCAUAAAGCAUUUCCUUUUGUCAGGGACUUUGAAGGUUCUCAUCUUAACGAUCCUUGGUCGCCCUAUUCACUUGAGCUGUCAAUUUACGCCACGCCUUCUCUCCCGUCGUUGUGCAAAGGAGUGGAAGCACCAAGACCAAUCAAUGUAGGAGUUUACAAUGUCAUCACCACAUAGAUGAAUAGAACCCUAACCCUAGCACACUUGUCGGUCCCCUAUAAUCGCCCUUAGCAUUUCUUUUCAUGCUGGGCCUGCCACUAGGUAUUUAUACGUGUGCUUCCAUUGGUACCUUUUUUGCGCUGGAGCCUUUCUGCUACAUUUUCCUUUAUACACAGGUGGUCUUAUCCAAAUCAUAUAGUCUCCUCUAUCUAUAGGAAGCGAGGACAUUAGCUCUUCUUUUUUUCAAGGCAAAUACACUUGCUAGUGUUCAAGCGACAUCGAAAAAAGUCUUGUCACAUGUGAAGACGACUCUAAGAGUGUGACACAUAUAGGUGCCAACUUGAAGAAUAAUGCAAAUUUCAGUAAAUAUUAAUAGCUCCAGGGGGAACGAGCGCACAAAGGAAUCAGCCACCAUAAAUGGAUCAUUUCCAAAGAAACAAAGUCACAAAGAGAGAGACAAGACAUUAGCUUCUUUAUGGGGAACACAUAUAUUUAAAUGUUUCCUUGCUCUCUGAUUAUUAACAAGAAAUAUUUUUUACUAAUAUAUUAUGUGUAAAUCUUGGUAGAUAUGGAAUGUAUUUUGGUCGGUAUAUUUUAAGCAAUCAUAUUAGUUUUUGGUAUGUUGAAAUUAGAAGAAGUUCAUGUGCCUUCAAGGUGUGUGGUUCCACCUCAAAAUUGGUACAUACGAAAUGGUUAUUCUCCCUACAUAUAGCCCCAAUUCUCAUGCUCUCUCUCUCUCUCUCUCUACAUUUUAUAUUCCAGACUACUCCAUAAAGCCUAACUGGUGAAGGUCCAGAAACACCCAGCAGUGACGGGUUCAACUCCCAUUAGUAGUCUAUACUUAGUGGAGGAGAAACAAGCCACUUAUAGGCACGAGCCUGCCAAUGGUGAAUAAAUCAGAAAAGAAAAUCAGGCCAUGGCUAGUCCAAAUCCGGCACCUGCCAACAAUGUGUAGUCUACAGUACUCGAACCUACUUUUCAUCAGUGUGUUACAUCAUGUGAUGUUUGGAGAAGCCAUAGAGUUGGGGUUCCGAAUAUUGAAAACAACAAUGGGGAGUGGCUUGAAGAAUCGGACACUAGUAGAAAAAGGGCCUACAGUCCCAGUUGGUGAGGGCCUUUAGUCCCGGUUCAUGAACCGGGACUAAAGGGUCGGUACUAAUGCCCUGACCCUUUAGUCCCGGUUCAAUCCAGAACCGGCAUUGGUAGAAAAAGAGGCUUCCGUCCAGCCCCAUUAGUCGCGAAACUGUAGGAACCGCGACUAAUGAAGUCUUUAGUCGCGGUUCGGCAGAUGAACCGCGACCAAAGGCCUGGGCCCAGGGCGCUCGGUGGCCAGCUGGUGCACGUGAGGGGCUUUAGUCGCGGUUGGCCAGGCCAACCGCGACUAAAGGUGCCCAAAGGCCUUUAGUCGCGGUUNNNNNNNNNNNNNNNNNNNNNNNNNNNNNNNNNNNNNNNNNNNNNNNNNNNNNNNNNNNNNNNNNNNNNNNNNNNNNNNNNNNNNNNNNNNNNNNNNNNNNNNNNNNNNNNNNNNNNNNNNNNNNNNNNNNNNNNNNNNNNNNNNNNNNNNNNNNNNNNNNNNNNNNNNNNNNNNNNNNNNNNNNNNNNNNNNNNNNNNNNNNNNNNNNNNNNNNNNNNNNNNNNNNNNNNNNNNNNNNNNNNNNNNNNNNNNNNNNNNNNNNNNNNNNNNNNNNNNNNNNNNNNNNNNNNNNNNNNNNNNNNNNNNNNNNNNNNNNNNNNNNNNNNNNNNNNNNNNNNNNNNNNNNNNNNNNNUGUAAGAAUCAGAAGGGUUACUCUUCCUCAAGAGAAGUUCACCUGCACCUGCUUCGGCACGGUUUCAUGCCAAGCUAUAAUUGUUGGACCAAGCAUGGAGAAAGAGGGGUUAUAAUGGAAGAAGAUGAAGAAGGGGAUGAUUUCAUCGAUGAAAGCUAUCUUGCUCAUUUCGGUGAUACUUUCAUGGAGGAUGCUGAAGGUGAAGGGGAAGGUGAAGGGGAAGGUGAAGGUGAAGAAGAGGCACGUGAUGAGACCGUUGAUGAUCUUGGUCGGACCAUUGCUGAUGCACGGAGACGCUGCGAAACUGAAAAGAAGAGGGAGAAUUUGGAUCGCAUGUUAGAGGAUCACAGAAAGUCGUUGUACCCCGGAUGCGAUGAUGGUCUGAAAAAGCUGGGCUGCACACUGGAUUUGCUGAAAUGGAAGGCACAGGCAGGUGUAGCUGACUCGGCAUUUGAAAACUUGCUGAAAAUGUUGAAGAAUAUGUUUCCAAAGAAUAACGAGUUGCCCGCCAGUACGUACGAAGCAAAGAAGGUUGUCUGCCCUCUAGGUUUAGAGGUUCUGAAGAUACAUGCAUGCAUCAACGACUGCAUCCUCUACCGCGGUGAAUACGAGAAUUUGAAUGAAUGCCCGGUAUGCACUGCAUUGCGUUAUAAGAUCAGAGGCGAUGACCCUGGUGACGAUGUUGAUGGCGAGAAACCCAGGAAGAGGGUUCCUGCCAAGGUGAUGUGGUAUGCUCCUAUAAUACCAUGGUUGAAACGUCUAUUCAGGAACAAAGAGCAUGCCAAGUUGUUGCGAUGGCACAAAGAGGACCGUAAGUCGGACGGGGAGUUGAGACACACCGCAGAUGGAACGCAAUGGAGAAAGAUCGACAGAGAGUUCAAAGAUUUUGCAGCUGACGCAAGGAACAUAAGAUUUGGUCUAAGUACAGAUGGCAUGAAUCCUUUUGGCGAGCAGAGCUCCAGCCAUAGCACCUGGCCCGUGACUCUAUGCAUCUACAACCUUCCUCCUUGGUUGUGCAUGAAGCGGAAGUUCAUUAUGAUGCCAGUGCUCAUCCAAGGUCCGAAGCAACCCGGCAACGACAUCGAUGUGUACCUAAGGCCAUUAGUUGAUGAACUUUUACAGCUGUGGGGCAGACCUGGUGUCCGUGUGUGGGAUGAGCACAAAAAAGAGGAAUUUAACCUACCAGGGUUGCUUUUCGUAACCAUCAACGAUUGGCCUGCUCUUAGUAACCUUUCGGGACUGUCAAAUAAGGGAUACAAUGCAUGCACGCACUGCUUACAUGAGACUGAAAGUGUACAUUUGCCAAAUUGUAAGAAGAACGUGUACCUUGGGCAUCGUCGAUUUCUUCCGAAAAUUCAUCCAGUAAGAAAGAAAGGCAAGCAUUACAACGGCAAGGCAGAUCACUGGCCGAAGCCUGCGGAACGCACUGGUGCUGAGGUAUUUGAUAUGGUCAAGGAUUUGAAAGUCAUCUUUGGAAAGGGUCCUGGCGGACAAUCAGUUCCGAAGGGAGCUGACGGGCACGCAGCCAUGUGGAAGAAGAAAUCUAUAUUCUGGGAGCUAGAAUAUUGGAAAGUCCUAGAAGUCCGCUCUGCAAUCGACGUGAUGCACGUUACGAAGAAUAUUUGCGUGAACCUCCUAAGCUUCUUGGGCGUGUAUGGGAAGACAAAUGAUACAAAGGAAGCACGACAGGACCAGCAACGUUUGAAAGACCCUGAUGACCGGCAUCCGGAAUGGUUUCAAGGUCGUGCCAGCUACGCUCUGACCAAAGAAGAGAAGGUCAUCUUUUUUGAAUGCCUGAGCAGUAUGAAGGUCCCGUCUGGAUUCUCGUCCAAUAUAAAGGGAAUAAUAAACAUGGCGGAGAAAAAGUUCCAAAAUCUGAAGUCUCACGACUGCCACGUGAUUAUGACGCAAUUGCUUCCGAUUGCUUUGAGGGGGCUCCUGCCGGAAAAUGUUCGAGUAGCCAUUGUGAAGCUAUGUGCAUUCCUCAAUGCAACCUCUCAAAAGGUAAUCAAUCCAGAAGAUCUACCACGGUUACAGAACGAUGUGAUCCAAUGUCUUGUCAGUUUCGAGUUGGUGUUCCCGCCAUCCUUCUUCAAUAUUAUGACGCACCUCUUGGUUCACCUAGUCGAAGAGAUUUUCAUUCUCGGUCCUGUAUUUCUACACAAUAUGUUCCCCUUCGAGAGGUUCAUGGGAGUAUUAAAGAAAUAUGUUCGUAACCGUGCUAGGCCAGAAGGAAGCAUCGCCAAGGGCUAUGGAAAUGAGGAGGUAAUUGAGUUUUGUGUUGACUUUGUUCCUGACCUUAAGCCGAUUGGUCUUCCUCGAUCGCGGCACGAGGGGAGACUAAGUGGAAAAGGCACGAUCGGAAGGAAAUCAACGAUAUGUAUGGACGGCCAUUCUCUGACUGAAGCACACCACACUGUACUGACCAAUUCCAGCUUGGUGGCUCCGUACUUUGAGAAACACAAGAAUAUUUUAUGCUCGGACAACCCGGGGAAGCCUAAAUCCUGGAUUAGGAAGGCCCACAUGGAGACUUUCGGCAGUUGGUUGAGGAAACAUUUAAUGAAUGACAAUGAUGUUGUAGAUCAGUUGUACAUGUUGGCCAAGACACCAUCUUCGACUAUAACGACUUUCCAAGGGUACGAGAUAAAUGGGAAUACAUUUUACAUGAUCGCCCAAGAUAAAAAGAGCACCAACCAAAACAGUGGUGUCCGCUUUGAUGCAGCAACCGAGAAUGGGCAAAAGGUCACAUAUUAUGGUUACAUAGAGGAGAUAUGGGAACUUGACUAUGGACCCUCCUUUAAGGUCCCUUUGUUCCGGUGCAAAUGGUUCAAGCUAACAGGAGGUGGGGUAAAGGUGGACCAGCAAUACGGAAUGACAAUGGUGGAUUUCAACAAUCUUGGUUACCUUGACGAACCAUGUUUACCUGGAGCACUCCACCACAACAACCCCAUUCAAGAUGGCUAUGCUCGUGUCAUGGUGGAGGACAUAGUCCAAGGGUUUGAGGACCUGGAGAUUGACAUUGCUACACCUGAAGGGGAGAAAAGACUUGGAGAUGUCAAGCGCCAUUUCAUUCUAUGGCAAAAGAAGUUUAUCAAGUUUCCAGGCGAGGCGCCAAGGACAACAAGUCCACCCCCCUACGGUGGUGGCGGUUCACCUACACCUCCAUCACGUCAGCUGACGCCCCCCAGUCCACAACGUCCGGCGGGUGAUCAGACGCCGCCCCCCAGUCCUCGUCCGGCGGGUGAUCAGACGCCGCCCCCCACCUCCGGCAAAGAAGCAGAAGCAGUCCUGGAUUAUUAACCCGGACCCUUAUGUACCUAAGACCACAAAGGUACCAGAGCCAUCACUGAAGCCUCUCCCCACAAGGCCUUGGGAACGUAGUGCCGAGGAAACUGCCGCGGCCGCGGCUGCUGAUCAUGAGAAAUGGAAGGCAGACUGCAAGAAGAAAAGAGAGCCCGAGCCCAAGCCAGUAUUUUCUGAUGAGCAAAAGAAGUGGGCUAAGUCAUUUUUGAGCACACCGUCCCAAGCCGCGAAGAAUCUGCCUGACGACUAUGCACGUGAACUUCGUAGGCAGGCACUCAUGUUGAAGGAGAAGAAAGAGCAGGCGGAGAACCAGGAGAACAAAGCCUUGGAGGAGGCCGAGAAAAUGGAAUUAGAAAGUAAAAAAAGCGGGAAACAAGUUGCCCAGCUCGGGGAACAAAGUAAACAAUCGAUUGCCCCGCUUAUAGUGAAAGCCGCCGGUCCGGAUGACCCCGAUAUCAUAGCAGCUGCGGCAGCACAUGGAUUGACUAUAACGAGUGCCAGAGAACAAGCAGCCAACUUAGGUAUUACUCUUCGUGAACUGUUAGGCCUUGAUGAGGCGCCAGUGAAGGAGGUAGUAAUUACAUAUGUGAAGAAUGGGCCUCUCGUCGAGCCUGCGCAGGAAGAGGAUCUACCUCCACAAAUGAAAGGUCUGCUGAAAUGGUACAAGGGUUACAUAAAAAAUAAAAACGCCAAAGAAUAUAUUUAUGCGGAAGUUAGAUAUGAGCAUCACAUCAAACAUUACUAUGUACAAAUUCAUCUGAGUGAAUUGUUCCAGCUUUUCAAUCUGCGCGAGCUCGACAAAUCUAUCAUCAGUUGCUACGUUCUGUAAGUGAUUUAUUUCUACCCCAUCUCGUUCAUAUUGCCUGCACUAUAUAUAUGUCCUAACUAUAUUGUUGUGUCCGCUAUUAUACAUGCAGAAUGAAGAUUAAGGAAUGCAGAGUAAGGAACAUCCAUGAUGUUGGGUUCAUUGACCCACACAUCAUUAAUGGAUAUGUGUUGGAGCAUCACCCCGCCGACAUGGAGGCAGACCUGUGGCAGUUUCUUACAAAGCAGGAACUCAAAAGUAAUAUUCUAUUUCCUUACCAUUUUGGGUGAGUGUUUCUGUCUUGAGCACAUUCUCUUUUGUUUACUCCAUGCAUGGUAUGUGGCCGGCUAAUCGAUGAGUUAUGCAUGACGUACUGUGCAUGUAUCGUGUCCGCAGGUUCCACUGGAUUCUGCUAGUAAUUAAAGUUGACACCUCAGAAUGUCUCGUCCACGACUCUCUGAAUAAGGAUCCAAAGCUUUGGGGCGGCAUGAGAAGAAUGCUGCAGAAGUAAUUAUUUUCAUUCAUUUGCGCUCUAUAUCGAUCGGCCUAUUUCGUUCAUUUCCUAAUAUCAUGUAACUAAUAACUCUCUUGUUCAUUUAAUUUUCUUUGCCUCGUAGGGUUUGGAGACGGUUCGUAGAUACAAAGGUCGGUGAAUUCAAAAAAGAGCUAGAAUUCAAAAGGUCAAAGGCUAAGAAUGGUGAGGAUAUUCAGCCAGCGGGGACCAAUCUAUGUGCAUACUAUGUCUGUGAGAUGAUCCGGAGAUACACCUCUGAGCGGCGGGUUCCGAGUGAUACCAAUGCUCAGAGGAAUAACCUCCGGAUGAUGCUUAGUCCAGAAGCUCGCUUCCGACCACUUCAAGAGGAACUAACUGGAUGGUUCAGGAGGGAAGUCCUCCAUCCUAAAGGAGAACACCAUUACGAGGACGUAGAACUUUAUAUGCAUUAAAUUAUGUAUGGAAACUUGUUCAAAAUUGUAUAUGAUCAUCCGAUGAUAUUGAAUAUAUAUUGUAUAUUCCUCUUGAAUUCUUUUUGGUUCUAAUUUCAAAUUUGUUUGAAAUUGUACAUUCAUAUGCAUGUAUGUAGUACCGUAGAAUAUGUGAAACUCCUUCAAAAUUAAAAUAAAGCACAAAAGAAAUAAAACAAUACAAAUUAAACAGAAAACAGGUUUAGGGGGGGGGGCUAAAACCCUAAACCUGCGGCGGCCUUUAGUCGCGGUUGGCCAGAAGAACCGCGACUAAAGGUCCUCCGCCCCGACGGCCGCCUGGCGCCCACGUGGACGGGCCUUUAGUCGCGGUUCUUAAGCAACCGCGACUAANNNNNNNNNNNNNNNNNNNNNNNNNNNNNNNNNNNNNNNNNNNNNNNNNNNNNNNNNNNNNNNNNNNNNNNNNNNNNNNNNNNNNNNNNNNNNNNNNNNNNNNNNNNNNNNNNNNNNNNNNNNNNNNNNNNNNNNNNNNNNNNNNNNNNNNNNNNNNNNNNNNNNNNNNNNNNNNNNNNNNNNNNNNNNNNNNNNNNCCAAUACCACUAAUAGAAAAAGGGCCUACAGUCCCGGUUGGUGAGGGCCUUUAGUCCCGGUUCAAUCCAGAACCGGGACAGAUGGGCCUCCACGUGGCCUGUCCGCUGAGCCCAGGCAGGAGGGCCUCUUGUCCCGGUUGGUGGCACCAACUGGGACCAAUAGGCAUCCACGCGUCAGCAUUUCUGUGGCUGGGGUUUUUGUUUUUUUUUUGAAAGGGGGGGGGGUUUGGGGGGUUUUGGGGGGUUAAUUUAGGUGUUUCAUAUAUUGUGCUAUAGCUAGCUAAUUAAUAGAGAGAAGUGUCCUCUCUUUUGUCCGUGCUUGGUCGACGCUACGUACCAUACAUACGUAUAGAGAGGACUAGCUAGACACGCUAGCUAGCUAGUAAGCAAACAGAAGAUCGUCAUGAACAUAUAUGCAUACAAAGAGAAGUGAUAUCGACCACCUCUCCUUCUUCGGGAGAUUGGUCGAACAACAAGUUCUCGUAUAUCUAUCCGACACUACCGGCUACAUAUAUACAAUAAUUAUCUUUUACAAAUAUAUAAUCUCCUAAAAUACGGAUGCGUGGUCCACAUAGUAUUCUCCGUCUUCAGCGAUCACGUGGUCAAGAAAGAAUGCCGCCAAUUCCUCUUGAAUUGCUCGCAUGCGAUCUGGUGCUAGGAGUUCAUCCCGCAUCCGAAACAUCUAAUUUUAAGAAGGGGGUCAAUACAUAUAUAUAUAUGAAUGAAUGAAACUCAACACAAAUGAUGGUAAUAAAAUAAAAUUGUGACUAUUGUUAUUUACGCACUUCAUAUUGUUUGUCGGAGUAGCCCCACUCACAGGUCGUGUGGCGGAUGGACUCGCAAAUGUAGUAUCCACAGAAAUCAUUUCCUUGUUCCUGCCACAACCACUUUACAAGAAAUAGAGGUCAAUCAAACUGAUAAUUAGCAAGCAUGCUAAAUGGUAUUGAUGAAACUAGCGCUUGAAUCACUAGGAGAUUCCUGGAAUAUGCUACUAUAUAGUACUUACUUUCGGGUGCCUAAAUUGCAGCUUCUUCGGUAGUCCCGGAGCUUUUUUGGUGAAUUUUCUCCCAGCCCUGCCAUACAAAGAAAACAAUUACUUGAUAUCAGAAAUGAACAAAGUUGCUGAUAUGGUGGAUAAUGAUCGAUUUAACUUACUUCUCGAGCAUUUCAGUCAUGUCCGCAUACUCCUUGGGAUUUUUUCGCUUGGAGUCUAAGACAGUUACUACUCCCUUCUCAAGCUUAAUCUCUAGGAGAAUAUAGUGGUAGCUGCGCACACAUGCAUAACUCAUCAAUAUUACAUUACUAUAACCUGGACUAAUAAGGAAACCGAAUAUGCCUUUGUGUUCAUUCACUUGAAGGGCUGAGUUGUAAGGAAAGAGUAUUAUAUCUUUGUGUUCAUUUAUUUCCAACGAUCGUAGCAAGUUGGCCUCGGUUUCUUGGGCACGAUAUUGAACCUCAGUUGCAUCUAUGAGAUACGUGUUAAUGAACCCAAUAUCUUCCACUUGUCUUUUCUUCAAUUCGGUGAUCUUCAAUCUGCAUAAUAUAGUGAGGAUAAUUAUAAAUACAUGCAAUGAAAGGGCUGAGUUAUAUAGAGAGACUUAAUGACAGAAGUAGUACUACUUACAGACAGUAGGAGGUGACCGUUGCUUUAUCGAUGGCCAAUUGAUUGAAAAACUGAUAGAACUCCUCAAAUGGAAUAGGCAACAGUUCAAUUCCAAGGAGGUCAUGCUCCUUUUUAACUCUCACAUACAAAGUACUCCUCCCCUCAGACUCUUUGCAGGUUUUCAUGUACCAAUCACGCAAUCUUCGCAUCAUCGUUGAUAGAGAAUUUUCAUCUUUGACGAGAGGCUUCCCGUACUCGUAUCUUUGUAUCUGCACCUCCAAGAUAUCAUAAUGUACAUCGUCGGGCAGGUAAUCUGCAGGAUUGCCAUAACCGGGCACCAUCCUUGGAUCGACGAUGUCGCUAGCAGGCACCUUGAGCGGGGGGCACGAUUGCUUCGCUUGUUCGCCGAGCUGGGCAAUUUGUUUCCCAGCUCGUCGUUCUUUCAUCCUUUGAUCACUUUUAGUACUUCCCGACCUCUCCGCUUCGGCAAAUGCCUUUCCAAUAAUGCGAUCAUAGUUGCCUUUCGGCGGAGACUUGGGUGGUUUUGUCAGGGCAGCCAAAGUGCGCUUCGCUUUCACCGGAUCUACCUUCUCCUCCGGAGGUGGAUGUCUCUUUGCUUUCAACCCUUGAAACCAGUCAUCCACUUCGGUCUACGCGAUCUUUGCGUUUUCCUCCUCGCUCCUCUCGUACGGUAACUUCUCUAGAGUCUUCAGAGAAGGACCGAAUCUGUAUCUUCUCCCGCCUUUGGCUGUACUGCUAGACGCCGGUAGAGUAGACAGAGCGGAUGUCUUCUUUCCUUGAUUACGAGGCGGAGGAGAAGGACUACGACGCGCUAGAGCAGCCGGAGCGGCGGCGGGUCUCUUCCGCCCUUGCUGAGAGGCGGAGAAGGAGGAGGCUGGCUGCUCGGGCGCGCCGGCGCAGGCGGAGAAGGAGGCGGAGUGCCGCCACGCGCCGGAGAAGGAGCCGGCCGAGUGCCCUGAUCGUCACUCGCCGGAGGAGGAGGCGGUGAAGGAGGCGGAGUGCCCUGACUCGUCAGAGGAGGAGGAGGAGGCGGAGGCGUCCAGUUCGGAAGGUUGAUGAGAUCCUUCCGCCAUAGGCAUGGAGUCUUCAGAGCAGAACCCAGCCGAUACUCCCCUUCACCAGUAGGGUGGUCAAGCCGGAGGUCCUCAAAUCCCUCCGUUAUUUCAUCGACCAUCACCUUAGCAUAUCCUUCUGGAAUCGGCCGGCAGUGAAAAGUUGAGUCGGGUUUAGUAGGAUAAACAGAGCCAACAGCCGCCUUGACCUUCAAAUUGCUCCAUUGCGCCAUAAGGUGGCAAUUUUCAGCAUCCGUGAUAGCAUCCACGGGAUAGCUGGCAGGAGCCGUCAAGGCAUGCUCUGGCUGAAGCAGCUCGGUGGAAGCCACGCUGCUUCUCCGCUGAGAUGGCGGGGUAGCUUCGGGGGAAGCUUCGGCAGGUCGUUUGCUGUGAUCUGCUUCUCGUUCCUCUAGCCCCAUUACCCUUUCGUGCAGCGCCUGCAGUUGGCUCUGCUCCAGUUUCUUCCUCCUCUCCUGGGUUUUGUAACCCCCUACGUCCGGAAAUUCAGCCUUCCACGAAAUGGAGCCUGGCAUGCCUCGUGUCCGUCCAGGGUGCUCAGGAUUGCCGAGGGCCAUUGUGAGCUCGUCCUUCUCCCUGUCUGGAACGAACGUCCCUUGCUGCGCUGCUUUGAUAUAUUGCUGAAGCCUCUUGACUGGUAUGUCCAAUUGUUCAUCUGUCCAAAUGCACUUCCCUGUUAUAGGGUCCAAGGAUUCGCUGGCCCCAAAGAACCAAGUCCGGCAACGUUCUGGCCAGUUCAUUGUCUCUGGUUCGAUCCCUUUAUCAAGCAGAUCAUUCUCAGCCUUGGCCCACUUAGGCCGGGCUACGAGGUGCCACCUGACCCCAUGCGAUGGUGAAGCUUCUUCUUCUCAGCAUUUCUCUUGUUUGUCACCGACAUCUUUUUACUCUUUUCCGAUGUCUUGUGGGCCACAAAUGCGGGCCAGUCAUCUCUGAUAUUCUCAUAUUUGCCCUUGAAUUCUGGUGUCUCAUUUUUUUCGACAUACCUAUUGAGGUCUUUCUUCCAAUUCUUGAAUAGGUCUGCCAUCUUCCUCAGAGCAAAAGACUUGAUUAAGGGCUCUAUAACUGGCUUCUCCGGAUCAUCCUCCGGCGGUAGGGUGAAAUUUGACUUCAGCUCAGUCCAAAGAUUCUUUUUCUGCAUAUCAUUGACAUAAGACACCUUAGGUUCUUCGUUCUUAGGCUUAUACCAUUGUUGGAUGCUGAUCGGGAUCUUGUCCCUAACCAGAACCCCGCACUGAGCAACAAAUGCCUUCUUUGUCUGGUAGGGUUCAAUCGGUUGGCCAUCGCACGCGAUUUGUAUGAUAUCAAACUUUUCAUCCGAGCUCAACUUUUUCUUCGGGCCUCGUCUCUUUACCGAAGUUGUGCUUGAUCCGGAGGGCUAGAAAAAAGAACAAAGACGAGAGUUAAUUAAUAUGUGUACAUACCAAAACAAUGAAUGCAUCAAUUAGCUAGUCAGCACAGGCUUAACUAAUAUAUAUACCUGGCCGGACUCGGUUUGGUGAUCACCGGAGCCGUCCUCACGGUCUACUUCUUCACCCUCUCCUUCUUGCACCGACAUUGGGUCAUCGGAGCCAUGUAAAUCAUAGCCAGCUGCUUCUUCACCCUCUCCUUCCAGACCAUCGUUGUCGUUGAGAAACAUCAACGAGGAGAGGGCAUCACUUCCUUGUGCGAUUAUGUCCCUCAACAAUGCUUCUUAUGCUUCGUCUCGGGGGGUGUCCAUAGUUUCUACAAAUAUUUACAACAUGGCAAUUAUUAUUCAAACAUGACAGAUAUGGAUAUAUUAGUGGCAAACGUAGAACUAGCUAGCUAAUCACAAUAAGGAAUCAUAUUAGUGGCCUCGACGCUGCUUCUCUAGGGUUUGGGGUGGCCUCAACAACGCUUCAAGGGUUAGGGGGUGGCCUCGAGAACGCUUCAAGGAGGGGGUAAUAUCGGCCCCCCCACGUGUUGAAGCUAUCGGGAGGGGGUCGGUGUUGAACACUACUUCUAUGUCCCACAAGUGACGUGGGCAUCGACGCCCGCGGUAGGGUAGAGGGUCGUGGAUUGCCGCGCGGUCGAGGGUCAAGGGGUCGAGGAUCGCCGAGGGGUCAGGAGGUUGCCUAGUGUCAAAGGAUUCAACAAAACCAUGUCUUCAUCAUUUGGCGAAAGUAACAGGUGCAUGAUGGUACGAAGCUCUCCAAAGUUAUUUUGGAACGGAGUCCCAGAUAGGAUAAUUCGCUUUUUGGUACAAAGUUCAGCAAGAACCUUCCGAAUAUUGUUAUUUGAAAGGCCUUUACUGAGAUUCGUACAAAAAGGCAAAUUAUCCUAUCCGGGACUCCAUUCCAGAAUAACUUUGGAGGACUUCGUACCAUCAUGCCACGGUUACUUCCGGCUAAUGAUGAAGCCAUGGAUUUCUUCAAUACUUUGACACUAUAGGAACCCUCGACCCUGAAACCUUCGACCCUUGACCCCUUAACGACCCUCGAUCCUGAAACCUUCGACCCUUGACCCCUUAACGACCCUCGACCCUCUACCCUAGUUCCCGACCCUCGACCCCUUGGUGAUCCUCGACACCCUCGUUAUAUCGACAACGACGCAACAUACAUAUACAUGGGAAAAUAAUGUUAUCGGGGAGGGGGUAUCGGUACCCCCCCUCGUGUCAAAGUUUCUUCUUUCUCCUCUAUUCCUUUCUUUCUUCUUCUCCUCUUCUUUUUCUUCUUAUCCCUCGAGAAAGGAAAAUAAGGAAAAAGGAAGAAAAGAGGAAGAAGGAAGAAGGAAGAAGGAGAAGAAAANNNNNNNNNNNNNNNNNNNNNNNNNNNNNNNNNNNNNNNNNNNNNNNNNNNNNNNNNNNNNNNNNNNNNNNNNNNNNNNNNNNNNNNNNNNNNNNNNNNNNNNNNNNNNNNNNNNNNNNNNNNNNNNNNNNNNNNNNNNNNNNNNNNNNCUCGAGAAAGGAAAAUAAGGAAAAAGGAAGAAAAGAGGAAGAAGGAAGAAGGAAGAAGAAGAAGAAAAAGAAGAAGAAAAAAAAGAGGAGAAGAAGAAAAGAAUAGAGGAGAAGAAGAAAAAAUAGAAUUUUUUUUCUAUUUUUUCUUCUUCUCCUCUAUUCCUUUCUUCUUCUCCUCGUCUUUUUCUUCUUUUUUCUUCUUCUUAUUUAUUUCUCCUCCUCUCCCCUCUUCUUCUCCUUUCUUCCUCUUCUUAUUUCCUUUUUCCUCUCAUUCUUUUUCUUCUUCUUCCUUCUUAAAAAUACAUGAAGUAGUAUUGCCUAAUUCAUUGUUCAUAUGAAUAUACAAACAUUUGCAUAUUUACACUAAUUAAUAUCACCAAAAAAAUCUAUGAACAGAAAAAAAAUCCUAAUUUUUCUAAAAAACUAUCUUUUGCAUUGUUCACAUACACAUAUACAUUAUAGCCACAUACACAUAUACAUCACAUAUGAACAAAAAAAUUAAAACAUAAAAAAACAGAGCAUAAAAAUAAAAAAAAGAGCUUAAACAUUAAAAGAGCCGGGCGGCGGCUCACAGCGCGGGGGCAGGCAAGGGCGCCGGCGCGCGGGGCGGGACGGGGCAGGGGGGCAGGGCGACGGCGACGAGGAGCGGGCNNNNNNNNNNNNNNNNNNNNNNNNNNNNNNNNNNNNNNNNNNNNNNNNNNNNNNNNNNNNNNNNNNNNNNNNNNNNNNNNNNNNNNNNNNNNNNNNNNNNNNNNNNNNNNNNNNNNNNNNNNNNNNNNNNNNNNNNNNNNNNNNNNNNNNNNNNNNNNNNNNNNNNNNNNNNNNNNNNNNNNNNNNNNNNNNNNNNNNNNNNNNNNNNNNNNNNNNNNNNNNNNNNNNNNNNNNNNNNNNNNNNNNNNNNNNNNNNNNNNNNNNNNNNNNNNNNNNNNNNNNNNNNNNNNNNNNNNNNNNNNNNNNNNNNNNNNNNNNNNNNNNNNNNNNNNNNNNNNNNNNNNNNNNNNNNNNNNNNNNNNNNNNNNNNNNNNNNNNNNNNNNNNNNNNNNNNNNNNNNNNNNNNNNNNNNNNNNNNNNNNNNNNNNNNNNNNNNNNNNNNNNNNNNNNNNNNNNNNNNNNNNNNNNNNNNNNNNNNNNNNNNNNNNNNNNNNNNNNNNNNNNNNNNNNNNNNNNNNNNNNNNNNGAGCACGGGCAGCCUGACGGCGUCGUCGCGUCGAGCUCGGGCAGCCUGGCGGCGUCGUCGGGGCGGGGAACUGGCGAUGAAAUCUGAAAAAACGCCAAGUCUUUGCUUAUAUAGAAAAGGCUUUGGUCCCGGUUCGUGCCACGACCCGGGACUAAUGCCCCCCUUUAGUCCCGGUUGGUGGGCAUUAGUCCCGGGUCGUAGCACCAACCGGGACUAAUGCACCCCUUUAGCCCCGGUUGGUGCCACCAACCGGGACCAAAGGCCUGUGCUGCCCCGAACCUAAUAUUUAGUCCCACCUCGGUAGUUGAGAGGGAGGCGCACCUGUUUAUAAGGUGCGGUGCGCCUUCCCUCUCGAGCUCCUCUCUUAAGCAGGCUUUCGGGCCUAACCCUGCAAUCUGUGCCUGUGGGCCUACUGGGCCUCCUGCGGGCCUGAAUCCUGGCCCAUGGUAGGGUUUCUAGUCGUAUUCAGGCCGUGGGGGCCCAGUAGGUGGCACUUUUUUUUUGUUUUCUUUGUUGCUUUAUUUAGUUUAUUUUGUUUCUAUUUACAACAAAAUACUUAUUGUUGCUAUAUUUAUUUUUUUCCAGUUUUUUGUUUUGUUUUCUGCAUUAUUUAUUUUCUUUUGUUUUCUUNNNNNNNNNNUAUUUUUUGUUGUUUUUUGCUUUAUUUUUUAAUUCUUUUUGCUUUUAGUUUUAGAAAAAUUAUAAACUUUCUGUUAGUGCCAUUAGUUUUCAAAUUUGAAAACACUUUUUUGCUUUAUUUAUUUAUUUUAUUUUGUUUCUACUUACAACAAAAUACUUAUUGUUGCUAUUUUUAUUUUUUUUCAAGUUUUUUUGUUUUGUUUUCUGCAUUAUUUAUUUUCUUUUGGUUUUUUGCUUUAUUUUUUAAUUCUUUUUGCUUUUAGGUCAGCAAAAUUAUAAACUUUCUGUUUGUGCCAUUAGUUUUCUUUGAAAUUUGUGUGAAUCACAAGUUUGUGAGCUCAACAAGGCGUGUAGAGGGACGGGAUUAUAAACCGGUGUGAGCGCCCUUCGGUUAGCGAGGUUUUCAAAUUCAUAGUUUUCAAAUGAACUCUGAAAAAGUUGGCAUAGCAUGUGCAUGUACAAAACGGACAAUGGUAUCAUACUCGUCUGUUACAAAGUUGGCAUGGUAUCAUCAUAAUAGUUGCGGGAGAAAGUCAUUACUUUUUCUUCGCUUGUGUCGUUUGCUUAUUGCGCCGUAACCAUGGAUAAUCUUCAUCGUUUAUCAGGAUGCUUGGGUCGGCCUUGACUUUGAAGGGGGGAAUUUCAUGAAACUUUUCAUACUCUUCAGACAUGUCUGUCUUGCCCUCCACUCCCAGGAUGUUCCUUUUUCCUGAAAGAACUAUGUGGCGCUUUGGCUUAUUGUAUGAUGUAUUCGCUUCCUUAUCUUUUCUUUUCCUCGGUCUGGUAGACAUGUCCUUCACAUAGAUAACCUGUGCCACAUCAUUGGCUAGGACGAACGGUUCGUCAGUGUACCCAAGAUUUUUCAGAUCCACUGUUGUCAUUCCGUACUGUGGGUCUACCUGUACCCCGCCUCCUGACAGAUUGACCCACUUGCACUUAAACAAAGGGACCUUAAAAUCUACUCCGUAGUCAAGUUCCCAUAUGUCUACUAUGUAACCAUAAUAUGUGUCAUUUCCAUUAUCGGUUGCUGCAUCAAAGCGGACACCGCUGUUUUGGUUGGUUCUCUUUUCAUCUUGGUCAAUCGUGUAAAAUGUAUUCCCAUUUAUCUCGUAUCCUUUCCAAAUCAUUACAGUCGAAGAUGGUCCCCUGGACAACAAGUACAGCUCAUCACAAACAGUGCUGUCACCUCUGAGACGUGUUUCCAACCAACUGCUGAAAGUCCUGAUGUGUUCACAUGUAAUCCAGUCGUCGCACUGCUUCGGGUGUUUGGAGCGCAGACUGUUCUUGUGUUCAUCGACAUACGAGGUAACCAAGGUAGAGUUCUGUAGAACUGUGUAGUGUGCUUGAGACCAAGAAUAUCCGUCCCUGCAUAUUAUUGAGUCCCUUCCAAGCGUGCCUUUUCCAGUCAGUCUCCCCUCAUACCGCGAUUUAGGGAGACCUAUCUUCUUAAGGCCAGGAAUGAAGUCAACACAAAACCCGAUGACAUCCUCUAUUUGAUGGCCCAUGGAGAUGCUUCCUUCUGGCCUAGCGCGGUUACGAACAUAUUUCUUUAGGACUCCCAUGAACCUCUCAAAGGGGUACAUAUUGUGUAGAAAUACGGGCCCCAGAAUGACAAUCUCGUCGCUAGAUGAACUAGGACGUGCGUCAUGAUAUUGAAGAAGGAUGGUGGGAACACCAGCUCGAAACUGACAAGACAUUGCGCCACAUCACUCCUUAGCGUUGGUAUGAUUUCUGGAUCGAUCACCUUCUGAGAUAUUCCAUUGAGGAAUGCACAUAGCUUCACAAUGGCUAAUCGGACGUUUUCCGGUAGAAGCCCUCUCAAUGCAACCGGAAGCAGUUGCGUCAUAAUCACGUGGCAGUCAUGAGACUUUAGGUUCUGGAACUUUUCUCUGGCAUAUUUAUUAUUCCCUUUAUAUUCGACGAGAAGCCAGUCGGGACCUUCAUACUGAGCAGGCAUUGAAAGAAUAUUUCUUUCUCUUCUUUCGUAAGAGCGUAGCUGGCAGGACCUUCAUACUGCUUCGGAGGCAUGCCCUCUUUUUCGUGCAAGCGUUGCAGGUCCUCUCGUGCCUCAGGUGUAUCUUUUGUCUUCCCAUACACGCCCAAGAAGCCUAGCAGGUUCACGCAAUGGUUCUUUGUCACGUGCAUCAUGUUGAUCGAAGAGCAGACCUCUAGGUAUUUCCAGUAGGGUAGGUCCCAAAAUAUAGAUUUCUUCUUCCACAUGGGUGCGUGAUUCUCAGCGUCAUUCGGAACAGCUAGUCCGCCGAGACCCUUUCCAAAGAUCACGUGUAAAUCAUUGACCAUAGCAAGUACGUGAUCACCGGUACGCAUGGCGGGCUUCUUCCGGUGAUCUGCCUCGCCUUUGAAAUGCUUGCCUUUCUUUCGACAUUGAUGGUUGGUCGAAAGAAAUCAACGAUGGCCCAGGUACACAUUCUUCCUACAGCUUCCCAGGUAUAUACUAUCGGUGUCAAGUAAACAAUGCAUGCAUGCGUGGUAUCCCUUGUUUGUCUGUCCUGAAAGGUUACUGAGAGCGGGCCAAUCGUUGAUGGUCACAAACAGCAACGCCUUUAGGUCAAAUUCCUCCUUUUUGUGCACAUCCCACGUACGUACACCGUUUCCAUUCCACAGCUGUAAAAGUUCUUCAACUAAUGGCCUUAGGUACACAUCAAUGUCGUUGCCGGGUUGCUUAGGGCCUUGGAUGAGAACUGGCAUCAUAAUGAACUUCCGCUUCAUGCACAUCCAAGGAGGAAGGUUAUACAUACAUAGAGUCACGGGCCAGGUGCUGUGAUUGCUGCUCUGCUCCCCAAAACGAUUAAGGCCAUCCGCGCUUAAAGCAAAGCAUACGUUCCUUGGGUCCUUUGCAAACUCAUCCCAGUACUUUCUCUCAAUUUUUCUCCACUGCGACCCGUCAGCGGGUGCUCUCAACUUCUCGUCUUUCUUAUGGUCCUCACUGUGCCAUCGCAUCAACUUGGCAUGCUCUCCGUUUCUGAACAGACGUUUCAACCGUGGUAUUAUAGGAGCAUACCACAUCACCUUCGCAGGAACCCUCUUCCUGGGAGGCUCGCCGUUAACAUCACCAGGGUCAUCUCGUCUGAUCUUAUACCGAAAUGCACCGCAUACCGGGCAUGCGUUCAGAUCCUUGUAGGCACCGCGGUAGAGGAUGCAGUCAUUAGGGCAUGCAUGUAUCUUCUCCACCUCCAAUCCUAGAGGGCAUAUGACCUUCUUUGCUGCGUAUGUACUGUCAGGCAAUUCGUUAUCCUUUGGAAGCUUCUUCUUCAUUAUUUUCAGUAGCUUCUCAAAUCCUUUAUCAGGCACAUCAUUCUCUGCCUUCCACUGCAGCAAUUCGAGUACGGUACCGAGCUUUGUGUUGCCAUCUUCGCAAUUGGGGUACAACCCCUUUUUGUGAUCCUCUAACAUGCGAUCGAACUUCAGCUUCUCCUUUUGACUUUCGCAUUGUGUCCUUGCAUCGACAAUGACCCGGCGGAGAUCAUCAUCAUCGGGCACAUCGUCUGGUUCCUCUUGAUCUUCAGCAGCUUCGCCCGUUGCAGCACCAUCGUGCACAUCGUCUGGUGCAUCUUGAUGUUCAGUAGCAUCACCGUAUUCAGGGGGCACAUAGUUGUCAUCGUACUCUUCUUCCUCGCCGUCUUCCAUCAUAACCCCUAUUUCCCCGUGCCUCGUCCAAACAUUAUAGUGUGGCAUGAAACCCUUGUAAAGCAGGUGGGUGUGAAGGAUUUUCCGGUCAGAGUAAGACUUCGUAUUCCCACAUAUAGGGCAUGGACAACACAUAAAACCAUUCUGCUUGUUUGCCUCAGCCACUUCGAGAAAAUCAUGCACGCCCUUAAUGUACUCGGAGGUGUGUCUAUCACCGUACAUCCAUUGCCGGUUCAUCUGCGUGCAUUAUAUAUAAUUAAGUGUGUCAAAAAUCAUUACAGAACAUCAUGAAUAGAUAAUUAAGUGACCAAAUUAAUAGAAGUUCAUCAUCACAUAAAAAUCAAAGUACAUACAUAGUUCUCAUCUAACAACAUAAAGCUCUGCAGAGCAUCUAAAUUAAUUAAACCAUAUAUUGAAACUAUGUAAAACAUUUCAAUGCGAAAACAAAUGCGAUCAUAAUCGCAACCAAGGUAACAACUGAUCCAACGGCAUAAUGAUACCAAGCCUCUGUAUGAAUGGCAUAUUUUCUAAUCUUUCUCAUCUUCAAGCGCAUUGCAUCCAUCUUGAUCUUGUGAUCAUCGACGACAUCCGCAACAUGCAACUCCAAUAUCGUCUUCUCCUCCUCAAGUUUUUUUAUUUUUUCCUUCAAGAAAUUGUUUUCUUCUUCAACUAAAUUUAACCUCUCGACAAUAGGGUCGGUUGGAAUUUCUGGUUCAACAACCUCCUAGAUAAAUAAAAUCUAUCGUUGGUCGGCAUAAUUUUCAUAAACAAUAAAUGAACCAAUAGUUAUGAAAAGAUAAUAUAUACCACAUCCGAAUCGUAGAUAGGACGAGGGCCGACGGGGGCGGAUACCAAAACCAUCGCACUAUAUAAGAUGCAAUAAUAAAAGAAAAUAAUACAAGUAAGAAUAUUUUUCCUUUCAGAAAGAAGAUAAGAACAAGAGGCUCACCACGGUGGUGCUGGCGAUGAGAUUGGCGCGGGUGAUCGACGGCGGUGAAGACGGGGACGGGGCGUGAUGGACCGCUAAACCUAGACAAAUAUUGAGGAAAAUAGAGGUUGGAGGUCGAGUUUGGAGAGGAGAAAGCUUAAGUAGUGUGGCUCGGGCAUUUCAUCGAACACCUCAUGUGCUAUGGAGGUGAGCUAGAGCACCACAAAGCCCCCCCUCGCCGGCAAGAGAAAAACAGAGCACUGGAGUGCUCUGCUCGCGAGCGAGGGGGUAUAUGUAGGUAGCACUAUUGGUCCCGGUUCGUGGCAUGAACCGGGACUAACGGGUAGCCAUUGGUCCCGGUUCAUGCCACCAACCGGGACCAAUAGUGGUGGGCCAGGAGCCAGGCCCAUUGGUCCCAGUUCGUCCCACCAACUGGGACCAAAAGGUCCGGACGAACCGGGACCAAUGGCCCACGUGGCCCGGCCGGCCCCCUGGGCUCACGAACCGGGGCAAAUAGCUCCAUUGGUCCCGGUUCUGGAUUGAACCGGGACUAAUGGGCUGAACUGGCCUGGGCCAUUGCCCCCUUUUCUACUAGUGGGAGCCAAGAAGCCGGACGGAGAAGGCAUCCACCAUGCUGCACCAUUGGCCGAUACUGACCCGUAUGGUGCAAGGACCGAGGUAGAACUGAACACCGUCAUCACCGAGCCGAACAGAUUUUUGAUCGCUGCUUGGAGUGAGAAGCUACUCUAAAAAGUUGAAUUUCUGAAGCUUUGGGAAGCUAGAGGAGAUCAGAACAGGCCCUAAGUCAUCGGUAUUUCAUAAUUGAAUGUUCUCCAUGUCGUGACUUUUGAUGGUGUAAACCCAAAUAAUCGCCGUUGUGAAAUUAAAUUCCUCCCUGAGUCAAACCCACAUCCGUAAAGAUGUGCCACGACAAUCCACCUCAUGGCUAUCUUGGAGUCCUUAAUAUAAUCAAGUGUGCCCAAUAUGGUGACUUAAUAUGUACUUAUUGACCCUACGAAGCUAAUCACCUGUAUCAAGACCCCUUCCUGGUUCUCCUAUAACUAGAUUCCCCGAAACCACGAGAAUCCUUAGAAUGGCAUUACAACUUAGCACCUUUCGUUUUCACAUAGUAAGAAGAGUUGCUCCUUGGAUAGCAUGGUACGAUCAAAGGUGUAACCUGUGUUUCGGAGGGAGUUAUUGUCUCGAAACUUUGUUCUCAACUAUUCCGAUUCCAGCAAGCGGAGGCCAUUGGGUCAUAGCCGUAGCGCACACCCUGUAGUUUUCAAGUGGGGUGAGAUAACUUUGGCUAGGAACCUAUUUUCAUUCUGACGAGCUCCCUGAAAACAAUGUUCGACUUCAUGUGUAGUUGGUGUAGAUGUGUCAUUGCAAUUACACCCCUAGGAUAUCACCAAGUCCUAUGUAUUACGUGACAACAUAUGCCACCAUAUAUUGACUUGAUAAAUUAAAUGGAUUUCACCAAGCUUUCGUGUUACAAUUAUAGUGAAGAUAGUGACUCACAUGUCAGCCUCCCUGACGGGAAGCAAAAUCACUCUGACUUUGGCAACCUAAUUUUUGGUGGGUUCAAGCAAACAUGUUGGAUUUGUAUUUUAUUUAUUUCAACAUAUAUAAUUCAUAUAAAUAAAUCAAUUCAUAAUAGGAGUCUUGGAGACACCCAUGUCAAUAAUGUGAAAUUAUGGGAAAUCUUAUUAUGUGCAUCAACAUAAGCAAAAACUCGUGGCUUAAGAGAUAUGUGUACAAUCUUCCAAUGGUUAUUCCCCCUACUAAAUUCAUGAUGUUAACUAGUUCCCAAAGGUUGAGAAAGAAGUUUAGUCAUGGGAUCAAUGUCCAAUGCAUCAUAUUUCCAGUUCCGAAUUUUUUUUAUUAUGGAAGUUGAGAAAGAAGUUUGGGCAACAUAUUUCCAGACACCUGUCAUGUCUAGGAUCUUCUCAAGCCUAGGUAAGCUAAGUCAUGGGAUCAAUGCAGGCUAUUAGUACAUUGACCCGGUUCUUAAUUCAAGUCCUCCUUGCUUGAUACAAUAUUGAAUUGAAAGUACAUAAUCAAUUUACUUAAGUUGGUGAACAAUAUUGGCUAGUAUAUUUCAACACUCACCUCACAUGCAUCUUUUAGAGGCAUAUAAUGCAUCGUGAUGGAAACAUUUUUUCUAUAGACUAAAUUCCAAUGGAAAAUUUUAAUUAAUUUAACUAGUAGCAAUCUCGUAUGGCAAGGAUAUAUGGCAAAUGAAAAUGAGGGCUCAAAUGCUAAUUGUUGGCACACAAAAGUCAAGUUGUCUUUUUCCUCCCAUGUUGAUCCUCCGUGGUUUGACAUUGGGCAUUACAAAGAGAUCAAGUUAUCUUUACACACCGCUAGAGCUACCAGACCCUGGAUGUUCCAUAUGGUGCAAUGAGUGAUAGCGAGGUAUAUUAGAACAUAUAGUUUACACCGUUAAAAUAAUUAAAUGGGCUUUUUUGCCUACUACGAAAAAUAGUAUUUUAAGAGAAAACUAUGUAAGAGUUUGUGAUCUUUGUAUGUAAAAGUAUUAUUUUCCUUUGCUUGGUGUUCACGCGGUUUCAUUUAUGGCAAAAAUGGAAAAUCAUCGUACAAUAAUUGUUGAUAUUCUUUGCGGGAAAGAGAGAUCUUUUCACUUUUCAGAUCACACAAAGUAUUGUAUUUCUUAUAGGGGUGAUAUACAGUGUUCUAAAUCUGCACUUGUGAUUCGUUGUCCAUUUAAAUUUGGUUUCUUCCACAGAUUAUGUUGGUUUGGUGCUGUAUUUAUCUCAGCACUAAAGUAUACUGAUGUUAGCUAAGUCCAAUCAAAGGCCCAUGUUUUUAUCAUGUUAUACAAAUUAGUAAGCUAAGAUCUUACCAAACUCAAGUUACAUAAGCCCACACUACGUUAAAUACACAUCAUGCAGUACACAUGUUCAUCUUAGUGUUACGUUAUACUUGGCUCCGAGAUAAAUAAUUGUAUCAAUUAUUACUAUCUUUUGCAGCUUGUUUCUGCCUGUUCAUUGUAGAAUUAUCUUAUGUAGUCUCCCAAGGUUCAUGCAACUUGAAUUUUCAUACUUUGUUAGUAUUAGUGUUCACUAGGACUAGGUGCCACUCUGUAGAAGCUGAGGAUACAGAUGGAGAAAGUAGUCAUGGUUUUUUUUUUAAAAGUUUGUUCAUAUCUAUAAGAGGUUUAUGAAUUUUCAGUGUAUAGUGUUGUGAAACCUAGAGUGUUUUAUCUCAUUUAACAUUGAACUACGCUUUCAAGGAAAAACCUUCAUUUGACAUCGAACUAUGCAUGCAGGGCAAACACCCCGUGCUUCGGUGCCACCGCGCCGCGAACCCUGGGAGCUUGACCCUGGAUGGGUGUGAACUUAAGAUUGAUGUCAAGGUUAGGGGUCAGUUAUGGAUAGUGAAUAAAGGGGACGCUGCGAAACUGUUAUUAAUAAUAUGGAUGAAACAUUGCCUUGUGGAGAGAAUAAGAUAUUUCCAGAGAUAUUUAUAAAUGGAUCCAUCCUUGCAAUAGCAGUACAAAAUAUGAUGCUAACAUUUUAUUUUCAUUGUUGUUCCCAUUAAACUUCUGGUGGUGGCCCCAUUAUUCACAGCCUCGCACAUGAAAAUGUUAUUUCGUUCGGGUAAAUGUUGCGUGUCGUUGCUCCUGUAGUUUUGCGGUUUGCAUCUCCUUAAACUUUUGAGUUGGAUUUUGCGAAGUUGCAAUGCAAAUUUGGGAUGCAGGGAAGAUAAUAAACAAUGCUUUCUAAGAGCAUUUGAUAUUGGAUGCGACUCAGAAAGAACGCAUGCAAAUGCAAGAUGCACGAAGUAGUAGGCACAUGUCCAGGUUUAUUAAGAGCAUCUGCACCGGACGCCUCAUAUCUGCCACAAACGCUAGGGCAAACUUCCCGGUCAGUACUAGGACGCAAAAUUGCCACCCAACAGGAUCUGUAAAACCCGGCCCAAACGUCUAGACAUGACCGCACUCCCCAUAUCCAGCCCAUAUCUCGGACGGAUAUGUGGAAGCCCAGAGGCGCCCGGACACACCCGCCAGGUAGGAUCCGGCGAGUGCGGCCCACCCGACCCCACAUAAAUUGGACCCUAUCCGCACUCCGAGCGAAACCCAAGCGACAUUCAACUCCACUCUACUCCUCGCCAGGCCACUCCCCUCCACCCACAAGCCCCAUUUGCGGAUCUCCCACCAUUUCGAGCCGUUGAACCGGAGAUCGUCCCACGCGGCCCCAAGGAGGAGAUGGUCGACUGCCUUGCGCUUCUCCACUACCGGAGGAGUCCGCCCAGCAGGGGUCGAAAUCCAUCUGGCGGGAAUCCAUUGCGUCUGCCACAAUGGCGCAUGGAUAUAGCCCGAGGGCAGUUGCGGCUGCCUUAGCAGAGGCAGUGCAGUCCAUCUGGAGUCGGAACGCCGUGGAGGGAUACGCAACCACUUUGUUGGCACACUGAGAAAGAUAUGCACACCCGCUUAACGUCUGCUACAAAUAUGGUGUGGCGCAUCCACCGUGUUAGGCAAUGGGCACGGGAGCCCGCGGCAGCCCUCGUGCCAGACGCCAGUGGGGCAGACUCGCACUCUUCGGUGCCUCGUAUCGUGCCCGGCAGUCCUUGGCGCUGAAAUCAUGUCGUGUUGGACGCGGCCGGCUCCACCAUCAUGGAUCAAUCAUCGACCUCACAUCCACGAACGACAGGAGGGCACGGGCUCCGACGAGAAAGAGUAGGCCAUGGGAGAUGGCGCCGACUCGAGUUUCUUUUGCCGGGUCGUGUCCCAUGUCCUACUCUACCUCACCGGAGACCGACCCUCCACUUCGACAGGCUCAGACAACCAUCGGACAUGGACAGGUUCGGAACAACAAGGACAGUCGCUGGCGCAAAUUUAGACUACAGCCGUCGACACGAGGUGAGCGCGGCACGAGUUAAUCGCUGAAGAGGUUGGGCCGUUCUGUCGCCCGUGGUCGUACAGUUGCCGACGUAGUCGUCCAUGACCACCAGAUCGACACCGCCGCCACUGCAAGUCUAGGGGUCUCUGUAGUGGCUGAAGUCAUUUUAGUGUAUUUUCUUUGUAUUGUGAUGAUUGCAUACUGUGUUGCGUAUUGUGGCGUAUUUUCUUUGUAUUGUGAUGAUUAUAUACUGUACAAUGUAUUGUGGCAUAUUUUUUGUGGUCUAUUUUUAAAAAGAAAACUACAAAUAGCUAAAAGUGGUGUGCAGAAUAAAUUUAUACCCGCCACUACAAAACAAAUGCCAGGACUGACACAUAUUUUUACCCACCAUUAAUAGUAAUGCCCGCCACUGCGACAAGAUCGAGGUCGAUGGCGGGCUGUUUGUAACGCCCGCCACUGUUAUAGUCAUUUGUGGCAGGUGGAGCGCCCGCCACUAAUGCCAUGUUGCCAGUGGCAGGCGCCUCUGAGAGCCUUACCCGUCAUUGCUAGGCUUUUGAUGCCGCCACUGCUACGCAUUCCUGCGAUAGUGUGCAAUUGCGUAUCUAGUAAAACAUAUACAACUAUCCUCCCAACAAACAGUUUCGUCCUACCAUGGAGUUAUAGUCGGGUUGAAGACAUUCAUUUAUAAUCGGAAGUGACGUUGCAGUUGCAUAUCAAGUAGGAGAUAUUUAACUGCCCUAGUGACAAAACACUUUUGUUCCCUAAGUUACAGUCGCAUUGGAGACAUGCAUUAUCGAAACGACACCACCUGUAGUUGCGUGUUUGGAGUUAGACAUGCAACUAGCUCCACAAUAAUAAUCUGAAUUUUAAGUUUUAUUUAAUUUUAAAUUAAAGAAAAAAGAAAAGCUGAAGAUAUAAAAACAGAAAUAGAGAAAACAAACAAUAGGAAAAAUCCUAAAAAAGGCAAAAACAAACAAAGGAAAAAAAUGUUUGAAGUUUCUAGAAGCUUCAUAAAACCAGUAGAAAGAGUCCUACAUGGGGCGGCCCACUCACACAUGUAAAAAGAGGUGGGCGAGGUGUAUGUCGACUAGCUCAGAGUUGGGGAAUCCUAUUCCGCACAUAGGUCGCUACGUAGCCACCUAGCGCGUACCCCUCGGGUUUGUGGUCCUCUUCGGGUCGGUCCAUUCCAGGUUCUUCCCCAUACCGGUUUUUAGGAAGGUUCUAGACCUUUUUUUCUAUUUUCUUUGUUUCCUUCUAGUUUUUUCUUUAUUUUAUAUUUUAUAUAUUACUUCUUAUUUUCUUUUAUUUUAAUUUUCCUUUCUGGUGUUGCAAACAUAUUUUCAAAUUCGUAAACGUUUAUUGAAAUCAAGAACAGUUUUUGAGUUGACAAACAUAUAUCCAAAAUAAUGAACAUUUUCUAAUUCGACAAUACAUUUUGAAAUCACAAAAUAACAAAAAAACUAACUUUUGAGGACAUUUUUUAUAAAUUCUGAAAAUGUUUGUCAAUCGGCCGACAUUUUUUGAAUCUGUGAACAUUUCUAUGAAUUGACAUGAUUUUUUUGAAUUGGCAAACAUUUUUUGAAUCGAUGACCAGUUUCUGAAUCAAUGAAUAUUUUUUACAUGAAUGAACAUUUUUUUAAAUUCACAAUAAAUUUUUUUGUGAACAUUUAAAAAACUUGUUGAAUAUUGCUUGUAUGUCAACUUCCGUCCUGAUUAAUUAAAUAAAGUGGUGAUACCCAUCAAAAGAAAAUAACUAUGGUUGGCACAAAAUUUACUGCAAAUUAAUCAUGUGAUGAAAGACUUAGACGUGACAUAGUUUUUAUGUAUCCUGAUAAGUGCCACACGUCAGGGACGUUCUCAUGACAACUUUGAACAUUUUUUAUGACAAGUUUAGUUGCACGAGGAUGGCAAAUUUAAUUGACAAGCAUGAAAACAUUCAUGCUUUAUUUUAUUUUAAUAGAAACUUGUCGUGUGUCACUGAAAUUUGCCAUCCUUGGAUGACAAGAAUUGCCAUAAAAAAAGUCAGGCCCAAAGUGCAAAGCACCUGACGUGUAAGACCUAUCAUUUGGAUACUUUAUAUCUAAGAUAUUAUUUACCAUAACCAUAGCUGAGACAUUUGCCCCAAUGCAGGCGGGGCCGAUGAAAAGUCGAACCCCUUGCCAACCUACUGAAAAGGUGUACACGGUCUCCUUGGCGCCUCUAGGGAAAUAGCGCUCGUGCAAACGGUAUCCAGCUGCGUUAGCGCCGGCCCUGUCUGCCUCGUCUUCUGUCAACUUAGGGCUAUGCAAGCAUGGUGAAUCCCGGCCUUUGCAGCGGGAGGGCUUUGUUUUUUAUAUUUUUAUAAUUUUUUUUAGGGUUUGUGUUCUGUUUAGAGACGAGGCGGUGACUGCUCUCGAAAAAUGGAAUAAGAUUCUUCACGCCUAGCAUCUCGUUUUGGUGGUGCUUCUAGCGUAGUUGGAGGGCGAGUGAAAGUUUGUCUACGGGGAUCUCGCGGGAGUCGGUCGGCGUUUGUCUUAGGUGGAUCCACGUGAAUCUGGUCUUUGUUCGUGUGUCGACAGGUUGGAUAUUCCUGUCGACGCAUCUUUUCCACAACGGCGGUUCCUGUUUUGGUGGGUUGACCCUACAGGGAUUUAGCAUGAUGACUUUCUGACUGUCUAUUAUAGAAGUUUUGCCCAGCAUCAAUGAAGGAGGGGCGAUGACGAUGACGCGCCAUCUGCUUGAUUCUGUUUUUGUAAUCAUCCUUGGAUGGUCUACUGACCUAAAUAUAAUUUUUAUUAUUUCUAAUACUCAUUGUACUGUUGUGAUCGAUGAUGAUGAAUAGAUUAGAAGGUUUUCUCAAGAAAAAGAAAAAAAGACAUUUGCCUCAAUAUGGGUGACAUCUCCUGGCUUCUCCCGUUUUCUAUAUUUGAAGCCUACAAGUUCCUGGAAUUCAGCUCGGCCCGCCAAAACCAUCCCUUCUUCGCCCUCCUCCUAUUCCCUCCGCACCCCUUGUCCGAUCCAUCGCCAUUUGCAACCUCGCCAAGCCAGCCUCCUUUGCUCCGUAUCUGCCUACCAAUGCUGUCGUCGAUGUUCGGGACGCGGCCGGCGGGGGAGCCGGACCCGCCGGAGCCCAAGCCGGAGCCGUCGGGGCGGCAGCUCUCGGACGGGGACCUGCUGGAGGAGCUGGUUGCCACCGUGGGAGCCGCACAGGCGUUCCAGGAGUUCCGACGGUCGCACCGCAAGGAGUGCUUCAACCUGCUCCGCUGGCUCCAGCUCGUGCUCCCGCUCAUCGAGGAGCUCCAAGAGGCGUCCCCACCCCGCCCGCUCACCGACGACGCCCACCGCCGCCUCGCGCUCCUCAGCCGCGCCUUCCAGGCCGCCCGCCGCCUCCUCCGCUGCUGCCAUGACGGCAGCAAGAUCUUUCUCGUGCCUAAUCGAUCGCCUCUUCGAUCGCGUCUCGUCUCCUGCCGUCAAGGGAUUGCCGGGAUUUCUGAUUCGUCUCUGGUUUUCAUGGUCGCAGUCGCUGGAGAGCGAGGCGGUGCAGGGGAGGUUCCGGGCCGUGUACGAGAAGCCUCAAGGGGUAUGUGGCGACCAUCGGCAUGCGACUGAUCAGGAGGAGGAGCAGGCAUGUGAGUGGCCCUGCGAGAACCGCGGGGGCAGGACGAAAAUGUCACUUGCACACCACGCUCCUCCUCCUCCAUCUCUUCUUCAUAGUCAGAGCCCUGGAAGAAGAGGACCCUGUGAUCACAGCCCAUUUUCCAGCAUGCUUGUGUGGACGCAACUCCUCCUGAGAGUCAUCAGAACCACCACGACGAGAGGCGCGGGCAGAGGUACCCCCGGCAUCCUUGUGAGCGGUGUGCUUGAUUUUCACCAUCAUGGGACGAACCUCACAAGAUCAGGAAGUGGGGCGACGGAGAGGAGGGGAGGCCGCGGCGAUGCAGCUCCCCCAGGCGACGGUGAGGGAACAAUCACCCUCCAGGCGACACGGCAGUGGACUCAAUUGUGGGGAGGGGGAAAAGAGGAUUGGGCAAACGCUCGGCCUGACCCCAAAGUAUUUAUGUGAACCACGGUCGGAUGUCCGGGCACUGGUGGACGUGCCAGGCGACGGACCGCCGGAGAACCUCGGUCAUCCGAGACCUGGGGAGUGAUUUGGGCGGUGCACGAUUUCUGGACAAGCAACCGGACAGCCCAGUGACUCCGGACGACCGGAACCUGCGAGUCAUCAGACUUCCGAGAAGCGUCAGACGACCAGUGGCAAAAUUUUGGCAGAUAGCACACAAAAUAUCUAGAGGAACCAAAAUACAAGAAUGGGUAUAAGACAAAAUAGUAUGGUUAAUCAGACAUGUAAGAUACCACAUGGUAAGCAACUAAACAGACAUGAUAAGAAUCCCCAAACAUGAUUGGACAUCCUCUCUUUUGAGGAGAGUCGGUGCCCACUAGGCCACAAUGUGUGAGUAUAAGUGUCGUGAUGGCGCGAAGAUAGUGUCCUUGGGCUCAAUAACUACUCCAUCACUUGAAGUGCCAUAGUUCGAAGAACAUGAUAACUUUGAGAGUGUUUGUUUUAUUUAUGCAUUAUAUAGGGUGAGAGUACUCAUGAGUUGAGUGUCUCCCCCUAAACGUAUGCCUACAUCUACACAAGACAUGAAUAAAAUGCAUGGAUGGGUACUAGGUUUCACAUAAUGUUGUCUAGCUCCAAGAUACCAAGUUCACGCCUAAGUUGACAAAACCUUGCUUCAUCCAAUGGCUUGGUGAAAAUGUCUACAAGUUGCAUAUCUGUGCCAACAUGAGCAACAUCAAUAUCACCCUUUCCCACAUGAUCUCUUAAGAAAUGAUACCUAAUAUCAAUGUGCUUGGUGCGGGUAUGAUCUUUGAAUUCUUAGCAAUAAUGAUGGCACUUUCAUUAUCACAUAGAAGAGGCACAUGUCUAUAGGUGAUACUGUAAUCCUUCAAAGUUUGCCUCAUCCAUAUUAAUUGAGUUGCACAACUGGCGGUUGCAAUGUAUUCGGCUUCGGCAGCGGAGAGGGCAACACAAGUUUGUUUCUUCGAGGACCAACUUACCAAGGAGCGUCCAACAAAUUGACAUGCACCGGAGGUGGACUUAUGAUCCACUUUGUCUCUAGCCCAAUCCGCAUCCGUGUACCCAAUGAGAUCAAACUUAGCAUCCUUGGGGUGCCAUAUAGACCCAACUUUGUGGUGUGAACAAGGUAUCUAAGAAUAUGCUUAACCGUCUUAUGAUGACUUUUCCUAGGGGAAGCUUGAAAGCUAGCACACAUGGAUACACUGAACAUGAUGUCUGGUAUAGAUGCACAAAGAUAAAGCAACGAACCAAUCAUAGAGCAGUAAGUAGAUGUGUCGAAGGGAUACCAUUUGUGACUUCAGUGAUUACAAUUUUGGUUGGCAUGAGCGUCUUACAUGGACUAGCAUCAGACAUGCCAAACUUCUCUAGAAUAUCCUUGAGGUACUUUGCUUGAGAAAAUAAUAUUCCUUCUUGAAAUUGUUGAAUUUGGAAUCCGAGAAAGAACUUAAAAUCCGCAUUGAGUGACAUCUCAAAGUUCUUGGUCAUGGAAACCACAAACUUCUUGCACAAAUGAAUGUUAGGACAAUCAAAAAUGAUAUCAUCUACAUACAUUUGGCAUAAGAUCAAAUCAGCCUUGUCCCUCUUAGUAAAAAGAGUGGGAUCGAUCACCACUCUCACAAAACCAUCAUCAAGUAAAAACUUAAGAUGAUCAUACCAAGCACGAGGUGCUUGUUUGAGGCCAUACAAAGCCUUAUGAUGUUUAUACACAUAGUAUUUGUGAUCGGGAUCAACGAACCCAGGUGGUUGUAAUACAUAUACUUCUUCCUGUAGAGGACCAUUAAGGAAAGAACUCUUCACAUCCAUUUGAUGUAAUGUAAAACCAUUGAAAGCAGCAUCAGAAAGUACGAUGCACAUAGAUUCAAGACGGGCAAUGGGAGCAAAGGUCUCACCAAAGUCCAAACCUUCAACUUGUGAGUACCCUUGUGCCACUAACCUUGCCUUAUUGCGUAUGAUUACACCAUUCCCAUCUUGCUUGUUCUUGAAAAUCCAUUUUGUUCCAAUGACAUUGUGUUCCGUAGUUGGCCUCUUGACUAAUGACCACACUUGGUUGCAUCCAAAGAUGUUCAACUCUUCUUGCAUAGCAAUGAGCCAAUCGUUGUCCAUCAAUGAUUCUUGUACCUUGAGAGGCUCAACACUAGACACAAACGAGAAGUGAGCACAAAAGUUUGUCAAUUGUUUACGAGUGACUCUACCUUCUGAUAUGCCGGUGAUAAUUUUAUCAACAUCAACACGACUGGGCACAUGGGGCAUGAUGGAGGUUAGGGUUUCAUGAGUUUAACUUCAUGUCCAUCAUCCACAUCCUCAACAUAUGGAUCAUUAAUGUGUGGUGGAAGAUCUUCCUCUUCAUAUUGCAUUUGUUGAGGUUCAUCAUCAAUGAUUGCACUUUCUUGUUCUUGCACUAGGUGAUGAUCUUGCUCAUGGAGAUAAUCAUGAUGAGGGACUUGAUCAUCUUCUUGUUCUGCAACUAUGGGCAUUGGUUGAACAAUAGGAGCUUGUGAUGCUAUGGGUGUUGAAGUGGUUUGAUGAUGUGCGAAACUUCCAUCUUCUUCUUCAUCAUCAUGAGGUUCUUGUUCCAUGGGAAUAAGAGCACCAACACCCAUGGAGAAAAUAUCUUGAGACGAAUCUUCUUCACCUACAUAACUUAGAUCAACUUGCUCCCCAUGGGAGUCAUUAAAUUCAUCAAACACCACAUCACAAGUUUCUACAACACAUCCAUUGGAUUUGUUAUAGACUCUAUAGGCGUGAGAGUUUGAUCCAUAACCAACAAAUAUGACCUCAGUUGUUUUGGAUUGAAAUUUUCCUAACCGUUCUCUUUUGUUGAGUAUGAAACAUGUGCACCAUAAUACACGAAAAUACUUGACAUUUGGCUAUUUACCGGUUAGGAGCUCAUAUGGAGUCUUUUCCAAUAUUUUGCGGAGAAAGAGCCGGUUUGAUGCAUGGCAUGCGGUGUUGACAGCCUCGGCCCAAAAACUAUGUGGCGACUUGUAUUCAUCCAACAUGGACCUUGCCAUCUCCACAAGUGUACGAUUCUUCCUUUCUGCAACACUAUUUUGUUGAAGCAUGUAUGGUGCAUAAUAUUGAUGCUCAAUCCCUUCAUCACUAAGAAAUCCUUCCAAGGUGUAGUUCUUCAACUCGGAGCCAUUAUCACUUCUUAUUGCCAAGAUUUCUUUGUCAAACUUGUGUUGUGCUUUCUUGGCAAAAUAAUGAAGGUGAUCUUCGUCUCGUCCUUGGAAAUGAGGAAAAACAGCCAAGUAUAUCUUGAGUAAUCAUCAACAAUGACAAAUCCAUACUUUUUCCCAUGAAGACUAUCCCAUGAAAGAGGCCCAAAAAGAUCCACAUGAAGGAGCUCCAAAGGCCUUGAAGUAGACACGAUAUUCUUGGGUGGGUGCUUUGAUUGAUGUAGCUUCCCGGCUAUGCAUGCACUACACACAUGAUCUUUCUCAAAAGAGACAUUGGUUAGUCCAAGGAUGCGAUUACCCUUUAAGAGAUCUUGAAGAUUUCUCAUGCCGACAUGGUCUAGCCGGUGAUGCCAUAGCCACCCCUUGUUGGCCUUGGCCAUUAGACAAGUUGCAUGGAAUGUUCUCUCUUUCGAGAAAUCAACCAUGUAAAGUUUGCCAUCCAACUCUCCAACAAAGGCCACUUCGAGAGUAUCUCUCUUAAAGACUUUCACAUCUGUUAGUCUAAAGAGUGUAUCAAAGCGAACAGAAGCCAGUUGGCGAACGAAAAGCGAAUGGUAUUUAAGGGAUUGGACAAGCAUGCCAUUUGCAAGAGACAUGUCAUUUGUGAUAGCCACCUUGCCCAAACCGAGUACCUCUCCUUUUGAUCCUCCACCAAACAUAAUGCUCAUAAAUGGUUGAAUAGCUUCCAUGAAAUCGCAAAGCAAUGUGCUAUCUCCGGUCAUAUGAUUUGUGCAUCCACUAUCGAUCACCCAUUUUACUCCACCAGAGAAAGCAACCUACACACAAUUAUGACUUGGUUAGAGGCACCCAUUUUUCAAUGGGACCUCUCAAGUUAGUCACAAGGGUCUUAGGACCCAAAUAGGAUAGAACCGGAAUGUAUUCUGAGGACCAACAAUUUUGCAUAAACUUCUCCAUCCUUAGUUUUACGGAGUACAUAGGAUGGAGGCAUGAACUCUUUUGGCUUGUUGAGAGUGGACAUGCCCCUAGUGGCCUUCCCACUCACAACCUUACCUCUCUCCUUAUGUCCUUUUUAUGCAAACAUUUCUUUUAGAGGAGUGGUGCACUUUUGAGAUGACGUCUUCUUCUUGCUUGUGCUUGGGUCAAACCCGAGCCCCUCUUUGGAAAACACCUCAUAGUGUUGGCUCAAUACCUCAUUAAAAUUCUUUUGUCUUGAGCACAUGUCAUGAGUCCUUUCUCGAUUUGCGCCUGGAGAAAGCGAUUUUCCUCAAGAGUAGAUGGUAGGUCACCACUAGAGUUAGUAGUACAAGCAUCAACAUUGAUAAUAGGAGAAGAGUAAGCCUUGGCUAGAGUUUCAAGAUAGGUAAGCUUGAGUGUCUCAAAAAUCUUUGUAAGAAGAGUGAGCUCUUCUUCCUUAGUCUUGAGGGACACGGAUAGAAGCUCACAAUCCUUGGAGAGAGAAGCAUCAGACUCCACAAGCUUACUUUCAUCAUUCAUCAACUCCUCGCAAGAAUCCUUUGCCUUUUUCAAGGAGGCACGCUCUUUAGCAUGAACAUCAAGGUUAGCACCAAUUUUCAUGCAUAGUUCAUCAUUUCGGGCUUCCUCAUAUUGGACUUUCCACUCAAGGAUUUCAUAUUUUUCCUUUCCUCGGUGACGAUGGUUUUGAGUUCCUUAAUGGUGAUAGUGUGCUUACUCUCCAUUUCCAUAAGCAUACGAAACAUAGUGAGCUUCUUUCCUUUGAGGGAGCACAUGAAGUUAUUUAGUUUAGCAAGCAUAGGAUCAUCUAUAUCGUCAUCAUCAUAACUAUCCUCCGCAUCAAGAUACUCAUCACUAGGAGUAGAAGGAGUGAAGAGAUGAGGGUUUGAUCGUGGGGUUACCUUGACCUUGUCAGGAGAGUUUUGGUCCUCUCCAUCUUCUACCACGGCCUUUGCCAUUAGACACUUGUGAGCGUUGACCUUGUAGUCUUUCAUAUAGUCGUAGGUGACAACAUCACUACUCUUGUUGACUAGCCUCAAAGUGUUUUGAGAAUCUUGAGCAACUCCGGCAACACCACUAACAUCAUCUGUAUCGGAUUCUUCAUGAGCAACCAUUACUUUCCCAUCUCUCUUCUUGAGCUUGGAGUUCAAAGGAUUUGGAAACUUUUUCUUGGGAAAGGUCUUAGGAGACCUUGGUUUAUCUUCUCUCUUCUCAUAAGGGCAAUCGUUUGAGAAGUGAUUGGUUUCUUCACAGUUGUAGCAUUUUCUCACUUUCUUCUUCUGGAAUCUUCCCUUAAAUUUUCCCGCGCUAAACUUCUUGACAAAGAGAGCAAUGUCUUCAUAUGAAGGGCUCUUGUCGGAGUCAAUCUCAUCACCAUCUUCUUCUUCACUUUGCUCUUCUUCACAUACAUACUUGGCCUUCAAUGCAAGAUUGAUCUUUGAUGUUGGGGUACCGUGCAUGACAAGAUGUUUUGUGGCAUUUGCCAUUGAUUCUUCAAAUAGUUUGAACAUGGAUAUGAUGUCAUCCAGGGUCAUUUCCUUGAAUCCAUGGUGUUGUCUUAUGUACCAUACCAUUUGGUGAUGAUAUGGAGCAAGAGCAUGAAGCAACUUGUCCACGAGAAAUCCCUUAGUCAAGUUGAAUCCAUCUUGUGUCUUGUCACAAUCACAAGACUCGAUGUCGGCGGUGAGAGUCAUGAGAUGUUCAAGGAGCUGCAUGGGGGAUUCACCAUUAUCCAUAAUUUUUUUUUGCAAUUUACCCUUGGCAAUUUCAUAUUGAGCAAGCCGGAGUGUGGAGGUGCCGGUCUUGGUACUCACAAUGCUAUCCCAUAAUUCCUUGGCACUUGUGAUGUGUAUGUAUGCUCUCCUUUGCUUGUCAGUCAUACCUCUCCUUGUGCACAUGAUUGCGGUCUCAUUGAGAUUCUUUUCAUAUACUUCUCUUGGUGUAAGAUUCUUCGGGUCUACAACUUGAUAACCAUACUUCAAGAUCUCCAACAUCUCGUCAUUUCCAUAUCGAAGAUGAUCCUGCAUAGCAACUCUCCACAAAGUAAAAUCGGUUGUGUCAUCAAGUAAAGGAGGUUUGCCUUGAGGUUUAUAUGUUGGUUUCUCUACUUGAGUCUUGCAUAAAGCCAAGGAACACUGGAGUGUUCAUUAGUAGGAGGUUGUUGGCCAAGUGAAGGAGUAGGCACAGUUGGCCUCGAGGGUGCACCACCAGAAAGUGGUGCAAGCAUCGUGGUCAAUGUGGCUAGUCUCAUUUGGACCAAGGACUCAAGAGAAGAAUCAUGCUCCUCCUUUUGCUUAGCAAGCGCCCGUUCCAGGUCCCCAGAAGUGAAGGACUUGUCUUCCGUGGAAGCCGCGCCCUUCUCCUGCGGAUCCGCAACAAGGGGAGUCCCAUCGGGGUUCAUCUCGCUCUAGAGCGGUUAAGCCACAAGAAUAGAGCACAAGGCUCCGAUACCAAUUGAAAGGAUCGAAAUGGACCUAGAGGGGGGUGAAUAGGUACAAUUACAAAUUUUAAUUAUUACUUAGCAAUUUUAGGCAAUAAAGCAGAAUCUAAAAGUGAUCCUAACAAGUGUAAGUAAGAUGCUAAGAGCUAAGCAAGGUAAACAAGUAACACAAGUAUGUGAGUAAGCAAACACAAUAUGAUAUAUGUAAGGCCUAAGAGACAAGUAACCACAAGUAGGAAGUUAGGGUUAGGGAUAACCGCAACUUCGAGAGACGAGGAUGUAUGCCGAUGUUCACUUCCUUGGAGGGAAGCUACGUCACUGUUAGAGAGGUGGAUGUUACCACGAAGGCACACCAACGCCAUGAAGGCUCACCCUAUUCUCCCUUGAGACAAAACCACGAAGGUGUUUCUCAAUGACUAGUGGUAUACCUUGGGGUGAUCUCCAAACCCUCACAAACUUUCCGGGGGUGAUCACAAUGAACAAUUCCUCUCCGAAUACUCCUACUGCCUAGGAGUCUCCAACCUCCAAGAGUAACAAGAACAAUGGGGAAAAUCUCAAGACUUGCUCAAAUCACGAAUUCCUUUGGUGCAAAGAGGGGGAAGGAGUGGAUCUAUCACUUGGGUAGACAACUUCUCUCAAUUGGCCUCAAUCCCUUGGGGAUCUAAGAUUUGGUAUUGGAGAUUGAGAGAGAGAGUGAAAUGUGUUCUGAGGAUGUUUGAAGUGAAUGGUCAACCCUCUCACGGGAUAGGAGAGAGAUAUUUAUAAGUGGCCGUUGGAGCCCAAAACAGCACAACAGCGUCAGACAUCCGAUGCACAAUGGAUGACCGAAGUCUCGGCAGACACCAGACGUCCGACAAGGAUCGGACGUCCGAUGUUUUGGCACGGUAUAGUUGGUACCAGAUGACCGGAGAAUCCCGGACAUCCGAUUUUUAGGCUCGGUGGAGAAGUUACUGGGCGAUUGAAGUAUAUCGAAUGACCGAUGUUUUGCCACUAUAUAGAAUAUACCGGAUGACCGAAGGGUUCCGGACAUCCGAUGUUUUGGUUCUGAUGGAAGAUUGUCGGACAUCCGUUGUGCACCGGAUGUCCAAUGUUUUGGUUUUGAUGAAAGAUUGCCAAACGUCCGGUGAAUGUUGGACGUUCGAUGUUUUGGCUUUGUAUAGGAGAAGUCGGACGUCUGGUGAGUACCGGUCGUCCAACAGAGAUGAAGACUAGAUAAUGAGCUUGAAGUAGAUAUUGAGCAAGACUCUCACAAGACCCCAUGUUCCCCUCUUAAUAGUGUGGGAUCCCUAUACUCAAGAAUAAACAUAAAUUUAGUCUUGUUUCUUCGUUCUUGAUGAAGUUAAAUAUUUCCUAACUCGUAGUCCACACACACAAUGGAUUCUGAGGGGAUUAAAACCUGAGAUAUACUUGACAAACUUUGUUAGUCCCCUAUGAGUAUAUUGUCAUCAACAUCAAAAUAAAAUUAAGGGCAUGAUUGCACUUUCACUUGGGCCGUCCAACCCCCCAUGUAUUAGCGCAUCGGGUCAGGGAUGCGGCAGGGACAGCGGUGGCACUCAGCGCGGUAGCGACUAUGACAGCGACAACGAUGACUACACCUGGUUCUACAGGCUCCUCGGCACGUAGAAGGCGGGAAGCGGCGGCGACAUAGUAGUGCUAGACGUAGUUCUCGUUCUUAAGUUACUUUAAUUUUUGUUUUCAAGUUUUUGUACAAAUGUCAAUGAAAUCGCCUAGUUUGGACGAAUUUGUGUCCUGUUUGGUCAAUUUUCUUUUUCAAAAAACAACGUCUGGGGCGACCUGGGGGCAGUGGCCGAGAACCCGAUCGGCCCCGUACCGAAAUUAUUGCCUGUUCACCUCUAGGCGGCGCUAUUUCUAGCCCAUGGGGGGUCAAAUGGCUGAAACAGGCUCCUCCUGCAUUGCAUGCUCGACUUGGCUCGGUUCUUUGACAUCUUGGAUUUGCUCCGUCCACUACUGACACACCUCUGUUCAUGUUCCAUCGUCCUGAGGUUACUAUGUACCUACUGGUUUAUGUUGAUGACAUUAUUCUUAUUAGCUCCUUAGUGACUGCCGCUGAUCAUCUGCUGUCUGCUCUAAGUGGUCGUUCUGCCGUCAAGGAUCUAGGUGCUCUCCAUUACUUCCUUGGUCUGGAAGUUUCACGGUCCCCUGCUAGCCCGACUCUCACUUAGCAUGAGUAUUCCUUGGACUUGUUGCGACAUGCUGGUACGUUGCAAUGCAAGCAUCCUACCACCCCUAUGUCUGCGACUGAUCGGUUAUCAACCUUGGAUAGUGCCUUGCUUCCUUCAGACAACCCUACAGAGUACCGCAGUAUUAUUAGUGGCUUGCAGUACUUGAAUAUCACACGACCGGAUAUCUCCAAUGCAGUCAACCGUGUGUGCCAGUAUCUUCAUGCUCCUCGUACUUCACACUACUCAUCUGUGAAGCAUAUACUACGUUAUCUCUCUCAUACCGUCUCCUAUGGCUUGCAUCUUUGGUCUACCUCCUCGAGUGUUCUCUCGGCAUUCUCUGAUGCAGAUUGGGUUGGGAGCCUAGAUGACCGGCGAUCAACGAGGGGCUAUCCUGUCUUUUUUUAUCGCAACCUGAUUGUCUAGAGUGCAAGGAAGAAGGCUACAGUAUCUUGGAGUGGCACUGAAGCAGAUUACAAGGCGGUUGCCAAUCCCACGACUGAGCUUAUUUGGGUACACAACCUCUCAAGAGUUGGGAGUCUCUCAAGAACAGCCACCGGUUCUUUGGUGUGAUAAUAUUGGUGUGACGUAUCUUUGAUCUAAUCUAGUUUUUCAUGCUCGUCCCAAGCACGGAGAAGUUUAAUAUCACUUCGUGAGGGAACGUGUUGCACAAAAGCUUCUUCAUAUCAAGUUCAUAUCCUCCAAAGAUCAACUUGCUGACAUCUUCAUGAAGCGACUUCCACAACCUCAGUUUGAAGGAUUUAGGCUCAAUCUUUACUUCCUUUGUACUUAAGGACACAGUUAAGCACUAGUGGAAAAAAGCCUAACUAUGGCGUGGCAAAUAGUACCUUGCUGGCGUAGACACCCAACCACUACUAGGGAAAACCUUAUACACAUAAUCUUACCAACAACGCGGUUUAAAAUAAGGCGCUACUGCUACUUAGCAGUAGCGUGUGGCAACAAACCACGCUACUGAUAUCUGCAUAGCAGUAGCGCGUUAGGAGGAAACAACGCUACUACUACAGUUGCCACGACUUUGCCGCGCUAGGUCCUAGGUAUUAAGAACAAUUAGUUAGUGUUGAUUAUAUAUGACUAUGAUGAUGAUGAGAAGUUUUUAUUAUGGCUACAAUGUGUUAGAGUUGAUGAUGAUGAGGAGGAGGAGGAGAUGUUAUUAUGAGUACUGUGAUCAUGAUGAGGAGGAUUUGUUAUUAUAACUAGUGACCAAGUUGUUAUAUGAUGUCUCAUGGAUGGAAAAGAUGAUGAGGAGUUGUUAUAUGAAAAUGAUGUAUUAUAAUGAUAAGUUGUUAAUGAUAUUAUGAUGAUGAUGAUGAUGAUGAGUUAUUACAUCAUUGGGUGAAAGAACCGUGGAUUAGUUUCAAGUUGAUGGAUCCAAUUUGACCAUUUGUCACUUUGGAUCAAUCCACUUGAAACUAAUUCGUGGUUCAUGGUCACUUUGGAUACAUUCACUUGAAACUAAUCCGCGGUUCUUUCACCCAAUGAUGUCAACUCAUUAUGAUGUAAAACCAAACUCUAAAUUGCUAUUGUAUGAAAACUUGUGUAAUGGUGUAUGAAUACGACAUAAAACAAAAAAGAAAUAGAAUACGUAAUAAUAGUAGUAGCGCAGUUAGAGAGCAGCGCUGCUAGUAACUUCCAGUAGCGCAUUGUACCAAAAGUGCUACUUCUAUGUAUGUAUAACAGUAGCGCGGGAAAACCCACGCAGCUGCUACACUUUAGUUGUAGUGCUGUAGAAGUACUGCUAGGAUUUUUACUAGUGUACGCCACAAACAUGGUGCCAUUGUUAAGAUAUAGUGGUGGUGUAGGUUGACACAUCAGUAGUAUCGUACAUCGUGCUCGCGUGUAACCAGUGCAGCGCCAGCACUAAGUUCAUCAUAACUCUAGCGACCCUACUUGUCCAAUACCAGCAAAUGAUUUUUUUGGUAAUAAUUUUUUCUCAACACUAUCUACUUACUUAAUAGAUACUAUUGAACACAAUAAACUCAUCAACACUAGGUACUUAAUUAAUAGACUGUCAUUACAGAAGAGGCUUGAGAACUCAACAAGUUGAUAUUAAUUAAACUUCACAAAAGUUGCUCACUCAAGUACUCUAGUUACUCGAUCAUCAUCAAAUAAUAAGAUGAACUAGUCUUCAUCAAGGAGUAUACCCAGAUGGAGAAGCUUCUUUCUAUCCCCCUCUCCUUCUCUUUCGAAAUGAUCUAUGUCCAUCUUGAGGUCAAUCCUCUCAUUCAUGAGGUGUCUCAUCUCCUCCUUCAGUUUAUCCCGAUCCUCGACGAGCUUAUCCCUCUUGUCCCUAAGCUGAUUAGUCUCCUGAAUGGGCCGAACAUUCUCCUUGUGUAGUUGUUUAAUCUCCCCCUUGAGCUCGUCAUUUGCCCCUUGCAUGCUCUUGAUGACAUACUCAUAAGUGUUUAAGAAUUCAUUGUUGGCCAUGUCCACAUCGCACACCGACUCGUUGUUACCUCCAGAAUUGGUCGUGACCUACAAACAGAAUGCGUAUACGAUCAAGAUAAUAUGCAACUUCAUAUCACUGAAUAAAUAUUGCAAUGUAUAGAACUAAUUAAACUAGAUAGCAGGUAUAGAACUAAUUAAACUAGAUAGCAAUGUAAUGUGUAGAACUAUUGGACUGUGACUACAUUUGCCACACUAUUUUGCCACACCUAACUUGGAACAUUACUUUCGAGUGGAAAUUUUCUUUGGACAAUCAACUAUUUUGCCACACCUAACUUGGAGCAUUACUUUCCAGUGGAAAUUUUCAUUGGUGAAAAAGUAGUACACAACAGAUUUUCCCCAAGGUAUUUAUGGAUUACAGUAGCAACUCAAACACUUUGUUUUAGAAUUUAAAAUGCUUCCAAAGAUGAUGACUCAAAAAAUAUAUCUACCUUACACUACACUAGGGAAAACCCUAGUAGUAUAGCGCUUGAAAUAUGCAUAGCAGUAGCGUUGGGUCCAGUGCUACUGCUAUCGCGCUACAUCUAAACCCUAGUAGUAGCGCUGGUAUGGGCAGCGCUACUGGUAAGUUGUAGCGACCAGACCUCAAACGGUCCGAUCUCUAUGCUUCAGUGUCAUCCCUGGAUUAGUAAUGCUGACACGCAUAGUACUUGAAGGAUUUAUAACAGAGUGGCAAUCACACACUUAUUACAACGAAUGUCUCAAAAGAGAACUUAUUACAAUAAAUAUGGCUUAAGGCCAUCUAAUAAAGAUAACAAUGGAAGGUUUGGAAGAUAAGUGAGUCCAUCAACUCCAAUGUCAUCACUGAGCAUAAGACCACGAUCCUAAGGCAUCUUACUUGUCGUCUGAAAAGUCUGCAACAUGAAUGUUGCAUCCCGGAAACGGGUCAGCACAUGGAAUGUGCUGGCAAUGUAACACAUAGAGAGUAAUGAACAUAAUAAUGCUAUCACUACAUGCAUAUAUGGCUGGUGGAGAACUCUAUGGUUACAGUUUUGCAUAAAUCUAAUUUUUCCCUACAACAAAGGAAUAAAUUUUAUUUAACUAUCAUGGUGAUUGUUAAACAUUGAGAAGGUAGACACCCUCUCAAUCCCAAUUAAGCAUCAUCGUUAAACCCAACAAAUUAAAUUAAAGUAACAUGAUGAGAUUCACAUGAUAAUCCAAGUACUAGAUACUCAAAACGUCUAUAAUCGGGGACACAACUAACCAUGAUUACUUUGUACACUCUGUAGAGGUCUGCGCACUUUUCCCCACAAGACUCGAUCUCCUCCGUUGGAUUUCUCGCACUACAAGGUGUUUGAGAAACGGAUGACCGAGACAUGGUCUUUCAGAAGCGUUUGCACCUUACGAUCGGGUAGAAAGUUACACCUACUUUCCCCUACAUCUGCUAGUCUACCACUGUAAGUGUUCACACGACUUAAUCAACUAUGCUAGAGCCCAUAGUAUCUUGUGGCUGCACAUGGAAGUUUCUAGCAUGAAUAAUCUCAUGAUCUGUUUGAGCCUGGGUGGCGGUCCAAAAAAACAGGCAAUCGCUGGAAUACCCAGGUGCCUCAAUCCACCCAGAUGUGUAUUAAAGUUGCCACCUUAAAUAAACCAUUUAAUAAUAAUCUCACAUCUAUCAUGGAUUCACUCACCCAACCCACGUCUACUAGCAUAUCAUAGCAAUAAAAGCAAAUGUAGAAGUAACUCCCAAAGGUUUGAUGAUAAAACAGGUAAUAGGUACUAUCUCAUCUACUUCUGAAAACCCACAUAUUAAUUAGAUCCUAAUCAUGCAACUUUUUGACGAUGGAUCUAAUGCAAUAAAACUGGGUAGUAAAGAGGUAUGAUCAAAGUGUUACUUGCCUUGAUGAUGAUCCGUGAAACCUAGAGAUUCGAAGUAGCAAGCGGCGCACUCCGGGUACUCUAUCGCAAACAAACAAACAAGCAUACAAUAAGUACUCAACUAAUGCAUAGGUAAAACUCAAAUAAGAGAUCUAACCAGAAAGUGCAACUUAAGAACUCCGGUUUGCAAAAAGAAUCAAAUCAAACGAACCAACGAAACUCAAACGGCGAAAGAACCAAGCUUCAUUUAAUAAUCUAGACCUAAGUCCAAAUUUUACAGUAGCCAAAACUUGUUUGAGUUGGUUAAACAGAAAGAGGGUUUCGAGACGAAACUCUAGGCGCUUGAAUCGCCUGAUUCCGAUAAACGAGCGAAAAGAUAAACUAAAAUGAAAAUCGGACCAGAAAUCACAAUCUAGAAUAAUCGCGGAAAAUCCGAGAAAAAUAAAAACUGACGAACAGUCUAACGGACAGACCUUCAUUGACUUCAACUAAACGACGAAACUCAUCUGUUAAAAUGAACGAUCGAGCGAACGCUCGCUAAAUAAAUAUACCGGAAGAAAAAUAAAAAAACCGAUCUAAAAAAAACGAACCAGUUUUCUCUAGAAAAACGGAGCGGCGGCGGGCGGCUACCUCGUCGGAACUCCGACGGGGUCCGGCGGCUUCCGCGGGUCCCGGUGGCGGCGGGGCUCCAGGCGGCGGCGGGAGGCGGUGGCGGCAGCGGCGAACGGCGGCGGCGGCGCGAACGUCGACGGCGGCGCGAACGGCGGAGGCGGGAGGCAAGGUGGAUUGGGUGGCGAGGUGGGGCUGGCGACGGUGGUAUUUAUAGGAGGGGGGCGACAGUGGCUUGGGGAAGAGGGCACCUGGGUCGGGGUCGGCCUCAGGAGGCGUGCUCCGGCCGGACUCGGCGGCGGCGGCGGGGAGGACUUCCCUCCCGCGAGGAAGGCGGCGGCGGCGCGGGCCUGGCCCGGCUCGGCUGGGCCUUCGCCCAGUCGGGCGCGCAGAACUUUUUUUUUAAAAUAAAUUCCGCAGAAACUAAGAAAAUUCUAGAAAAUAAAAUAAAAUUCUAAAAAUGCAAAAAAAAAUUUCACCGUCUAAAUAAAAUAUUUAGGACGAGAUGAACAUUUUCUUGGCCCUCAAAUGCAGUUUUGAAAAACGUGCAAUUUUUCCUAAAUUCAAAUAAAAUAGCGAAAAACUCCGAAAUAAAAUCUUAUUUGAUUUUUUUAUUAAAUCCUCAAUAUUUCUUUAUUUUUCGGAAGUCAUUUUUUCCCUCUCUCUUAUUUUUAUAAUCGAAAUAAUUGAAGAUAAAAUAAAUAAAAUCAAAUGAUCCUAUUUUCAAAAUUUGAGAAAAAUCAAAUAUGAAAAUAACGAAAUUCCCAACUCUCUCCAAGGGUCCUCGAGUUGCGUAAAAUUUCUAGGAUCAAGCCAAAAAGCAAUAAAAUAUGAUAUGCAAUGAUGAUCUAAUGUAUAACAUUCCAAAUUGAAAAUUUGGGAUGUUACAAAUCUACCCCCCUUAAGAUGAAUCUCGUCCUCGAGAUUCGGGUUGGCUAGCAAAUAGGUGAUGGUGGUCCUUCAGCAGAUCUUCCUCUCUCUCCCAUGUGGCUUCAUCCUCGAUGUGGUGGCUCCACUAAACUUUGCAAAACUUGAUAACCUUGUUGCGUGUGACUCGGUUGGCAAAUUCGAGAAUUUUGACUGGUUUCUCCUCAUAGGUCAAAUCAUUAUCCAACUGAAUCGCUUCCAGGGGCACUGUAUCUCUUAGCGGUAUAUCAGCCAUCUCUGAGUGCCAAUUCUUCAACUGGGAAACCUGGAACACAACAUGAACUCCUGACAAUCCUUCUGGCAAUUCCAACUUGUACGCAACUUCUCCCACGCGCUCCAAAACUUUUUAUGGUGCCACAAAAUGUGGCGCUAACUUCCCCUUAACUCCAAAGCGCUUAACUCCUCGAAGUGGAGAUACACGAAGAUAAACUCUGUCUCUGACUUCGUAAACUGCCUCCUUGCAUUUAGAAUCCACAUAGCUCUUUUGCCUGGACUGGGCUACCUUGAGCCUUUCGCGAAUCAACUUCACCUUCUGUUCAGACUCCUUAAUCAAAUCUGGUCCAAACAAUUGGCGAUCUCCAACUUCAUCCCACAACAAUGGGGUCCUGCACCUUCUUCCGUACAAGGCUUCGAAAGGGGCCAUCUUCAAACUGGAUUGAUAACUGUUGUUGGAAGAGAACUCUGCAUAAGGCAAAUUCUUGUCCCAACUAGACCCAUAAUCUAGCGCACAAGCUCUCAGCAUAUCCUCCAAAAUCUGAUUGAAUCUCUCGGUCUGUCCAUCUGUCUGCGGAUGAAAGGUUGUACUGAUCUCUAGCCUGGUACCCAAAGUUUCAUGCAACUGAUUCCAGAACUUUGAGGUAAACUGGGUUCCUCUAUCUGAUACGAUGCUCCUCGGAACUCCAUGCAUACAUACGAUCAUGGUCAUGUAUAUCUUUGCCAACUUAUCACUUGUAUAAGUGGUCUUCACUGGGAUGAAAUGACCUACCUUCGUCAAACAAUCGACUACAACCCAAAUCGAGUCAUAGCCUGAACGAGUCCUGGGCAAUCCUGUGAUAAAAUUCAUUCCUAGUUUAUCCCACUUCCAUUCGGGUAUCGGCAAUGGCUGUAGCAAUCCUGCUGGCUUAUGAUGUUCUGCCUUCACUCUCUGACAUACAUCACAAACUGCUACGUACUCCACAAUAUCCUUCUUCAUUCCGGUCCACCAGAAAGUGUCCUUCAAAUCCAGAUACAUCUUGGUAUUUCCUGGGUGAAUCGAGUAUGGCGAAUCAUGGGCCUCUUGUAGAAUCAACUUCCUGAUCUCCGGGUCAUUAGGCACAUAAACGCGGUCCUCAAACCAUAAGGUAUCGUGCUCAUCCUCACUAAAUCCUUUAGCUUUUCCUUUGCUCAUCCUCUCCUUUAUAGUGGCAAUCUCCUUGUCAGUCUUCUGAGCUUCUCUGAUCUUAUCCAUCAAAGUCGACUGAAUCUCCAAUGCUGCAACAUAGCCUCUCGGGACUAUCUCCAAAUAUAGCUCACGAAGAUCCUCAGCUAACUCCUUUGGUAACUCUCCAGUCAUGAGGGUGUUGACAUGGCUCUUGUGGCUCAACGCAUCGGCUACUACAUUAGCCUUUCCGGGGUGAUAAUGCAAUCUCAUAUCAUAAUCCUCGAUGAGCUCCAACCAUCUUCUUUGCCUGAGAUUCAACUCCUUUUGCGUGAAAAUGUACUUCAAACUCUUAUGAUCCGUGUACACCUCACAAUGGUUUGUAAUGAGAAAAUGUCUCCAUGCCUUCAAUGCAUGCACAACGGCUGCUAACUCCAAAGCAUGUGUAGCAUAAUUCAACUCAUGGGGCUUAAGCUGUCGUGAGGCAUACGAAACAACUCUUCCCUCUUGCAUAAGCACUGCUCCAAGUCCUCAACAUGAAGCGUUUCAAUACACUUCAUAAUCCUUGCGCUGAUCUGGCAGAAUCAACACGAGUGAUGUAACCAAAUGUUUCUUCUACUCCUGGAAACUGGCCACACAUUCCUCAGUCCACUUGAACUUGGUGUCCUUCUUCAACAACUCCGCCAUGGGCUUUGCAAUUUUUGAGAAAUUCUCAAUGAAUCUCCGGUAGUAUCCUGCAAGUCCAAGAAAACUUCCGAUCUCUCCAACUGUUGUUGGUGCUUUCCAAUUUGUCACUGUGACAACUUUGGUGGGAUCUACUGCUAUUCCUUCUCCAGAUAUAACAUGUCCGAAGAAUCCAACUUCCUUCAACCAAAACUCACAUUUGCUGAACUUGGUAUAUAACUGAUGUUCUCUGAGCUUCCCAAGUACCAAACGCAAAUGCUCCUUAUGCUCUUCUUCAUUCUUCGAGUAGACCAAGAUAUCAUCAAUGAACACUACGACGAACUUAUCCAGAAACUCCAUAAACACCUUGUUCAUCAUGUUCAUGAAAUAGGCAGGUGUGUUAGUCAGACCAAAUGACAUAACGGUAUACUCAUACAGCCCGUACCUGGUGGUAAAAGUUGUCUUAGGUAUAUCGUGCUCUCUAAUCUUCAACUGGUGGUAUCCUGAUCGCAGAUCGAUCUUGGAAAAUACCUUAACUAUUUGCAAUUGGUCAAACAAGUCAUUGAUCAUCGGCAGUGGGUACUUGUUCUUGAUUGUUACUUCAUUCAAUCCUCGAUAAUCAACAACCAUCCUCAAUGAUCCAUCCUUCUUCUCCACUAGAAGCACUGGCGAGCCCCAAGGUGAAGAACUUGGGCAAAUAUAACCUUUAUCCAAUAACUCCUUGAUUUGCUUCUUAAUUUCCUCCAAAUCUUUUGCGGGCAUCCUGUACGGUCUAUUAGCAAUUGGACCUGUGCCUGGAAAAAGCUCAAUCAAAAACUCACUGUCUCUAUCUGGUGGCAUGCCUGGCAAUUCUUCCGGAAAUACAUCGGGAAAAUCUUUCACCACUGGUACUUCCUCCUGUACAACUCCUGAUAAGGAAUUUACGUGCGUCCUCUUUGGCUCGUGCCGUGAUACAUACUUGAUCCUUCUCCCUUCUGGGGUGGUAAGCAAAAUCGACUUACUGGCGCAAUCGUUGUUUCCUCCAUUCAUCGAUAGCCAAUCCAUACCCAGAAUCACAUCCAAACCUUGCGAUUCUAAAAUGAUUAAAUCCGAGGGGAAGACAUGCCUACGUAUACUCAAUGGCACUUGAAAACAUCCUCGACUGGCCAUAUAGUCCGCUCAUGGUGAGCUUACUAACAUAGGUGUUCUAAGAACCUUGGUGGGAAGUUUAUACUUAUCCACAAAUCCCCUUGAUAUGUAUGAAUGCGAUGCACCAGUAUCAAAAAGAACGAGUGUAGUAAAUGACUUAACCAAAAACUUACCUAUUACUGCAUCUGGCUGAGCUUCAACCUCCACCACGUUUACGUGGUUCACCUGUCCCUUGUUGAAAGGGUUCGGCUUCUUCCCAGAGCUUCCAUUGCCAUUUCCAUUCUGGGCUUCAGGACAUUCAUUGGCAUAAUGUCCAGUCUUCUGACAAUUGUAGCAAGUGACUUGGCUCAGAUCUCUCUUGGCUAGGGUUGAUGGGUUGGUACGUUUAUGGCCGUUGCUUCCUCCAUUCUCAUUCCCAUUCUUGAGGCCAUUAUGAUUGUGCGAACUCCCUCCUCCAUGGGUAUGUUGAAAAUGUCCUCCCGAUUUCGGGGUAAAACAUGGCUUCUGCUAAGCUCCAGAAUUGUACUUCCCUUGUCCAUACUUCCUCUUGUGAUUGUCAAUCUGCUGCUGCUUCCCUUCAAUCAUAAGAGCUCUAUCUACCAACUCCUGGUAGUUGUUGAAGGUUGCUAUCAUUAACUGCAUGCUCAGCUCAUCAUUCAGUCCUUCCAGAAACUUCUCCUUCUUAGCUGCAUCUGUAGAAACGUCAUCUGGGGCAUAACGUGCUAGCUUACUAAAGUCAUCCACAUACUGGCCAACUGUACGUCCUCAUUGGCACAAGUUGCAAAACUCACGCUUCUUCAUGGCGAUAGCUCCUGCCGAAACAUGUGACAGUGUCGAUAGGGUAUGUGGCUGUAAAAUUCUCCCACCAUGAUUCUGCGGGUCCAUCAAGCUGAUGUGCGGCAAAACGCACCUUCUCCGCAUCUGUGCAUCCUGCAGUGGUUAACUCCCUUCCCAUCUUGCGGAUCCAAUCAUCUGCAACUAUCGGCUCGGUGCUACUGGAAAACACCGGUGGAUUAAGCCUCAAGAAAUGGGCUAAGUGAUCAACAGGUGGUGGUGGUGGUGGGUUGUUGUUGUUCCCCUGAUUCUGGUUCCGGAGUAGUAACUGCAUCAAUGCAUUCUGCUGCUGGAUCAACUGGGUGAGCUUCAGUGGGAAAGCAAAUCCAUUGUCACGUCUCGGAGGCAUCUAACGAUUUAGAAAAAAUGAUAAUAUAUAAUAGAAUGAGCCCUAGAAGGAAAACACUACCCAUAUGCACAUGAGACAAAUGCAAGCAGUAUCACUUCAAGCAAAAUCAAAAAAGGGCAUACAACGGUCUAGCUAAUCGUUUCAAAAGUGCUCAGACUAUACUAUAUACAUGGGGGAAUACUACUACUGUUUAUGGUGGUCGACGAGAAAAACUGCUCCGAUGAAGACUCCAUGAUAUCUGCUCCAGCUUCGUCAACAUAGUCAUCAUCGCUAUUGUCUGGGUCCGAAUUGGUGUCGUCGAUGAUGAUGUAGUUCUCCGGAAAAGUGCAAUCAUCGUCUUCUCCUCUAGUCGCGGAAAAUCUCAUGAAUACUUUUAGCUUCUUCUUCAGAUCAUCAUUCUUCUCCACAAGCGUUGCUAUUUCCUCCUCAUAUCCAUCGCGUGUAGACUUGAGUUCUUCCUCCAGUUCCAUGAUCUUGGUCAGAGCCUUCUUCAGAUCUACCAUGCUUGCGCACAUCUGGUUCUCCUGGCGACGAAUGUGCUGGUUUCACUCCUGGAUGAAAGCUGCAAUUGAUCUAUCCUUCCUGGUGCUGAUCAUCUCCCAUUGCUCAUCUCGGCGCCCAGAAAUCAGGUAGAUAGUAUCCUUGAGAUCCUUGUGGUAAACUUCUCCAAUGUGUCCCAUGGUGAUGUGAGCUGCCAUGCUCUUUCCUAAACUCUAGGUUUGUGCAUCAAAGGAAAACUCUAUGGGUUCAGUGACGUGCAUGAACGUCCUUCCUGGAAAUUGAACUUGAAUCAUCCAACGCUCCUCUUCUGGUAAAGUGGCGUUGUAGGUCCCGAUGAAGCUUGGUACUCCGAUGUUCACGACUUAGUGACUUCCUUCAAGUGGCGUCCAAAGGGUGUAUCUUCAUCCGGUUGCAUGAACUUGCUCCUUGCAUCCGCCAUCCUAAAAGAAUAUAAUAGAUGAGGAAUCAGAAAUGACAAGAGUGAGUAAUGAUCUAGGGCUUUUAGCUUAGUGGUCGUGUCCUACAGUCAGCAUGUGCUUUUAUACCAUCUUGUAGCGACCCGACCUCUGUGCUUCAGUGUCAUCCCUGGAUCAGUAAUGCUGACACGCAUCGUACUUGAAGGAUUUAUAACAGAGUGGCAAUCACACACUUAUUACAACGAAUGUCUCAAAAGAGAACUUACUACAAUAAAUAUGGCUUGAGGCCAUCUAAUAAAGAUAACAACGGAAGACUUGGAAGAUAAGUGAGUCCAUCAACUCCAACGGCAUCACUGAGUAUAAGACCACGAUCCUAAGGCAUUUUACUCAUCGUCUGAAAAUUCUGCAACAUGAAUGUUGCAGCCCGUAAACGGGUCAGCACAUGGUACAUGCUGGCAAUGUAACACAUAGAGAGUAAUGAACAUAAUAGUGCUAUCACUACAUGCAUAUAUGGCUAGUGGAAAACUCUAUGGUUACAGUUUUUCAUCAAACCAAUUUUUCCCUACAACAAAGGAAUAAAUUUUAUUUAACUAUCAUGGUGGUUGUUAAACAAUGAGAAGGUAGACACCCUCUCAAUCCCAAUUAAGCAUCAUCAUUAAACCCAACAAAUUAAAUUAAAGUAACAUGAUGAGAUUCACAUGAUAAUCCAAGUACUAGAUACUCAAAACGUCCAUAACCGGGGACACGGCUAACCAUGAUUUGUUUGUACACUCUGCAGAGGUUUGCGCACUUUUCCACACAAGACUCGAUCUCGUCCGUUGGAUUUCUCGCACUACAAGGUGUUUGAGAAACGGAUGACCGAGACAUAUUCUUUCAGAAGCGUUUGCACCUUACGAUCGGGUAGACAGUUACACCUACUUUCCCCCACAUCUGCUAGUCUACCACUGUAAGAGUUCACACGACUUAAUCAACUAUGCUAGAGCCCACAGUAGCUUGUGGCUGCACACGGAAGUUUCUAGCAUGAAUAAUCUCAUGAUCCCUUUGAGCCUGGGUGGCGGUCCAAAAAAACAGGCAAUCGCUGGAAUACCCAGGUGCCUCAAUCCACCCAGAUGUGUAUUAAAGUUGCCACCUUAAAUAAACCAUUUAAUAACAAUCUCACAUCUGUCAUGCAUUCACUCACCCAAUCCACGUCUAUUGGCAUAGCAUAGCAAUAAAAGCAAACGUAGAAGUAACUCUUGUAAUAAAACAGGUAAUAGGUACUAUCUCAUCUACUUCCCAAAACCCACAUAUUAAUCAGAUCCUAAUCAUGCAAUUUUUUGAGGAUUGAACUAAUGCAAUAAAACUGGGUAGUAAAGAGGUAUGAUCAAAGUGUUACUUGCCUUGUUGAUGAUCCGUGAAACCUAGAGAUUCGAAGUAGCAAGCGGCGCACUCUGGGUACUCUAACGCAAACAAACAAACAAGCAUACAAUAAGUACUCAACUAAUGCAUAUGUAAAACUCAAAUAAGAGAUCUAACCAAAAAGUGCAACUUAAGAACUCCGGUUUGCAAAAAGAAUCAAAUCAAACGAAGCAACGAAACUCAAAUGGCGAAAGAAACAAGCUUCAUUUACUAAUCUGGACCUAAGUCAAAAUUUUACAGUAGUAAAAACUUGUUGAGUUGGUUAAACGAAAAGAGGGUUUCAAGGCGAAACUCUAGGCGCUUGAAUCUCCUGAUUCUGAUAAAGGAGCGAAAAGAUAAACUAGAACGAAAAUUGGAUCAGAAACCACGAUCUGGAAUAAUCGCGGAAAAUCCGAGAAAAAGAAAAACUGACGAACUGUCUAACGGACAGACGUUCGUUGACUACAACUAAACGGCGAAACUCAUCCAUUAAAAUGAACGAUCGAGCGAACGCUCGCUAAAUAAAUAAACCAGAAGAAAUAUAAGAAAACUGAUCUAAAAAAUAAACCUAGGGUUUUCUAAAAAAAUGGAUUGGUUUUCUCUAGAAAACCGGGCGGCCACGGGCGGCUACCUCGUCGGAACUCCGGCGGGGUCCGGCGGCUUCCACGGGGUCCGGUGGCGGCGGGAGGCGGUGGCGGCAGUGGUGAACGGCGGCAGCAGCGGCGAACGGCGGCGGCGGGAGGCGAGCUGGACUGGAUGGAGGGUUGGGACUGGCAGCGGCGGUAUUUAUAGGAAGGGGGGCGACGGUGGCUUGGGGAAGGGGGCGACCGGGUCGGGAUUGGCAUCGGGAGGCAUGCCCCGGCCGGACUCGGUGGCGGCGUUGGGGAGGACUUCCCUCCCGCGGGGAAGGCGGAGGCGGCGCGGGCCUGGCCCGGCUCGGCUGGGCCUUCGGCCCAGUCCGGCGCGCGGAACUUUUUUUUAAAUAAAUUUCGCCGAAACUAAGAAAAAUACUAGAAAAUAAAAUAGAAUUCUAAAAAUGCCAAAACAAAUUUUCACCAUCUAAAUAAAAUAUUUAGGACAAGAUGAACAUUUUCUUGGCCCUAAAAUACAGUUUUGAAAAACGUGCAAGUUUUUCCUAAAUUCAAAUAAAAUAGCGAAAAACUCCGAAAUAAAAUCUUAUUUGAUUUUUAUUAAAUCCUCAAUAUUUCUUUAUUUUGGGAAAGUCAUUUUAUUCCCUCUCUCUUGUUUUUAUAAUCUAAAUAAUUGAAGAUAAAAUAAAUAAAAUCAAAUGAUCCUAUUUUCAAAAUUUGAUAAAACUCAAAUAUGAAAAUAACGAAAUUCCCAACUCUCUCCAAGGGUCAUCGAGUUGCGUAAAAUUUCUAGGAUCAAGCCAAAAAGCAAUAAAAUAUGAUAUGCAAUGAUGAUCUAAUGUAUAACAUUCCAAAUUUAAAAUAUGGGAUGUUACAUAAGUAUUGUUAGCAGUAGCGCUUCCCGGACCAGCGCUACUGAUAACUAUCUAUAGCGCUUGUUCAGAUGGUGCGCUGCUGCUAAGCCAGCGCUACUUAUAAGUAUUUUCCAGCACUACUGCUAAUAUUCCUGCUUUCACAUAUUUGCACCCUGUACAUAUUUGUGAUGUAUUUAUACAGGCUCUGUACAAUAGUUUCAUCACAUCAUACUAAACAUACACUAUUCUCACAUAUCAUAGACAUACAGUAGUCUCGUCAUAGCAUCAUCAUCAUCAUCAUUCAACACAAAUAUCAUCACAUCUCGAAAAUAGUGAUACACAAGUGCGAUCAUGUCAUGUCUUGAAUAAGUGCAACUGCAUGGUCAUGGCACACACACAAGUUUGAUCAUCUCUAUCUAAACCAUGAUGUAAAGGAGAAGAACAAUCAGCAUGAGCAAGAGCGCCACUAUGUAGUACCGGCGGUCCCGCUCCUGCUCAUGCUGGAGUGUCCACCUCAAGUAACUACGUUCCGCUUCGGCUCUGGUGUUGAACCCUCUGAGGCUAGCACCCGGGUACCUGUGCACCUGGGCCUGAGCGGCUGGCCAGUGGUUGUAGACUCCUGGAACCCGCCCAACGUACACGACGUAGUAGUCCUUCGCCAUCUCUGAUCUAUGUACCUGCAUCGUGAGUUGAUGAAUUGAAUGAUAAUAUGCAACAUAGUGUACUUAAGAAAACAAAGAGGCAUGAUUAGCAAAAUAAAAGCAACCAAUAGUAAACAUAAAUGACGAAGUUCCUCAUACCCAAACUAAUUAACUAGAGCGAUCUACGCUAGUUCAAGACCACGGUUUAGUUACAUCACAUAGUUUCGUCGUGCAUAAUUUCAAAAUUUUGCCAUAGAAAGACAGUAGUGAUAAGGCGAUUAGGACCACGGUUUAGUUACAUCACAUUGUCAUUGACAAUCAGUCCUCCAUGUCGGUGUUCCAAUCUUCAUAGUCAGGGAGGAAGCACCCGAGCUUCGUGAAAGGCUUCAGGUCCAGACAUUGAGCGACUAGCAGUGCUCGGACAUCAACCCGCGUGAUUGGACCAUGGUAGAACAUCCCCAUUGUUUUUUAGAACUUAUACAGUGGGAGAGGCUCCCACUGUGUUUGUAUUACUCAAAAGAUAUAGUACAAUGUACACCUCAUAUUUACAAGAUACUCAACCUCCACUUUGGGAGAGAGUGUAAUCAGACCAAGUUAUGGGCAAGCUAAUGGGGUGAUAGAGUGUUUACAAAAGAGAGAAUAAAGUCUCUCAAGUCUUCUCUAGUCAUGUGUUGAAGGAGGGUGAAGUCCUGCUUGAAUCUAUCAAGCCAAGAGUGGUAAAUAGGAGGGAUUCUUCUGAAGUGCUUGUUAUUCCUCUCUUUCCAUUUGCUCCAAGGUGCCUGUAAAAAGAUUUCCAUAAACAUGGGUUUGUCCCAAUUGUUGGAUGCCUGACUUAUCCAUUGUAACCUGGAGCCGGUGUCUUCCCACGUAAUCCCUAGUUUGGAGCAAUAGUUUUUACUGAAAGGGCAUUGGAAGAUCAUGUGUUCCACAUCCUCUUCUAUUUAUUGAUUACAUAGCAAGCAGUUGAAGUCAUCCCCUAUGUUAUAGUGCCACCUCUUGAGCAUGUUGCGAGUGUUUAGUCGAUCAGAGAGAAGCAACCACCCAAAUGUCUUGAUUUUCAGCAUGACCUUCGAUUUCCAGAGCCAUUGAUAUGAUUUGUGGGCCUUCACAUCCCUAAAGUAGAAUUUGUAGUAUAUGUUGGCCUUAAAAUCUCUCGAUCCCCAACAAUACUCACAAGUGUCAUGGGUAUGCAAGUCUUCAUGGUUACCUACGUGGAGCAUAUUUUGUUGUAGAUCGAGAACUUCUUCAUGUGCUUGCACCAAAAGGGGUCGGUGAAACCUUUCAUGGAGUGAGGUAGAUCCCAAGAAAUCUCUGACAGAAAUAUCAUCAUUUAUUGCGAAGGAGAAGGCCCGCGCGUAUUAUUCCGCCUCUGUAGUGUCUAACCAUAUAUCCUUCCACAUAAGUACCGUGUCUCCAACGUGCACAUUUUCUUUAGAUAUCCCUCUGUAGAUUGGGGUGAGCUUUAGCACAUCCUUCCACCAGAACUAUCCGCAUGGUUCCGACGCGUGCGGGAUCUUGUGCGUGUAAUAUGUUGUCUAGAUCAAAUCCACCCAGGGCAGGUCAUGGUGGUUCUCGGUGUCAAAACUGGCGGAUCUCGGGUAGGGGGUCCCGAUCUGUGCGUCUUAGGACCAAUGGUAACAUGAACACGGGAUUUUACCCAGCUUCGGGCUCUCUUGAUGAGAUAAUACCCUACAUGCUGCUUGAUUGACUAUAAUGAAUAUAGGGGUUACAAGAGUUGAUCUACCUCGAGAUCAUAUGUUGUGGUCUAAACCCUAGAGGUAUGAUGAGUAAUGUCAUAAUAAUCCUCUAUCGACUAGCCUAGCCUCGGUUUAUAUAAUGUACCAGAGGCCUAGGAUAACAAGAGUCCUAGCCGAAUAUGCCGGUGGGGGAGGAGUCCUUGUCUUGAUCACCAAGUCUUGUGGAAUCUUCCUUGUAUGCGGCAAUUGUCGAACUGGCCCAUGAGUAUACGGACAUGGGGGUGCUCGGCCCAAUCUAACUGAUCGGGGGAUGAUGUGGUGAGUACCCCCUAGUCCAGGACACCAUCAGUAGCCCCCUGAACCGGUCUUCAAGUUGGGGAGGCUCCUCGAUUCUUCCGAACUGUUCUUCAUCUUCGGUCGUCCGUCUUGAAAAUUGGUUCAACAAAUCUUCUCAUCUUCGAUCUUGAGGAUCGCAAAGUAAAUCCGAAGAGUUUAUACGUCGGGUAUCCGAGGAGCCCCUAUAAGUUUCCGGCAUUUAUCAAUGCCUUGUUAUUAUUAUGCCGCACUUCAGGUUUGAAGUUAUUCCCGGGCGGCAGCUUCCUCUUGCAUCCGAGCUCCAACGCCGGAUUUCAUUCGAGGUAUCUUUUGCAGCCAAGCACCAACGCCGGACUACUUCCGAGCUCCAAUGCCGAAAUAUAUCCAAGCUCUAACGCUGGACUAUGUCCAAGCUCCAACGCUGGACUGUAUCCGAGCUCCAAUGCCGGACUAUAUCCGAGAUGUCAUAGAUCAUCUGGGUUCAAAAAGUUGGAGGAGUUUAGCCGAGCUUAAUGCUGGAAAUGCCCUCUAUGGAGCCAGCCACUGGCGCCCGAGCUUAAUGCCGGAUUGCUUCCGAGGUGGUGCACCACCCCUAACUGUGGGCUGAUUUUUUGACUGGUGCAAUUUAUUAUCUUCCGAGAUAUAUAGCCAGUAGCCCUCGAGGUGUGUGCGUCGGUCUAAAACCCGAGAUGCACAUGAAGGAAAACAUGAAACCGCUAAUCCUAGUUGCCCCUGAGACUCAGGUCGGUGCACGAAAUCGGCAUGAGGAUCAACUCCUAGCUCGACAACAUACAUAGGAAUAGAAACGCGGUGUGCAAAGUCCUCGAGACUCAAGUUGGGUGCGGCCGACCAACCUGAGGAUAAUAAUCUCCUCGAAAACUAUAUUGCACUUUAAAUUUUCUGCAUUGGAUUGUCAAUGCAGUAGCCCCCGAGACACUGGUCGGGUGGCGACACUAGAUCAGGGGAUCAAUGUACCCCUUUAAUAUUUGUAAAUAAUAAGCACGAAGCCCAGUAGCCCCCGAGCCUUAAUGUGGGCACGGGUGGCCAAAUUAAGGAUCGAUAUCCAAAGUAAAAUCACAAAUUAUGUGUAAUGAUUCUAUGUAUCCAAGUACUUUGCAUCAUCAAUGCUCGCAUCCGCAUUGUACAAAACUUUGUCGACCUGCCAUCGGCUUCAACCUCCUUGGCCAGCAGCCAGGGAGUGUGUGUCCCACUUUAUAAAGCCUUUAUGGGGGCAAAGAUUUGUGGCAAACAAGGCAAUCCGGCCAUAUGGUUUUAUAAACAAAGGUACGCAGAGAGACAUGUUAUAUUAUUGUUUAACAUAAGAAACAUCAUCCAAAGAAAAUAGUCCCACUAUUGGUUCCUUUCUUUGGGUUGUCAUGCUAAGCAUGAUCAUGAAACCUCAGCUCUGAUCAAUGUGGGAGGGAAAUACUGAGGAUUUUAGUACGGGAAAAGCUUCCAAACUCUGUGGUCUAGGUGAACCCAAAUUUUUACUUCCGUUAUGACCGUUUAUAAUUUGAAAGUGGCCCAUCGUCGGCUUCUACCCCCUUGUAGAUGUUAUGCAGGGUGUUUCCGAAAUAACAAAUCAACCCUUAGCCGACGUCUCGGUACCCGAAGGCGGUUGUGUUGGCGGAAACAAGGCAAUCAGAUAUACGGGCUUUAUAACUUUCACUUAGUCAUAGGAACAUAUAGUUGGGAGGCCGGCAAGUAGCCCCCCGCUUAGUGUUCGGCGAAAGCCGAGGUCAAGCCGUAAACACUUAGGGCAAUGUUAUGAACGACCCGUCAUUUAACAUGCCGGUGGGGUCUGGGAUUCUGAUCCAAUCAUGCCGGUGGGGGAGGAGUCCUUGUCUUGAUCACCAAGUCUUGUGGAAUCUUCCUUGUAUGCGGCAAUUGUCGAACUGGCCCAUGAGUAUACGGACAUGGGGGUGCUCGGCCCAAUCUAACUGAUCGGGGGAUGAUGUGGUGAGUACCCCCUAGUCCAGGACACCAUCAGUAGCCCCCUGAACCGGUCUUCAAGUUGGGGAGGCUCCUCGAUUCUUCCGAACUGUUCUUCAUCUUCGGUCGUCCGUCUUGAAAAUUGGUUCAACAAAUCUUCUCAUCUUCGAUCUUGAGGAUCGCAAAGUAAAUCCGAAGAGUUUAUACGUCGGGUAUCCGAGGAGCCCCUAUAAGUUUCCGGCAUUUAUCAAUGCCUUGUUAUUAUUAUGCCGCACUUCAGGUUUGAAGUUAUUCCCGGGCGGCAGCUUCCUCUUGCAUCCGAGCUCCAACGCCGGAUUUCAUUCGAGGUAUCUUUUGCAGCCAAGCACCAACGCCGGACUACUUCCGAGCUCCAAUGCCGAAAUAUAUCCAAGCUCUAACGCUGGACUAUGUCCAAGCUCCAACGCUGGACUGUAUCCGAGCUCCAAUGCCGGACUAUAUCCGAGAUGUCAUAGAUCAUCUGGGUUCAAAAAGUUGGAGGAGUUUAGCCGAGCUUAAUGCUGGAAAUGCCCUCUAUGGAGCCAGCCACUGGCGCCCGAGCUUAAUGCCGGAUUGCUUCCGAGGUGGUGCACCACCCCUAACUGUGGGCUGAUUUUUUGACUGGUGCAAUUUAUUAUCUUCCGAGAUAUAUAGCCAGUAGCCCUCGAGGUGUGUGCGUCGGUCUAAAACCCGAGAUGCACAUGAAGGAAAACAUGAAACCGCUAAUCCUAGUUGCCCCUGAGACUCAGGUCGGUGCACGAAAUCGGCAUGAGGAUCAACUCCUAGCUCGACAACAUACAUAGGAAUAGAAACGCGGUGUGCAAAGUCCUCGAGACUCAAGUUGGGUGCGGCCGACCAACCUGAGGAUAAUAAUCUCCUCGAAAACUAUAUUGCACUUUAAAUUUUCUGCAUUGGAUUGUCAAUGCAGUAGCCCCCGAGACACUGGUCGGGUGGCGACACUAGAUCAGGGGAUCAAUGUACCCCUUUAAUAUUUGUAAAUAAUAAGCACGAAGCCCAGUAGCCCCCGAGCCUUAAUGUGGGCACGGGUGGCCAAAUUAAGGAUCGAUAUCCAAAGUAAAAUCACAAAUUAUGUGUAAUGAUUCUAUGUAUCCAAGUACUUUGCAUCAUCAAUGCUCGCAUCCGCAUUGUACAAAACUUUGUCGACCUGCCAUCGGCUUCAACCUCCUUGGCCAGCAGCCAGGGAGUGUGUGUCCCACUUUAUAAAGCCUUUAUGGGGGCAAAGAUUUGUGGCAAACAAGGCAAUCCGGCCAUAUGGUUUUAUAAACAAAGGUACGCAGAGAGACAUGUUAUAUUAUUGUUUAACAUAAGAAACAUCAUCCAAAGAAAAUAGUCCCACUAUUGGUUCCUUUCUUUGGGUUGUCAUGCUAAGCAUGAUCAUGAAACCUCAGCUCUGAUCAAUGUGGGAGGGAAAUACUGAGGAUUUUAGUACGGGAAAAGCUUCCAAACUCUGUGGUCUAGGUGAACCCAAAUUUUUACUUCCGUUAUGACCGUUUAUAAUUUGAAAGUGGCCCAUCGUCGGCUUCUACCCCCUUGUAGAUGUUAUGCAGGGUGUUUCCGAAAUAACAAAUCAACCCUUAGCCGACGUCUCGGUACCCGAAGGCGGUUGUGUUGGCGGAAACAAGGCAAUCAGAUAUACGGGCUUUAUAACUUUCACUUAGUCAUAGGAACAUAUAGUUGGGAGGCCGGCAAGUAGCCCCCCGCUUAGUGUUCGGCGAAAGCCGAGGUCAAGCCGUAAACACUUAGGGCAAUGUUAUGAACGACCCGUCAUUUAACAUAGUCAUCAGAUCGCUGACCGGUUUAUGCUUUAUUGUGACAGUCAGUUUUCGGCUUUCUCCAACGAGGUGCUUAACCAUACGAGUUGGAAGCACAAUCGCAGUGGCUCUCCUUUUGCACACCUAACCGAACAAAGCAGAAUGUAGGAGGCAAGCACCGGAGUCGGGCAACCCAACUAUCGACCGAAGACACAAUUUGAAACCGAUGCAUAUAUAGCAAUAUCCUAGAAUUUUUGCCAAAUCUCUAAAGGUGUCCAGCAUUGCACUGCGAGACUUAUGCGGAAAACACACAAAUAGUUGAAAAGGCCAUAGGUUUGGAAAACCAAAAAACGUCAGUGAAAACUCGACGUCCGAACUAUAUCAAGUGUUCGGUGCCAAUCCAAACAUUGAAAAAAUUGUGCUUCUGUCAUGCUUUAACAUGCCACAUCCUAUCUCAAGACUUCAAGCGGGUCAGCCUACGGCUUCAACCUCCUAUCCUAAAGGCGGAGUACUUUGGCGGCUUUGAGAGGGAAAUCCAGCUAUUGACCACACACUCGCGUCGAAAAAAGGAGUGAUAGAAAAAAACUUUGCAACGACUAGGAAGAAGAACACUUAUUAUAAAACAGCUCACAUAAAUUUAAGAGCCCCCGAGUGACUUGGGUAAAAGAAUUUUAUGUAUAAUGAUUGUAUGUACCAAAGUACUUGUAUCAUGUCUGUGUUCACCCGAACUUUAUACGCGUCUUAACCAAUUGUCGGCUUCUCCCUCUUCGGUCGAGGACCGAAAAGUGUUAUGUACUCCACCUGUCGAGAGUAUCGACGGUGUUUCCGAUAACCAGGCAACCAGGCCAUAAGGCUGUAACAGACAAAGCACGCUCAGGGAACUUAUGCUAUAUUACUAACAAAGUGUAAGAAGCAUCUUCGAAGAAAAUAGUACCCCCAUCGAUGCCUUUCUUCGGUGCUCAUUGUCAUUAUGAGACUUGUGCAAUAGAUUUUUUGUACUCAUGAGUUCCGUUGUGUGCCGACCAUGAUUGAAAACAAUAAGAGCGCUAGCUUUCGGCUUCACCCAGUCUGAGGUCUGAGCUCGGAAGAACCGGUCAUGACAAUCGCAGAGGUGCUCCCUUUACUCCCUAGCCGAACAAUCGGGAACAUAGGGGUAAGCACAGGAGCCAGCCAACCCAGCUUGCAAAUCACUUAGGUCAAUAUGGUGCAUAUUGUGGCGUAAUACAUGAACAACGAACGAAGCCGUACAAGUAUAAUCAUAUGCAAGAGGAAAAGCUUCAUAAAGGAAGCCCCAAGUAAACGGGGUAUUUGAAUUUGUGUGUCACAAACAAAGUUUGGACAUGGAAGUUCUUCACAAGCAACUUUUUGCCAAAAAGGUAUAAUGCUUGUUCAAACCGAACAAAAUUUAAGACUGAAAGUUUUUGAGCAUGAAAGAAACUUAGCUGGUUGAUAUGUUCGGCAUUGAUGACGCGGUCCGAGCUUGAUGUGGGACAGGGUUCCAGCCCCCAGGCUGGUCCCAAGGUGGCCGAGCAGAGAGUCCAGCACUCUGAGAAGAUGAAGCCCCUAGUCCGGCCACGGUAAUGGAGCAGGCCGGCGCGCCAAGGCGACAACACGGCUCAGUCCGAGUCCAUUGCCUGCACAGAUAAAAUAGUGCAAACCAAAAGAAAUGACAAAUAAAGAUAAUAAUGUAUAUAUAUAUAUAUAAUUCUUCUACUUAUUUAACACAAGUGAAGAAAAUAAUGAAAGAGAUGUGGCCUGAGCGUCGAGGUCAAUGUCGAUGCAGGGCGUGAUGCAGUGAAGGCGUGACAAAGCCCGAAUUCGCAGGUCAGUUCGAGUUCCGGAUACAGCGUUCGCCGAACUAUCCACCGAAACUGACCGAACCACCACACAAUCAUCGCUAAUGCGGCCACCAAUUGAUAGACCUAUGUACAGAUGAUGGAACAAAGCAGAGUAAUAAUUCCUUGGGAAAAAUGAACCCAAACGAGCAAAAUUUGCUAGGAUUAAUAGCACCUGGUUUAUCUGUUGUAACGGUUCGAAGAAAGGUUACUCCCAAAAUUGGGACUCGAUCCGCACACCCAUUUCCUGAUGGGUGAUGAAGCGAUGGCACGGCGAUCCUGGCAAAGGUUGGCUCGCCACAGCGAAGCCCGUGGUCCAGCUAAUGUGAUGAAGCUGGUCGGCUGGUGACGCCGAAGUCUCUGGAGUAAGUUGAUGAAGGGAUGAAGAAGCCCCCAGUCUAGGCGAGGAGACGGAGCAGGUCGGUGAGGAGAUGUGUCAGCCGAGGCGUUGAAGUAGUUCGGCGUGAUGGACAUCAGCUCGAUGAAGCAACAGUUCGGCCAUGCCGAUGCAGGUCGUAGCUUGUGACGUGAUCAAUGCUGGCUUGAUGAAGUGACCGUACGGCGAUGCCAUUGUGCCCGCUCCAUGUGAUCUGUGGGGCGGCGAUGUUGGUGACGAUUUAUCCUUCACGAUGCCGAACUAUUGUUCGGCUGGCCGAGAUGAUGGUCCGAAGAAGUUGAGCUCGGCUCAACAAAGCGACGACGUGUCUAGCACAGGUCGACCGCCAUGGAGUGAUGUUGUCAGGCCGGUUUGACACCGGCACGAUGGUGAAAAUCAUAUUGUAAAAAUACUUUUAAUAUUAAUGAGAUGUGUUUGAGAAUAAAACACAAUACCCCAUACGAUUACGUCCUUCAAAAAGGAUGUCCGAAAUCCCGUUCGUAAAGAAGAUGAACUUGGGUCGGAUUCGUUCUCGUGCAGAAAACAGAUUCGAAAAGUGAUGCACUAAUCAGAAGGUUCUCAGAGUUCGGACGGUCGGAUCGAGCUGAAUUGUUGGCAGGUGGUAGAUAUGGGAAUUCCACAGCCGAUCAACGGUUGGAUCUUCCAAAGGACGUCUGAGCUAGAUGCUGGACACCCCGCUCCAAACUCGUCCGGAUUCUCGUCCAGAUUCAACAGGGCUCCGCUAUAUCGGAGAUUGCCGGAGAUUCCUCCAUCGGAACUCGAAGAAAUCGUUUAGGCGACACUCGAGGAGGCAGUGGCGGCGGAUACAAGUUUGCUGUCUAGAAAAACAGCACGGUCGCCUGAGGGCAAUCUUGACGUUGAGCCCCCGAGCUCCAUGGAUGACUCCUCCAUGAUCUUGAUAGCGAUCGGAGUUGAUGUUGAUGAAGGCCCUCAUCCGAAAAUGACGAUCAGGGGUAGGGCGCAGUCCUCAGUCAAGCCAAGGUGACCAGUCGAGCUGGUGACGAAGAAGCCAAUGUCGCAGUUGACCUGCAGUCGAGCCAUUGAUCCUUUUGCCGAUCACACAGCGGAACUCUCAAUGAAAGCACCAAUGUCGGUGUCAAAACCGGCAGAUCUCGGGUAGGGGGUCCCGACCUGUGCGUCUUAGGAUCAAUGGCAACAUGAACACGAGAUUUUACCCAGCUUUUGGGAUCUCUUGAUGAGAUAAUACCCUACAUGCUGCUUGAUUGACUAUAAUGAAUAUAGGGGUUACAAGAGUUGAUCUACCUCAAGAUCAUAUGUUGUGGUCCAAACCCUAGAGGUAUGAUGAUUAAUGUCAUAAUAAUCCUCUAUCGACUAGCCUAGCCUCGGUUUAUAUAAUGUACCAGAGGCCUAGGAUAACAAGAGUCCUAACCGAAUACGCCGGUGGGGGAGGAGUCCUUGUCUUGAUCACCAAGUCUUGUGGAAUCUUUCUUGUAUGCGGGAACUGUCCGAACUGGCCCAUGAGUAUACGUACAUGGGGGUGCUCGGCCCAAUCUAACUGAUCGGGGGACGACGUGGUGAGUACCCCCUAGUCCAGGACACCGUCAGUGGUUGUAAAAUUUAUGCAUAUAUUUGAGAAGGAGGGCCUCACUUUGGAUACGGAGAUUGAUUAUGCCAAGUCCACCACUUUGUUUUGGUUGAAAAACCAUGUCCCAAGCUGCCAAUGAGUUACAUUUAUCCCCUUGCUCAGUCUUUUUUGUCCAAAGGCACUUUCUUCUUAUUUUAUCAAGUAGCUCUAAUAUCUUUGGUGGGAAUUUGAGAGUGUAGAGGGCGAAGAUGGUGAGAGAUGUAAUCAUCGUGUUGAGGAGUGACAGUUUUGCACCGUAUGGCAUCAAGGCUAAAGUGCUGGUCAUUCUUCGUUCCAUCAUGCAGACAAGAGGCAUGAGAUCUUGGACCAUAGACUUGGUUAUUCUGAGAGGCAGUCCCAAGUAAGUGAAGGGCAUAGAUCCUACCUUACAGCCAAAGAUAGAAGCGAUGUCGUUGUAACAAUCGGCAGCACAAUUAAUUGGGAUUGUUGUAGACUUGUGGAAGUUUAUCUUCAAUCCAAUAGAAGUAGCAUAGUCUGAGAGAAUAUCCUUGAUAGUCCUAGCUUGGUUGGGUCAAGCGGGGAGUAUAAUGAUCAUAUCAUCGGCAUAUUGGAUCACUGGAUAAUCAUGCUGGUUUUGUCUUUGGAACGGAAGCUGUAUUUUGCCUUGUCAGAAAGCGUCCGUAAUGGCAGCUUGAAUAAGGUCAGCUGCGAGCACAAAAAUGAGGGGUGAUAAAGGAUCACCUUGAUGAACACCACAUUUGCAGAUGAAUUGUCAGCCUGGUACACCAUUUAAGAGGACCGAUGAUUUUUCUGAGGAGAAGAUGCAUUUGAUCCAAUCAAGCCACAUGGCAUCAAACCCCGUGUGUUCCAUAAUUGUAAUCAUUGCAUCAUGCUCGAUCAUGUCAAAUGCUUUUCCAAAAUCUAGUUUUAGCACGACAAAAUUUUGUUUUGAGAUUUGACAGAGAUGGAUAUACACGAAAGCCCAGGCCAAACAGUCUUGUAUUGAUCUUCCUUUGAUGAAGCCAUAUUGAUUAGGAUGAAAUUUUUUAAGUACGAGCUUUUGGAGACGGUUUGCGAGCAGUUUAGUGAUAACCUUGAGGCAGCAGUUGAGCAAAGUAAUUGGUCUGAAAUCAGAAAUUGUCUCAGGUGACCGAACUAUGGGUAUGAGUGUGAUAAAUUCCUCAUUAAUGCUCUCAAGAUUAAGUCCGCCCUCGUAGAAUUGAUUGCAUAGCUAAUAAAAAUCCUCUUUAAUUAUGUGCCAACAUUUUUUCAGAAAUAAGCCAGUGAAUCCAUCCGGACCAGGUUCUCUGUCAGCCGGCAUUUCCUUGAUGACAUCAUCGAUUUCACCCUUGGUGAAAGGGACGGUCAAUUGAUCCAGACCCUCAACUUUAUCUUCGCCACCCAAUUUCACCCAUCGAAUGGUGCAUCUCUUUUGCCAGUAUUGUCUUUCGUAGUUCAAGAGGCGUAAAAUGUGUUUCUUCAGAAUUUUCCUAAAAUUAUGUUCUGGAGUAGAUUUCAGAGAUUUUUGAGGUCAUCUAGAUUGGCUAGGGUAAGAUUAGAGUUUUCAAUUGCCAUCUUAAGUUUAGAGAUACGUUUGCUCCACCUUUUCAACUCAUAUCUAAAUGCUUUGAACUUUCUGCACAGUAAAGUGGCCGCAUUUGUAUUGGCAUGUUUUAAUGGUCUUAUGCACACAGAUUGAACCAAAUCCAUAAAACUUGGGUGCUCCAUCCAAUAAGACUCAAAUCUAAAGAUUUUGCUGCGAGGGAUGGAGGUUUCAAUUUUGACAACACACGGAAUAUGAUCAGAAACAGGUUUCCUUACUGGCAUAACUAGAGUAUUAGGGUAACAUGAAUUCCAGUUGUUAGACAUGAGAAACCAGUCUAAUUGCUCAAGGAGGGGGUCUGUCUGCAUGUUCCUCCAAGUGUAAGCACGACCCUCAAUUGGCAGUUCAAUUAAUUGCUAAGAGCGGAUGAUGUCAUUAAAAGCAAUCGCGUCAUUAGGAUUACCUCCAGGUUUAUUUCUGUUAUCAGGGCUGCGAAUAUAGUUAAAGUCUCCUAGCAACAACCAAUCUUCAUUGGAGGGGAUAUUUAGAGUAUGAAGCCAAUCAGUGUAAGUCACUCUCGGGUCACCCUAACACGGGCCAUGUAUGUUCACCAGGGUCCACUCUUAGGUUGAUUGUGUGGAACGGAAUUUGAUGACAGAACCAUGCCAUGAGAACUGUUCCUGUGAAAAUGGCAUUGUUCCAAAUGGUGACAAUGCCUCCUGAAGCACCUUGGGAGGGGAUGUAUGCAAAUUUAUCAAAUCUUCUUGGGCAACAAGACUUCAGGAACAAGUUAUCAAUGACAUAUUUUCUUUCUUUCUUUCAGACAGAUGACUCCACAGCCACUGGAGGAGAUAGCAUUCGAGAACGCCAAAAGCUUAUGGUCAGAGUUUAAGCCUCUUAUAUUCCAUCACAAAAUAUUCUAGCUCGAUAAAAGUGCCAUGAUAAAAUAGAGCAAAUUAAAAAACAACUAAAAUAAAGCGAGGAAAUAGCUUAAGCAUUGGAGGGGUCGUCCUCAGCUUCAACCAUCAGAGCUUCAGAAGUAACUUCUUCUGGCGGAAUGGCGCACUUGAUGAUCCCAAUGUGUUGCAGCACUUGAACAGGAGAAGGUGGAGGGAUAUUGUCCUUGUUCAGUGAGUCAGGAACAACUUGACCUGCUUGGGCACCAGCACUAGGGACAAUUCUGGGCUUGACUUUAGAAGGUUUAGCCUUGCUGUCAAAAACUGAUGGUAUCUUGAAACCAUCAUACUUAUUAGAGUGGCUGCUGGGACGAACCUCAACCAUAGAUGCUGGUGCUUUCGCUUUGCCGCUCCUGAUUAUGGAUUUCCCCGAGCUCAUAACAUCACUUGCAAUAAAGCCAGUGGGGUCACUUGCAUCAGAACCAGAAGAGGUGGUCAUUGCAUCCAAUGAAAGUGUUGUUGCACCUUGAACAGGUAAGUCCAUCUCAUCCAAGAUUUCUGUGAUGACAACAUUGGAGUUGGAAGUCCUUGGUAUGAUAGCGAGAUCACUUGUUGGCUGAAGAGGGUUAUCCCCACAGGAUAGGGCCCAAGAACUACUGCCAGGGAUCAUCUCAGUGACAUAUACUGAAUCUGCAGUAUGUUGGACAGUUCUGGUGGAAGACAGAAUAGAGAACUAUCCCUCUUUCUCAGCAAUGCUAACAUUAAAUUGCACUGAAAUGUCACAAAAUCCAAACCCCGAGCUCCAGGGGCCAUAUGCAGCUAUAAUAGGCCUAAUAGCAGCUAGGAGGUAAGUGUUCAGCCUCAACAUUGGCACACAAUCAUUCAGAAGCAAAGAAGCAUUGGUGUUCUCAAGAGAAAGCAUAGAAAGAUGCAGACCAGCAUUUGAAAUAGACAGUGACAUUUCCAUGGGUGUUACCUCCUGGGUGGUCACAAGAUUGUAGGUGAUAAAACUCAGCUCGGAUUCGAUGAUCCGGUGUAUUUCCUAUGCCUGUGGCUCAGCUGACAAUCUCGACAUCUUCGGUAGUAGCUGACAUGCGAAGGCGUUGAUUGUCCCUUAUGUACUGCAUCAAGUGACGCAUGAGGUAGAAUCCAUCAGCCCUACUGGUGUGCGGUUGCUGGAUGCGGCAGAAGUCAAUCUUAUGGCAGAAAACCAGCCCGUUCUUCCUGUGCCAUUUCACCUUAAUAUAUCCACCAGACAGGCUGAAGGUUAACAUGGCACUAUUGAGAACAUCUUUACGUGCAUGUAAUCCUUUUUCUUGAGGUUCUUCGAUGAGUCCAAGUGCAUAGCAUGGGAGUAUUCUAGGUACAUAUUGACGAAGACGGCGCCGCCCCCACUGCGCGAAUUAAAUAGACCUCAAAUUAGACUCCAUGCUUGCAAAGGAAUGAUUAGCACGUACGAAAGGAUAUGCGUGGAUGACUUACUAGGGAUGAUAAGGCAGGAGAAUCGCUUCCUUGUCCUUUUUAGCGAUCAUGAAUUCGUCGAGGUGCUUGCUCGCAUAGUCACGGUGCUCUUUGCAAACUGCCAAGAAGCUCUCGUGCAUAUAGUACGCGUCCGCGAUGCAGAUAUAUUUUAUGGUCUCGAUCCUGAUGAAGUAGUUGAGAUACAACACAUACACGUGGAUGAACUGGAAAUCCAGCUUGGUUGUGUGUAACAUGUCGUAGAUGUAGUCAAAUCGCAGGAUGAACUGAUUCGCGGGCCAGGUAUCGACGUACAACUUCCACCUGAGCCACAUAAAGCGGGUAUCCUGGUUCUUUCGCGAUCAGAAGGAUUUUCUCUCUGGCUAGCACAUCCUCAUGGAGUCUCUUUAGAUCAUUGUUCAGUAUGUGAUCUAGCGCUUUGGUAGGUAGUAUCGGCUCACCGGCCACAUGGAAACGCGUCUUACCUUCGACAGGUAUUCUGUCUACCACCCGGGGCUUUAGAGGCGGCUGGCUUCUUGAAGCACCCAUGGAGCCUUUAGUGCCUUUCCUGGGCAGUCUCUUCCUUUGCUUCUUGGCGGGUGGCGGUAGUGAGCCCACCAUACCUUCCCUAACCACCACCCCCAGUGUCGUCGGCCUAAUCAGUGGACGGGCCUCGGGGGGUUGCUCGGUAGAGGCAGCAUCUGGAGGCGUCUCCUGUGAGGAUGGCUUGAAGAGAGACUUUUUUCAUUCCGCCUUAGAACGUUCCGGCUCCGGCAAAUUAGGCAGCAUCAAGUCAUCAUCUGCAUGCUCAUAGCAUGAGUCUUCGUCGUCCUGAGCCAUCAAUCCUCCAUCAUCAUAGGCGGUAUUUAAAUACUUGUCUGGGUCAUCAUCAUCAUCCUCCAUGUCAUCAUUAUCAUUUGCUUCUUCGACAACGGGGGUGACAUGAUCUGGCACUAAUGGAGGCUCUCCCUCGCGUCAUAAGCUACCAUCCGCCACGACAGCUGCAGGUAAUUUGGUAGGUGCGGUGGUGUUCAUACCUUCUUGAGAAUGUGGCGUUGGCGUGAUACUGGGCGCCUCGAGAUGAAGAAGAGACUUCGGCCAAGGCAAGAACCAGCUCUUGCAUGCGCCAAUCAUCUUAGGGGUCUCGUUGUCGUCGUCGACUAGUACCGGAGGAGGCAAAUCCUCGAAGCCCGCUAAGACACUGGCCACGUUAACCUUGAAGACACCAUCUGGCAUCUCUCGGUUGUGGAACAUUUGGUACUUUGGCUUCACGAUCGUUGCCUUUCCCGCAGCCACCUUCUGGCCCUUGAUGUCGUAGAAUAGGGUGCAUGGGGUAUCGUCGGCCUACGAAGGAGACAUGUCUACGACGUCAAACAUCUGAAAGGCAACAGAAACGAAAGACUAUAGACAUGCUGGUGAAAAGGGUAUGAUGCGUAAUUACCGUGAGGGCGUCGAGCUCAGCCAGCGACGAAUGCCCACCGAGCAUGCCAGAAACGGAGGUCGGGCUGCUAUGAAGAGGAACGGGACCUUUUGUGGUUGCUUGGGCAGGUGUUGGUGCUGUGGUGUUGGCCUAGUUGCUCCCGACAAAGCUAGGAAGGGGAAAGUCCUUCGGCCAUGCAUUUCGAUCACUCUUCGACCAAUCAAAAAUUGCCAGAAUCAAGCUGGCCAUCAUGUCAGUGACCAACCCACUGACUACCCCAAGCAACUCUUCUUUCGUCUCAGCUUUGGUCUUAUUAACCGCAAUCACAACCUUCUCUUCAAUGCUCUGUUGAGUGACGACCAACCGUCUCAUCCUUCUUUCCUCUAGCUCCUCGGGGUAGCACGUCCUCCAUGAGGCGCCAUCUCUGAUGUCAUGCACACGUCCAUAGGACGGCGGCUUGUCCACCGGGACCUUUUUCAGUAUGUUCAGGGCCCAGUUGAAUGGGGUGUCCCACUUGGGCCUCGCCGACGACUGUGACGACUCGUCGUUUUCGGCUGCCUUUUGGUGCUACUCUUUCUGCAAAAGGAACAUGGAUGGUUUACUAAUGUGACAAAACUUGAAGUAGAAUUGAUUGGAAGCUAAUAUGAUAAUGUGGUAAUAUAACAAUUACCACAAGUCUCAUGAACUCCCUCGUAUUCGGGUCUGUGUAAAAGAUCUUUUUGACUCUGUCCCACUUGUACCGGGCCCUGAUCCAAUCAUGCUCCAGAGGGUCUGUGAACUCUGCCAAGGGGUCUGGGAUUCCAAGACUUUCACGUUCGGCGUCCUCCUUGGCCCAUAUGUGCCUCUUCCCCUCAUAACAACGGCUUCUGAGGCGGUGGGGAGGCGUGUUCCUGUCCUGGAGCGCCUUCAUUUUCUCCGACUUUUCCUUGACUUCUUCUUUUCCGCAAUUCUCCUUGAAUUUUGCAAAGUCCUCUGCCGUUAUUGUUGGAUUAUCAACAUGAAUCUUGGGCCACGGUUCAUUCUUCGCAAUCGCUUUUUCACCCGAACUUUCCAGGAGGACAAGUCGUUGGUGAACAUCACCAUCGCAUUGUCGCUUAUCUUUGUCAUGCUGACGUCGUCCCAUGGCUCUUUAUAUUUGCCUUCAUCCUGGCAGGGGAACAGGAACCUAUUGUGCAACUUCUUUAGGAGCAUGUGCUCCAUAUGUGGUAUCUACUUCAACAUCUCGUCGUUGAUGUUGGCGGUUUCCCUGAGGAUGCAUCCAUAUUGGUUGCCCUAGCACGAGCGCGCUUCCUCCUGCGCCAUUGGUUCUAACUUCUUGGGGUGCAUCUCUGUGACCACAAUUUGUCUCAUGCCAAGCUCGUUUGGUCUUUGCGUCCUCUUCUUCUUCGGUGCUUUACCGGCUACGACAACAUCGUCGCCGGUCUCGGGGGUGGUGUCGGUGCCGGUGCCAGUGUCGGUGUCGGGGUUGGGGCCACUGCCGCCACCAUGCAGCCCCAUCUGGUGUUCGUCCAGGUAAUCGAAAUAGUUAUUUGCUUCCUCGAUGGGGUCUGCGGGACGAGCAGAACCACCCACGACUUCGACAUCGGUAGACAUGUUUCCUAUUCAACAAUUGUAAAUAAAACAUAUAAUGAAGAGAAAAAAAGGGACUAUAUUUUGUCGGAAUGUUCAUUCCCCUUCCGGCAAAUCCCGGGUACUCCAUAUGUCCUAGUUUCUAGCAUGAAAUUUUUGCCAUGACCUUUGCUAAAAGGUGGACAUAUGGAGUGCGUGAAAUUUGCCGGAACGGAAAUGAAUCAACAUUCCGGCAAAACAUAGGCCACUCGGAUAUUUUUCGGCAUUCAACCAACAUUGCAAAACCCACAUAUAACAUCAAUGACAUAUAUCAUUCAAGCAAAAGCAUGCUUGUACUUUAACACACAAAAAUGACAAAAAUAGCUACAAACUUGUCCUAGGGUUCAUACAUAGCUAACUUGCCCAAAAUUUUGCAAACUUUGCAAAAUUUGCUACUGUUUUUUUAAUGCGCUACUAUUUUUUUAUUUGCUACUGUUUUUAUACCUCAAUUUUUGCUACUAUUUUUCUAAAAUUACUGUUGUUUUUGUAAACUUUGCUACUGUUUUUUAAAUUCUUUUGCUACUGUUUUUUAAAUUCUUUUGCUAUAGUUUUUUAUACCUAAUUUUUUGCUAACUUGCCACAAAAAUUUGGUAACUUUCUAAUAUUUGCUACAAAAAUUUGAUAACUUGCUAAAAAACCAAAGAAACAAAAUUUGUUAAUUAGCUACUUCCCUAAUUAGCUACUGCCCUAAUUUGCUAACUUUGCUAACUUGCUAAAAAAUUGCUAACUUUGUUAACUUUACUAAAUUUGCCCUAAAAUUUGCAUACUUUGCUUCCGCAUUUGCUAACUUUGCUAAAAAAUUCCCCUAAUUUGAAAACCUAGAUGGGGACGAGGGGGAGGAGGAGGCCGGAGGGGGAGAGGGAGGUGGGGGCAGUACCUGAGGAGGAGGAGGUGGACGGAGGGGACGAGGAGGAGUAGGAGGCCAGAGCGGAUGAGGAGGAGGUCGGAGCGGCGGCGGCGCGGACGAGGAGGAGGUCGGAGUGGCGUGGACGAGGACGAGGAGGAGGCCGGCAUCGAGGUCGAGGGCGGGCAGGGCGACGGGUCAGCGUCAAGGUCCAGGUCGAGGGGCGACGGUCGGCGGGCAGGGGCGACAAUGGUGACGCGGGCGGCGCGUGCGACGACAAAAGAGGAGUGGGAGAGGUGGGAAGUAGGGGGAAUGGGGACUUUGCAAAAUUUUGCGCACGCGCGGGCGGUGGUUAACUCAAGAUAGCAGUAGCGCUGGUUUAGGAACCAACGCUAUAGCAGCUAUAGCAUUGGUUCAGCGCUACUGCUAAGUUUUCCAAUUUUACUUUUUUUAUUUCUAAAAUACAAGUAGAAGUAGCGUUGGGUUAGGAACAGCGCUAUAAUCAACUUAGCUAUAGCGUUGGUUCCCUAAACCAGCGCUACUGCUAAGUUUUCCACUUUUGUUUUUUUUAUUUCUAAAAUACAAGUAGCAGUAGCGCUAGGUUCGGAAAAAGCACUAUAGUUAACAUUUAUUUUCUUUUUAUUAUUUUCUGUUUACUUCUCUUUUUCUUUUGUAUUGCUUUAUCCCUUUUCUUUUCUGUUUACUUUAUUUUCUUUUGUAUUGCUUUAUCCCUUUUCUUUUCUGUUUACUUUUCUUUUCUUUUGUAUUUCUUUAUCCCUACGGCGUCUCCCUCCCACACUGCGCUAAUAUGACCGGAUGCAUGCAUGUAAUUGAAGGGAGAUGCAAUUACAUCAUUGACUGAUAACGGUUACCUAAGUGCAUACNNNNNNNNNNNNNNNNNNNNNNNNNNNNNNNNNNNNNNNNNNNNNNNNNNNNNNNNNNNNNNNNNNNNNNNNNNNNNNNNNNNNNNNNNNNNNNNNNNNNNNNNNNNNNNNNNNNNNNNNNNNNNNNNNNNNNNNNNNNNNNNNNNNNNNNNNNNNNNNNNNNNNNNNNNNNNNNNNNNNNNNNNNNNNNNNNNNNNNNNNNNNNNNNNNNNNNNNNNNNNNNNNNNNNNNNNNNNNNNNNNNNNNNNNNNNNNNNNNNNNNNNNNNNNNNNNNNNNNNNNNNNNNNNNNNNNNNNNNNNNNNNNNNNNNNNNNNNNNNNNNNNNNNNNNNNNNNNNNNNNNNNNNNNNNNNNNNNNNNNNNNNNNNNNNNNNNNNNNNNNNNNNNNNNNNNNNNNNNNNNNNNNNNNNNNNUAUAAAUUUAGGUUUCUGAUCAGCUGCGUCAACGACGUUUCACAUUAAGCUUCUUUCCUUUCUUGUUCGUUGCCGAGUAAUUGAGCCCCUCCUUGUGACUUUUCCGGGGCCAUGGAGUAUGAUCUUUCUUUGGUAAUGUAGUCUUGAUUCUUUGUUUCACGUAUGCUUCAUCAUCAUCGUCAUCUUCCCUCAUCGGGUUGCCGUAUUGGUCGUAGUCUUCCUCGUUGGCGACUCCAUCCAUUCCGACGAUGCUCCUUUUGGAUCUCCUCACGACAACCCGGCUGGGAUUAGCCGGGUCGGUUAUGAACAAGCAUUGUGUCACAUGCUUAGCGUAUACCCAUGGCUCAUUUUUGGCGAUACGUUAACGUUCGCGCGAGUGCUCUUCGCGCCGGGUAUAGACAUGGUGGUGAAAUACAUGUUUUCUCUAACAAUGUCCUUGGCCCAUUUGACACGGAACAUCUUCGCAUCGUGCAUUCCAGCAUAGUCCAGCUCCCAGAUCUGUUCGACCCUUCCGUAGAAUCUUUCAGUUGUGUCGUUGGCAUUGGUCAUGCAUUGAAUUGUCACCCCGGAGUUCUGGUAAUAACAGUCCAUGUCUUUGGCCUCCGUGUAGAACGUGUACCCAUUGAUACCGUAGGACUGAUUAGUCGCGAGCUUGGGCGCAGGGCCAUGUGCUAAGGCGUGUAUGAGCAAUCCCUCCGAACUGCCCUCUUCCGGGGUUCUUUUAAGAACUUGCUCUUUGAACCAACGCAAGAAAGUGGCGUUGUGCUCUACAAUAACUUCGCCGUCUGUCUUGAGCAUCCCCUUGUCAUGGUACUUCUUUGCAAUGCUUUCUUUGUGCCGUGCCACAUAAUCAUCUACCACAUCUAGGUGUUGUAGCACUACUAAGUUAGCCCUGUCAAAGUCAUUUCGUCGAUCCGAGUAGUCCACGUGCAAUUCCCUCCGGUCGUUGUUGUGACCAUCUCCUUCGAGCUUCCCAUUGUGCUUCUUGAUAGGCAAACCAACAACAGGUUCUCCGACCCUUAUGUAAUUCUCGAAGAAGGAGACGCACUCAAGCGUCAGAUACCCCUGGACGAUGCUCCCUUUGAGAUGGGACUUGUUACAAACGAAUCCUUUGAUGACCCCAUUCAUCCUCUUGAAAGACAUUAUGCUGUGAAGGAAUGUUGGCCCGAGGUCGACGAUGUUAAAGAAUGCGGACAAACAGAUGCACCAUGACAUUAAAGAACAUGGGCAGGAAGUACAUCUCAAGCUCACAUAGUAUGACAACGAUCUCUUGUUGUAGCCUUCGGAGCUGCUUCACACUUAUGGACUUUCGAGAGAUAACGUCGAAGAAGUUGCAGUGACCAGUAAGCGUGUCACGGACGUGCUUGUCUAUUAUCUCUCUAAUGGCAACCGGGAGUAUCUGCGUCAUCAUCACGUGACAGUCAUGAGACUUCAUCCCGCUGAACCUUUUCUUCUUGGGGUCUAGAAAUCUGCUUAUCUUCCCACAGUAACCGGAACGGACUUUGAUUCCCAUAAGGCACUUGAUGAAUUGAUCGAUCUCCUUCGCACUUAAGGUGAAGCAAGAAGGGGGGCAAUAAUUCUCCUCCUUCUUGUUGACUUUUCUGCCCCUUUCCCCCUCCCCUGUCUCCGUCUUUGUCUCCUCCAUCAACUUUUUAUGGUGGAGAUCUUUCUUGAUCUUCAAAUCUCCCAAGUCUUCCUUGGCUUCGGCCCAUCCUUUGUCUUCUCCGGCAUGUUCAUCAGUGUGCCAAGCAAGCCCUCGAGGACAUUCUUCGUGAUAUGCAUUUGAUCAAGGCAAUGAGGCGUGUCGUGAUUGGGCCAGUACUCUAAGUCCCAGAAAACAGACCUCGUUUUCCAUACCUUCAGCAGCGGCUCCGACGCCUUUUUGAUCUUUCCCGGUGCGGGGCAUUCUUCCCAGUUUCUCAACAGCUCAUCGAUUUUGGCGCUACUCCUCUUACGUGGAGGUCCUCGAAGCUAAGCCAACCCAUUGGAUAGAUCUCCACGCUUUCUCCACAGGUCAUCCUUCUUGAGCCAUCUAUGAUGCCCCAUGUACAUGAUUUUCCCGGAUACGCCAUCUUUUGUUGACAUAAGCUGCUGAGACAUUUUAUCAUCCAUGCACCUUGUGCAUCCACAGUAUCCGUGGCACACCUGGCCUGGGGUGUACCCGUAACCGAGAUAGUCGUGCACCAUCGUCAUCAGUGCGUCUCUCAUAUGGAAAUACUCUCCUUUGCUGGUGUCCCAUGUCCAUGCCGGUGAUUUCCAUAAUGUUUCUAGCUCCUCUUGCAGAAGCCCCAUAUACAAGUUAAUACUAUUUCUCGGUUGUUUCGACCCUUGAAUAAGCAUGCACAUGUGUUUGUACUUUUGUCUUCAUGCACCUCCAUGGGGGAGGUUGUACAUCCAUACAAACACAGGCCAUGUGUUGUGGUUGGUGCUCUGGUUUCCAAACCGAUUCAUGCCAUCGGUACUCGCACCAAGCACGAUGUUCCAUGGAUCUUAUGCAGCAAAUCCAUACUUGGUGUUGAAUGCUCUCCACUGGCUACCAUCUACGAGGUGUCUCAGCCUCGGAUCAUCUCCAUCUUUGGUCUUCCUCUCCGCGUGCCAGCGCAUGAGCUUUGCUUCCUUAGGAUCUACGAAAUACCGCUGCAGACGGGGAGUGAUCGGAAAGUACCAUACAAAUUUCUGAGGAGCUUUCUUUCCUUCCUUCUUGUAUCGAGAAGCAUUUGACACUGGACAGCUGGUUUUUCCACGUGCUCCCCCAAAUAAAUGAUGUAAUCGUUGAUGCAUGCGUGGUACCUAAUGUGCGGCAAAUCAAAAGGGAAAAUGAAUUUCUUGGCCUCCUCGACACUAGUAGGACACAUGUUCGCCGUAGGAAGAACUUUAUUAUGUAGAUACUUCAAAUUCUCAUCAAGGCUUUUGUCUGUCUAUUUGUUUUUGGCCUUCGUCUUUAGAAGUUCGAGCGUAAAACUCAAGCAGGUCAUCUUGGGAUCGCAACCGUCAUACAAUGGAGUCCUUGAGUCUACUUAAAGUUGCGCCAGCUUGGCCUCCUCUCUAGAGGAAGCUCUCUCACUAGUCGUACUCUUGCGAAGGAGGUCUUAAACAUGAGGGUCCUGCACGACUGCACUUAGUAGCAUCGAAGACUGCGGUGUGACCGCCGCCUCUUCUCCGCCAUGUCCGGACUGUUCUUCGCCGUGUCCGGAAUCUUCUCCGCCGCCAUCAUUUCCGGACACUUCCCCGCCGCCAUGUCCGGCGCCAUCGUCUUCGUGUCGAUCGGUCAUCUCUUCGUCUAGCCCCAUGUCGUUAUUCCCUACCAUCUGGACAUCCUCAUCAUCAUCAUCUUCUUCUUCACUUAUCCACUGAGUAUAGCCAUCCAUGAAACAAUUCAUCAGCAGGUGCGCCUUCAAAGUGCCACGAUCAAAAGGGUCCAAAAGGACUCCUUCCUUGCCCCUUGCAUCUUGCACACAGACAUCUAAUCCUAGUCCGAUUAUUUGCAUACAUGUCCAUCACCGCGGAUUGCAUGUACCGCUCCAGCUUCCAUCCACUCACCUUCAUGACCAAUUGCACGGUAUAACAAGCAAAAGGGUUAUAAAAUAAAUAAUGCAUGCAUGCUUCAAAGUCAUAUAAAAUUUUGGCAUGACCUUGCCUAAAAAUAGGAGAUAUUGGGUUUGCUCAAAAUUCACCGAAACGGAAAUAAAUCGAUAUUUCAGCAAAACAUAAGCAACUCGAGGGCAUGUCACACUCGCACAAAUCUCUCCAUGUAUAUAUCUCAAACACACGUAUUCUCAUUCACACACAUAUUCCCAUUCUUGAAAUGAAAAACUUUUUUACUCACCUAUAUAUCUCCCGAGAGAGACCGAUCGAGAGAGCACGCGGUUAAUUAGAUGAUGAGAGAGACCGAUCGAGAGAGCAUGCGUGGAUGGCUAAAUAGCUAGCUAGAUCUAGUUGUUUGGGAGGAGAGGUGAAUCUAGCUAGUUAACUAAUGGAGAUGGAGUUAUGGUGGAGGGGCAUUAAUGGGGAGAGGAAGAGAGGUAGGAGAAACAAAGAUGUGAGAGAGGCCAUUUAUGGAGAAGAGUUGUGGUGGAGGGGGACAUUAAUGAGGAGAGAAGAGAGGUACAAGGAAGAGAGAAGAAGAGCAAGAAUGGUGGAGAGUAGAGAGGGGAAAGGAGGGGGAGAGAGGGCAAAGUGGGGGAGAGGAGGGGGAGGGGUGAAAAGGUGGCACCAGCCGCAACUAGUAGUAGCGUUGCUUACCAAAAUGCGCUGCUGCUACCGUACUUAGUAGCAGUGCUUUCCUACAGAAGCGCUACUACUAAGUGGGGCCCAUUAGCAGUAGCGGCGCACUAAAAUACAACGCUACUACUAAACUGUUAGUAGUAAUGCUGGAUUCUGCACAGCGUUGGUACUACAGCUACCGUCGGUGGCCUCGUCUGGUCCACAUAGUAGUAGCGCGUUUUUGGUUUCCAGCGCUACUGCUAUACUGGAUCAGCGCUACUGCUAACUAGUAGCAGCGUUGACUAUUUUCCAGCGCUACUGCUAACUAGUAGCUGCUAACUUGUAUAAGCAUUUCCCUAGUAGUGUUAAUUUGAUUGACAGAUUGCACUUCUGGUUUCUACAGCUAGUUCUAACUAAUGAUUGAAAAAUAUAUCUACCUUAACUCUAGACAACCACAACACAUUGUCACUGCCUAACAGUGAUGAACCCUAGUGAUUCAAAUAAAAAAAUUACAAUGGCAGUGACCUAUAGCAGAAGAGGGAGGGAUGAUAUGUGCACCUGGGUUGGAGCUGAGGGUUUCCUACAGUCUACUUUGUCGCCGUCAUCAUCGCCUGGUUUCGUCGCUGAAACCCUAGCAGAUGAGAGUGGGAGGCACAGAUGCAAAACACACCUCUAAUUAAAAAAAUUCCAAAUGGACCAGAUGAGAGUGGGAAGCUCAGAUGUGUACCUCAAGACUGGAGAACGACGACAAUCGCCGGAAUCAGCCAAAAUCAAAGCGGCACGACCAGCAGCGAGAGAAGGAGAGAAAAGGGAAUGAAAUAGAGCAGCGGGUCAUAGAGAGGGAGUAGGUUGAGGGGGUCGUUGCCCCCGUUGGUUUUGACCCCCAUGGCAUUCUAAUACUAUUUGGGCUUGCCCAAUAAGAAAAAAGAUCACCACCUAAAUAUUGUCAACUCAAAACUAUAUAUUUCUAGUCUUAAACUAAAAAGGAAAAAAAGUAAAUUUAACAAAAGUACCUAUAAUAUACUAUUAAAAAGAUCACCAAAUAAAAAUCUUAAUUUUUUUUGGAAGUGUCUAAAUACAUAUUUGAAGGCUCAAAACUAUAUAUUUAUAGUCUUAAACUAAAGAGGAAAAACAAUUACAAGUCUCAAAGUACAUAUUAAUAAAAUGUCAUUAUUUCCAUUUAAAAUAAUAGAAAUUUCAUAAAAGUAAACUAUAAUAUACUAUAAAAAAGAUCACCACACAAAAAACUAAAAAGAAACAAAUUUUGAAGUGUCAAACUACAUAUUUGAAGGCUCAAUACUAUAUAUUUUAAGUCUUAAACUAAAAAGGAAAAAAUAUUAAAGCCUCAAAAUACAUAUUUAAAAACAUGUCAUUAUUUCCAUUUAAAACAAUAAAAUUUUAAUAGAAGUAAACUAUAAUAUAAUAUAAAAAAGUUCACCACAAAAAAAACUAAAAAGAAAAAAUAAAUUGGAAGUGUGAAACUACAUAUUUGAAUGCUCAAAACUAUAUAUUUCAAGUACUAACUGAAAAGGAAAAACGUAAAUUUAAAAUCUUAAGUACAUAUUUUUAAAAAUGUCAUUAUUUCUAUUUAAAAUAAUUGAAAAUUAAUAAAAGUAAACUAUAAUAUACUAUAAAAAAGUAUAUACCAAAAAAUAGUAAUAUAAGAAUGUUCGCAUUGACAAAAUAACAAUACCGGCGUCCGUUAUAACAGCACGCCACAACUAAAUAUAAUAGUGUUGGCGUUCCAUGCUAUUCCACGACAGCAAUAUAUUACGUCUGGUACAAAUUGUUGAUCUCAUGUAUUUCUGACACUGCCUUGUUUUCGAACGCCACCACUAUGCCCCUACUAAUGUCGUACCAAAUCAGCCAACGCCAUCACUACUUGAAAACAAAUAGUGGUGGCGUUGGUUGUAAUGGAGCGCCACCAACGAAAGUUGUGGCUAGCCCUUUUUCCACUAGUGAAGAUUGAGGGAGGCCGUUAGAUAAUGUUUAUGCAUAGCUAUCGUGUAGACACUUUAUAAUGGGAUAGCCACACCCGUAUUGGGUGUCGUGCAGUUUCCCACAAACAUAACGUUUUACAAUCCUGAGAGGCCAUCCAAGGGAGUCCGUCGUAGGUUGAUGCCGUUUUUACCCUCUCUAACUAAACCUAAAGUGGCGAAGUUACUAGCAUGUCGCCAUGUCCUUGCACUAGAGAAGGUAGUUGGGGACUAGACGAUCGUCUUGGAGAUGGACUGAAAGAUGGUUGUGAGCAAGCUCAACUCUGAAGGGAAGGACGGCUCACCCCAUGGACCGGCGGUUGAAGAUGUGAAGGGCAUGCUAGCUCCAAACUUUUAUUGAGUCCAAGAUCACUUGGGUUCAUGGAGUGAUGAAUUGUAUUACCUACGUCUUAACUAAUGAACAUUGUCGGAAUGAGUUGUGAAAAACAUCGCUUAGUGUGCCUCCGAAUUGUACUAGCGCCAUUUGAACUCUGGCAUUGCCGAGAACUCUGAAUACAAUGGCAACCAUUCUAUCUAAAAAAUGAUUCCUUACAGGUAUCUUUUACCUUAUCAAUAAAUCGAGUAUAAAAAAUUCAGUUUAAAUUAGAAGCAAGGUGAUUAUCAACAUACUUAUUUUAUUCCUUAUCUAUAUCUUAAUGCAUGGCUAUAAUAAGAUGAUAUACUUUUCGUCAAAAAGUUGCUAGUAUUACUUUUAAUUGACUAGGGAACUAAAUCAUGACUACGACUACCUCUGUCCUGAUUUAUUAGCGCUCCUUGUAGUUUGGGUCAAACUUUGAAAUUUAAUUUAACUAUUAGAAGAAUAAGUUAUAUACUCUAAGAAUAGUAUCACUGAAAUCCUCUUUCGAAUAUGAAUCCAACAAUAUAUGUUUUGUGACAUACAACUUAUAAUUUGUUAGUCAAAUCUACAGUCAAAGUUGGACACAAAAUAUGAAAGGGACCAAUAAACCCGGACGGAUAUAGUAGUAGUAGUAGUACUCCCUCCGAAACAAAUAAAUGCACUACCAAAUGCUCCCUCCGUCCCGAAAUACUAGUCGGAGAAAUGGAUAUAUCUAGAUGUAUUUUAGUUCUAGAUACAUCAAUUUUUAUGCAUUUCUACGACAAGUAUUUCCGGACGGAGGGAAUAAUAAGUGUAUAUUUGUUUCUAAAUAUGAAAAUAUUACUAUUAAAUACUACUAUACCAAAGAUAUAAGAAUAUUAAAUACUAGUAUACCAAAGAUACACAUAAAUAUAAGAAUAUUUAAUAGUAGUAUACCGAAGAUAUUCUACAGUUAAAUUCUAUUAACUCUGUUCCAAAAUAUAAUAAUAUUACUAUAAAAUACUAUUAGCUGUUUUCAAAUAAUUAGUAAUAGAGAUAAUAUUCUUUAGUAGUGAUAUAUCUUUAUUCCUCAUUAAAUAUAAGAAUAUUACUAGUAUUAAAUACUAGAAUCCCAAAGAUAUAUCUAAUAGUAUACCAAAAGAUAUACAACAAUUAAAUAAUAUUACCUCUGUUCCAAAAUAUAAGAAUGUUACUACUACCUCCGUCUGGAAAUAGUUGUCAUCAAAAUGAAUAAAGGAGGAUGUAUCUAGAUGUAUUUUAGUUCUAGAUACAUCUUUUUCUAUCUGUUUUGAUCACAAGUAUUUUCGGAUGGAGGAAGUAUUAAAUACUGUCACGGCUAUUCUUAUAUUUAGUAACAGAGAUAAUAGUAUUUAAUAGUAGUUUAUCAUUGUUCCUAAAUACUCCCUCCGUCCCAAAAUUCUUGUCUUAUAUUUGUCUAGAUACGGAUGUAUCUGAUACUAAAAUGUAACUAGAUACAUCCAUAUUUAGACAAAUCAAAGACAAGAAUUUUGGGACGGUGGGAGUAUAAGAAUAUUAUUAUUAAAUACUAGUAUAGAACUAUAUAUUUAGUACUAUACCAAAAUAUAAGAAUAUUUAAUGGAAAUAUACCAAAGAUAUGCUACUAUUAAAUGCUGGUAUUAAAUAAAUAAAUUUGUAGUUCAACACGCGGUCCCCACCUUGGCCCGUGCCUUCCGUUUCAGUUCAUAAAGGGCAACACAUGCUUCGCCUCCCCUCUCACAUUCUUCUCAUCCCGCUCACCUCAACCAACUCCGCGCGUCUGUUCGACCGAUCCUCCGUGAUGUCUAGCUCCGGCGUCAGUGCCAUACCCGCAGCCAACCACGAGGAGCACAGCUUGGCGGCCCCCGCCCCGCCCCCUGCGGUCGCGGUCGCCCAGGGGAAAGGGAAGAUGCUUGCGCAACAGGCGCCUGCGCCGGUGGUUCGCAAGCGCAAGCCUGGGAGACCCCGGGAGAAAAGCCCGCCCCCAAUGGCCACCAGAGAGGAGCUGGAAUUCAGGGAGUCCCGGGAAGGACCCUUGAACGUGCUUGCGCUCCCGGCGCCAGGGGCCCCGCCUGCUUAUGCUGUCUCAGACUACAAGAUGGUGAGUUGCACUCGCGCCCCCACACGGCGUGCAACCGCUGUAUCCGAAGACAAGAUGGUGAGCCGCGCUCGCUCCUCCCCCCUCUGCUACUAGUGAUUUGAAGUUAACUGGUGCCUAAUGAGCUAGAGUUAUUGACAAUCUUUAAUCUAGUCAUGUGAAUUAGUACUAGUGCUUAAUGAACUACCUGAUGUGUAUGUGCAAGAAUUACGUGCUGGGUAUAUGUCCUUGGACAUUCUAAUCGUUGCGAUCUCAUCUGGCAGAAGGACAGGAACCAGAUGGCGCUGGUGGUUCGCAGGCGCAAGCCCGGGAGACCCCGGGAGAAAAGCCCGCCCCCAGCGGCCACCAGAGAGGAGCUGGAAUCCCGGGAGUCCCGGGAAGGCCCCUUGAAGGUGCUUGCGCUCCCGGCGCCAGGGGCCCCGCGUACUCACGCUGUCUCCAGCGACAAGAUGAUGAGACGCGCUCGCGCCCCCACCCGGCAUGCAAACAUUGUCUCCGACGACAAGAAGGUGAGCCGUGAUCGCGCCCCCACCCUGCAUGCAAACCGUGUCUCCGAUGACAAGAUGGUGAGCCGCACUCGCUUCCCCCUCUCCUACUAGUGAUUUGGAGUUAACCGGUGCCUAAUGAUUUGAAGUUACUGACAAUCUUUAAUCCAGUCAUGUGAAUUGUACUAGUGCUUACUGAAUUACAUGAUGUGUAUGUGCAUGAACUACGUGGUGUGUACAUGUCCUUGGAUUUUCUAAGCAUUGCGGUCUCAUCUGGCAGAUGGACAAGAACGAGAUGGUGCCGGUCCAGGGGGUGUCGCGCAUGCGGGGGAGCAUCGCGUCGUCAAGUGUGGUUGGUAAGUAUACUUUAUGCUGCUUUUUAUUGUCAACAUCGUCUCCAUGCAGGCUACACUGGCAAACAAGCUGCUUAACUCUUGUGCAUGCUGGUUUUUUGUCAUCACUAGUAUACUGGUACUGGACUGGAGCUUGUUAGCUCUGUCCAUGCUGGGCCUUUUUGUCAUCAUUAGUAUUGUUAUAUAUUAGCUGAAGCUGCACAUGUUUUCUUUCCAUUGACGUUGGUGCGGGCGGUGCUACGCGUCAGUCGGCUGAUGGAUGGACGCCUUACUCACCUGAUUUUAAUCAAGUCCCACCUAGGUGUAGUUUGUUUUGUCACUAGCUGUGUAUACAUAGGCGAGCUCCAGCACUGCGUUGCAGCGUGGAAAACAUAUGAACUGUAAUAAGAAACAUGCAGUGGCUAGAAACAUCUCCACAUAUUUUUUCCAACACGUUUUAGGUGUCAACGAAAUUAGUCGGAUCGCCAGCCAUCGAAUUGACACAUGGAGCAUUGGAUCACAAUACACGGCAGCAGAGAGAAUGGAAACCGUGUUUGUCCAUUGCCUCCACAAUACAUAUGUAUCCACCACCCCUCCUACAUCGUCGCAACAGACAAUUACGUCGGCCCCUUCCGACACCUCGCUUUGGUACCCUAGAGACCCUGAUGUCGCUUGGAUAUCCUGCAAGUAUUAUUACAGUGCGCCAACAAGGCGUCGUCCUUGCAACAUUGUCUUACAGACAAUGUAGUUGAUGCCACCACCACCAUCACCCAUUUACACAUGGGCCGUCGCAUGUGGCACUGUUCGUGGGAUAAAACACACCCCGCGAGAAUACGUGGUUGCACCACUGCGAUCUAUGCACCUUAGGAAUUGUUUUGACUGCCCCUGCAAAACUAGCGAUGAUACGGCCAUCGCCCUGCAACAUUGGCCAUAGUUGUAGCACAUCUGAGAAGACGGAUGCCGCACCUAACAACACAGUAUGUGUUUUUUGCACCAUAAGAAAGCACUGCCUUGCAACGUCGGCUAUCAGGGUGCUGCACUGACAAACACACUCACGACCUUGAGACGUCGUAUGCCUUGGCCGAUGUAGCAUAGUGCUCCUCUUUCAGCACAUAGCGAUGGCUUGUAGCAUUGAUGGUCGGAGAGUCGCUGCAUCGUUGAGUGGCAGUGCUAGCCAAACUCAUUGUCAUAGAGAAGGGGGAAUAAAGGAUGGGUGUGCACGUGGUGGAAAUAAAGCGAAUGGAUAUGGUGAAGAGAGAGGAUGACUAACAAGGGGCAUCUGGCGCUAGAGCGAGCUGACUGAUUUCCCCCUAAAACCAGCCUGUUGAAUAUAAUUCAAUUUUCUUUUGAGAGACCUCAUAAAAACGUCGCAACAUGCGAGCAUGUCUAUACAAAAAAUUGUAGAUAUACAACACAUACUCAUUAGCUGCAACAAAUCAGUGAAAAACACAAUGUAUAUAGGCCUGAACCGAUGGAUCAUCAGCAUGCAUCUGCCAGCUCUUCCUAGGUUACGCCCAACCGUGAGUCGUUCAAUUGGGUCACACAUCACUACCCAAUCAACCACCAACUUAGUUGUUCCUCUCGUCUCCUCUACCCACCCUUGGCAACAUACACCCAUGAUUCUCAGCAAUAGACCAACAUGGAGGCGACAAUGGUGGCCAUGAUAGGCUAGUGAAAAGCACACUGGUUGGUCAACCUUACAACACUAAACAGAAACAUUGCAACAUGAGGUAACCCCAACUUUGUAGCACUGGUGCACCAUUUUCAACCACCUUGUAGCAAUGAAAAGUUCACUGACCAAUAGCAUUACUGCACCAAGUUACCGGCUUCCAGCACUGAACACCCGGGCUUGUAGCACCGCGAUGAUCGAUGGUCGGCCUUUCAACAGUAUUAGUUAACAUUGCACACCUCGUCUCCAUUUUUAUGUACAUACGCAUGAGUGACCUUGGAACAUCAGUAACGUGUCAACAUUAUCAAACUUGAAGACGAUAAAUUUGUUUCUCCAAGCAUCGACAUUACUGAAUAAGCGUGCAACUGCACAUCCACCACAUGAGCCAUAAUUUUUUAGCCCUGCGACAACAGCUUAUAGUUGCAAAAGAGCUGACGAUGAUGGUUUAGAAUGUAUAUGAUCAAAACAGAUUAAAUGGAGGGGAGGGUGGACUACCUAUGUUGAAUCAGACUAGCCGCAAGGUCACAAGUGCCUUGUCUAAAUAGCCAAAAAGACAAAAGGAGGCCUCCUGGAUUCUCCAUCCCGAAGCUAAGCAUAACUCCAACUCCAGACACGCUAGGGGGCUACUAAAGGUGCAAUACGGUAGGGGUGUCUUCUGGGUGGGAAGCCUGGUAGCAGGCCUACCUUAGGGCCCAAGAGGCCAAGUGGAGGAUCGGUGCAGUAGGGCAGCUCAGGAGCCCAGAUAAGGACUGUGAGAGCAUCUUGGCAUGCAAGCUAAGAUGGCAGUGGUAUGAGAUCUGAUGGAUUCCUUGUAAACCUAGCCCUUGCCACCUAUAUAAGGAGGGGCUCGGGGUUGUCAUUCACAUAUACUCUCAUAGACUAUACUCUUUGUAGCAUUAUACUUCAUCUCCACUCUAAACCCCUCGCACAAGGUGCUCCGCCAUGAAUAAAAAUCAGAUACAGGAAGUUGGGCAUUACCUCUCACCGAGGGCCCGAACCAAGGUAAAAACCUUUGUGUGAACUCCCUUGUCAUGGAUCCCUACAAGUUCACCACCCUACUAUGGGUACUCACAUUUUUACAUACUGUCACAUAGUUAAGUUCUGACACAUUUUCUCUGGGGAGUUGAAACAACUCAUGGUGUAAGUAGGUGUUGCUUGAAGCACUGAUUCUACUAGCACCUCCUUUCCAGCCUUCGAGAUACCUUGUCCUUCCUAUCCAACCACUUUGCCAUUUGAGCUUUCUUUAAGAUGUUUAAAAUUUCCCUCCUUUGACCUACCCACCACGGUUGGAAGCCCCAAAUAAUGCUCGCUCAAUGCCUUAGGAUCUGUGCAAAGAUAUUUACAACAACUUAGUCCUCCUAUUUGCCUCACUUCCCAAAGAAUGUUGAGGCUUUUUGAAAAUUUACCAUUUGUCCCGAGGCCCACUCGUAGUCAAUGAGGAUAUAUUUAAGGUUACAAAGUUGCCAUUUGACGGUUGAAGAAAUACUAUACUAUCAUCUGCAGAAAUAAGAUGGGCUACAUGGGGGUUAGUGCUCCCAAAAGAUAUACCAUUGAUCUCUUUAUCUUUGAGCACUCAUGAGAAAGGCCAAAAAACUCGCAACAUAGAAAAAAAAUAGGGAGACCUCUUCAUAGUAUAAAAAAAAUAGGGAGCCCUCUUCAUAGUAUAAAAAAAAUACAAAACACACUCCUUUCAAUUUGAUCGAAAACCUGGCCGGGGUACCACACAUCAUAAUCAUCAAGAUCAACCUAUCUGAGAAACCAAGUGCCCUCAUCAUCAGAUCGAGGAAAAUCUAAACCAACCUCUUAUAGGCCUUCAUCCUGUAUAGUUUAAUUGCCAACAUUGGAUUUUUUCUAUUUCUUGAAUGUACUUUGCUCCUUCGUGAUCAUAAUGGAUAGGACAACCUUCAAUCUCUUUGCUAGGCCUUUGAAGCAAUCUGACUAAGCGUGUUCAAUAAGUUGAUUGAUCCCAUUUGAGGAAGUAUCUCCAUUUAGGUAAUUUUGGGGAUUAGGACUAGAACCAUAUCACUAAAGUUUGGUGAAAUAACUCCAUUAAAAGAAUCAUCUAUUACUAUGCGUACAUCAUUUUUUAGAAAUAACUAGUGAAAUUGGUAAACAUGAGUGAGAGGUUGUCUAGCCCCUGCGCUCCAGUCAAAUUUAGAAUAGUGCAUUCUCAAUUUCUUCAUCCAUCACGUCUGUGUUCACCCUCUCCUCCAUAUCACUAGUCACACAGGGUCGGAAGUGAGCUAAGAUGUUGUCAGCAUCAGCAGAGGCUUCUGAAGAAAACAACUAAGCAUAGAAAUCGGCCGAAAUCUUCCACAUCUCAUUGUCAGUAGUACAACUCGUGCCAUCCGCCCUCAUGUUUUGAUCGUCUUUCUUGAGAAAUUCCACUCGAGAACAUUGCAUACACAUUAUUUGUUCCUGUGCACGAACCACAUGAAGCUAGGCUUCAAUCUCGCUGGUCUUCACCGAGGAUGUCUGGAUCCCAAUGAUCUACCCUUUCCAUCGAAGCUGGAACUUGUGCCUAGUUAUCUCACAACAUACAAGACAAAAUACAGAGCCACUUCAAUAUUUCAUAUCAUUGGUGACAUUGUUAUGCUUCAUGUAGAGCUCACUCUGGCCGGAAUUGUUAUCACAUGCACACCAUCAUGCCUCCAUGGGCAUCCACCUCUCCUCAAACGUUAAUGCCUUGUUCUUACUUUUGGUAAUGACUAGGUUUUCUAGCGCUCUAUUAACGAGCAAACCAUGGUCUCGUCCUCCAUGACAACAUGUUCAAUGGUUGUAUCCUACAAUGAAUGCACGACUUCAUCAUUGCAUGGACCCCUGUCCACAUGUACAUAAAGCAUCUCAUCUCGCUCCCUCUUAUUGUCCCAAGUGUACAGGUUGCUACUAAAACAAAGUUUUGAAACGCUAUUAUUGGCUACACUCUCCCUAAUGCGUUCCAUUUGUGUGAAACUCCUCAAGUAAUCUCCUAGUUGUUGUGAUUAAAAGAAUUCUUUGUUGAGCUAUCAUUGUAAUAGAUAAAUGUAUUAUUAGGAUCCAGUUUCUCGGAGCCUCCCUUAGCUACACAAAUUUUCUUCAAUCUCUCUUCCUAUCAAGUAGCUUUAGGUUAUAAUCAUUGUGAUGCCUUUGGUAGUCACCAUCACCUUGCCUCGUAUUAUGAACAAAAGUGCCUCAUCUGCGUUGCUCUGAGGUAGAUGGUCAUCUUUCCCAAUGGCCUUGCACCCUUUCCCAUAUAUAUUUUUUAUGUCUUGCUUCCUUUCAUGCUCCUUUCUCAUGUCCCACUUCCUUUUUAGAUUUAAAUCAUCCCUUAGUUCACAAUCAUGUCACAGAUCUUGCCUGCAUUGGUCCUCCCUGCACUUCAUCUUAGACAGUGACCCUCUACAAGACCAUCUCGAGGAUCCUCGUAGAGAGAGAGAGAGUCCACAGAGGGUGUAUAAUCAUUGUAUGACCUGCACGUAAAUGGACGCACAUGCAACGCUACAUGACCCAUCGCCCAUAGACGCCCUUGCUUGACCUAGUGCUCCCAAAACUAAAGUUCCUCCUUUCUUUCACCAGCCUCUACUUUGUUUUUGUCUGUGAGGAGCCACGUCCAAGUUAUGCCCUCAACCAUUCACCCAACUGGGGUGAGGAAUCAUUUUGUGGUUCAAAUCAUCCGUCAACAUGUGCUAGUCUGUCGUAGUCAAUCCAAAAGAGAGGUAUCUUCUCAAAUUGAAAAUCAAACAAGGUCCCCUCAUCUUUUGCUGAAGAGUGGAGAAAGAAGCCUUAGACUAGUGAAAGAAAUAUGAAAAUUCUAGCUCUUGAUCUGAGAUGGUUCCCCCAUAAAUCCAUCCUUCUUAACAUCACUCUUUACCACGCCACGAAGACAAUUCCCAAGAGCAUUCCCAAAAGUAUAUGAUCAUUUAUAUAGGGGAGGAUCUGUAAUUAUCACCCAUGGCUCCGUCAUACAAAACAUUAUCUUUGAUGACCUAGUUUUUUCAUCAUAAUCCUUCAAAAGUAUCACAUUAAAACCAAAUUGCCACAUUCAAUUAUAUAGAGCGUGCUUUUAGACUCCUUUGUUAUGGAAUCUAAAGAAGAAGAUAUUAUUUCUAAUGUGACUUAUUUGGGCUUCCUAGUAUAGUCCCAUGUAUGUUGCAUAGCCCUAGCAAACACGUUGAUGUUGAUUUGCUGGAGUGAGCAUGCCUUUCCAACCACUGACCACCAAGUAGGCCUCGGUCGGUCUGGAAUCCUGAUCCUCAAACAUGAGAUCUAUUAGUUCCUUUUGUUGUCAAGUUCAGGGCUCCUUGUUAAUUUGGUUGAGAGUUUAGCUGCCUCCCCUGAAGCAUUUCCAUCUGUCAGGGACUUUUGAAGGUUCUCAUCUUAACGAUCCUUGGUCGCCAUGUUCACUUGAGCUGUCGAUUUACGCCACGCCUUCUCUCCCAUCACCGCGAAAAGGAGUGGAAGCACCAAGACCAGUGAAUGUAGGAGUUUACAGUGUCAUCACCUCAUAGAUGAAUAAAAACCUAACCCUAGCACUACUUGUCGGUCGCCUAUAAUCACCCUUAGCAUUUCUUUUCAUGUUGGGCCUGCCACUAGGUAUUUAUACGUGUGCUUCCAUUGGUACUUUUUUUUCGCUGGAGCAUUUCUGCUACAUUUGCCUUUCUACAAAGGCGGUCUCAUCCAAAUCAUAUAGUCUCCUCUAUCUAUAGGAAGCGAGGACAUUAGCUCUUCUUUUUUUCAAGGCAAAUACACUUGCUACUGUUCAAGCGACAUCUAAAGAAGUCUUGUCACAUGUGAAGACGACGCUAAGAGUGUGACACAUAUAGGUGCCAACUUGAAGAAUAAUGCAAAUUUCAGUAAAUAUGAAUAGCUCCAGGGGAACGAGCGCACAAAGGAAUCAGCCACCAUAAAUGGAUCAUUUCCAAAGAAACAAAGUCACAAAGAGAGAGACAAGACAUUAGCUUCUUUAUGGGGAACACAUACAUUUAAAUGUUGCCUUGCUCUCUGAUUAUUAACAAGAAAUAAUUUUUACUAAUAUAUUAUGUGUAAAUCUUGAUAGAUAUGGAAUGUAUUUUGGUCAGUAUGUUUUAAGGAAUCAUAUUAGUUUUUGGUAUGUUGAAAUUAGAAGAAGUUCAUGUGCCUUCAAGGCAUGUCAAGGUGUGUUGUUCCACCUCAAAAUUGGUACAUACUAAAUGGUUAUUCUCCCUACAUAUAGUCCCAAUUCUCAUGCUCUCUCUCUCUAUCUAUCUAUCUAUCUAUCUAUCUAUCUAUCUCUCUACAUUUUAUAUUCCAGACUACUCCAUAAAGCCUAACUGGUGAAGGUCCAGAAACACCCAGCAGUGAUGGGUUCAACUCCCAUUAGUAGUCUAUACUUAGUGGAGGAGAAAAAAGCCAAGCCCGGCAAUGGUGAAUAAAUCAGAAAAGAAAAUAAGGCCAUGCCCAGUCCAAAUCCGGCACCUGCCAACAAUGUGUAGUCUCCACUACUCGAACCUACUUUUCCUCAGUGUGUUACAUCAUGUGAUGUUUGGAGAAGCCAUAGAGUUGGGGAUCCGAAUAUAGAAAACAACAAUGGGGAGUGGCUUGAAGAAUAGGAGCCAAGAAGCCGGACGGACAAGGCCUCCGCCAUGCUGUACCAUUGGCCGAUACUGACCCGUAUGGUGCAAGGACCGAGGCAGAACUGAACACCGUCAUCAUCUAGGUUGCAAAGGAAGUUGGACCACUGUGUUUCUUCUCUCGGACAAACUCAAUGAUUUCAUGCAGUUGGCACCCACGCCACAUUCCACAGAGAUAACAACAUUGAGGAGGAGGAGGAGGAGGGGCAACGCAAGGUUUCUUCCUCAUAGGAAUUACUUUCGAGGAAGUGGGGGACGGUAUGGCAUGAUGAGCAGUUAACAAGGGAAGUUUGCAUGACUGUGGAGGACAAAUCAUGAAGACAAGUGUGCUAGUAGCUAUAUAAGGGAUGAAUGAUAGCAGGAAGGAAUAAUGAGCUUACUGGGUGAGGCUACUAUUUUUUAAGUUGCGACCUACUGAUCAUAACAACAAUUGAUCGUAACAACGUACCAUUGAUGAUAUAGGGUAUUGAUUUAGUAACUGUCACGAUGUGACUAGGGCUUGUAAGCGGUGGGUUGUAUAUUACUAACAAGUAGCAUGUUUAGCCUCAAUAUUGUCCUCUGUCACUCGUAACAUCGUACCAUUGACGGACCCCGUCACUACUACCUUUUUCCAACAAAAAUAGAAUUUUAGUUAUAGUAAGAUUCACAACAAUCCCGCCGGCCAUUAGUGCUAAGUUGCACUGCUGACCGGUUUUUUGACCCACCACUUUUGAUCGAUAACUAGGCGAGACCUCUAGUCUGGUGCACAUUUCUUUUGUUCAGAAUUUUUAGUGUUUUUAUGUGUACAAAGACAUAUAUUUCAACCCUAACAGGUUCUCUUUAGGUGGGGUCGAGAGUGAAGGACUGGGGAGCUUGGAAGCAGGGGAAAUGGCACCUCAAGGGGUUCAGGUCUCUAUGAUCAAUAACCACAAUUUUGAUCUGAAUGAGCUGCCGACUGAGCAUGAGUAGCUCAAGAAGGAGUAGUCACCUCUGGAGCAAGAGUAUCCGCCUAUGGCACAACAUGAGAUUUAAUAUUCACAAUGGUUGGAGGCUACUCAAAUCCCUCUUGUGUGAGCAAAGUUAACUCUUGGCCCAAAGUGUAGCCCUGUCAGAAAUUAUCGAAACAAUAUCCUUAUCCCAAGGACGAUUGUAAAGCUUAUGUGGAACUUUUGAAUUUCUCACUUCCUAUUUUUUGUUGAUUGACUGACGCUAUUGCUAAACUUGAGGGAAGGACCUUGUAUACUGCUUCAUGAUCAACGUGUCAACUGGAAAUGGCUUUUCUAUUCAUUUCCCAUGAUGGUUUUGAUAUGUGGAUUGUUUGAACAAGCAGGUGUUCAUUCGGUAAAGCUUUGUGAAACAUCAACGGUGGAGCUAGGUCUCUGGUCAUGUGAAAUGAUAGUAGGUCAAGAAGUGUGUUGGAUCAUGAGAUAACAUAUUUUCUAAGUUGUUAAUCAUGUGUGUUAACACCAUGGGUAGUAUGAGAGAAGGUCAACAUGCAUGUUUGGGUCUGAAAUGACCUCAUGACCAAAAAAGGGAGAGAAACAUGGCUAAUAGGAAUACGAACGAUAUGGAAGUUACUUGUUGCAUGGAUGUUAACUGUGGUUAUGAAGCCACACAAGAUGUCAGAGGACCCGCAUCCUUACAUAUCAAGGUUGACUUCACAUGCCAACUGGAUUUCGUCUAAAUUAUUGUAUAUGUAUGUAUGUUAUAUCUUGAAAUCUUACCAAACAAAAAACACCAAAAAAUACACUAUUUACUUCUCUUUGAUGCAUACUCUAGUUGGAGGGUAAUCAAAAGCUUAUGUGGAUAUUUGUCCAUAAUAGAAUAUACAAUGGUCUAGUGAGGCAAGGUGUAAAUGGACAGGACAAUAGUCGAACAUGAAAACAUCCAACAUUGUGUUAUAGUUGCAUCAAGUUGUCUAGUGAGUUAAUAUGGAAAUGGAGGAGGCUCAUAGGGCAACACGAGAACACCCAACAUGUAGCUCUACUUACUUCCUAUUGGUACGAAGAGACCGAGACUAGUGAACGGUUAACCAUAACACAUGGACAAGAUAUCUCAUACAAGAUGAAAAUGGAGUGAGUCUUGUAUGAAAAUGAUAACAAAGUAUGAGUGUGCAUAGCAUGCCAUCCCACAUACAUCAACUAUCCUACAUGUGAAUCAAAUCCACAUCCUACAUGGGCAUUGGGCUUUAGUUGGACUACCACUUUAUGGACAAGCCAUGUGCUCCAUGUAGUCUAUAUUGCAAAGGCGGGAGGACAGGGAGCAAAUAGUUUUCGAUGGCUGGACAUUGAAGUUAUUUGUCAAGAAAUUUGUUUCCUGACAUGGUUUGUUUAUUUCAUUGUUUAGUAUUCGAUAUCGGUUCAAUGCUCUAGUAUGUAACCUUCUUCUCACAUUUUGGGUCUAGCUCUUGGUGUUCAUGAGUUCAUUACUUAUGUUAACUAUUAUUGUUGUGCCUACUUGUUCAUAAGAGACUAUAAAAAUAACUAAGAUACUCCCGUAUUUAUAUUAAUAUAGUUGGCACUAAGGUAAUCAUCAACAUUGAAUAUUGCUCAUAUUUGUCAAAUAGGAGGUCAAGCUGGAUCUGUCUGGCGCAUCAUCUAUGGUCACAUAUGGUGUAUUGUCUAUUCUAAACCCAAUGAGUAUUGCAGAAUGACAUGUGCCUGCGGGGAGGAAUGAGUCACUGUUUUGGGUCAAGGGGUGAUGCCAUGCCUCAUAAUUGACAAUAAAAAAUUAACCACCUACAUAAAAAGUCUAACCCAAGACAGGGAAUAUGCGCCAUUGCAAUUUUACUGCACAAAGUCAUCGGUAUUUUGCAAUUGAAUGUUCCCCAUGUUGUGACUGAGAACACAAAACACAAAACACCCCACAAAACACUAUUCACUUCUCCUCGAUGCAUAUUCUAGUGGAAGGGUAGUCAUAACCAUAUGGGAAUAUUUUACCACAAUAGAAUCUAUAAUGGUCUAGUGAGGCAAGGUGUAAAUGGAGAGGAUAAUAGGCGAACAUGGAAACAACCAACAUUGUGUUGUACUUUCAUCUAGUUGUAUAGUGAGAUAAUAUGGAAACGGAGGAGGCUCAUAGGGCAACAUGAGAACGCCCAACAUGUUGCUCUACUUACUUCCUAUUGUUACCAAGGGACUGAGACUCGAGCAUGGUUAAUCAUAACACAUGGAAAAGAUCUCUCAUACUAGUUGAUAAUAGAAUGAAUCUUGUAUGAUAAUGCUAACAAAGUAUGAGUGUAGAUAACAUGCCAUCUCCUCCCUUUCUUGUUGUAUUUUCCUUCACCAACCCCCAUAGUACCCUGAUCAACACUAUUAAUUCGAUAUGCUUCACAUCUGAGUUAGAAUUGUGAUUGGGAAUAGUUGUAUCAUUAUCUAAGUAGACUUAUUUAAGGGGAAAUAACGGACAUGUCUUAUCUAUUAUAGCCACAUUCCGGAUAGGAAUAAAAAAAGUUGACAUAACAAUAUAAUUUGUUGAGAUUUGAAUCGAAAAUUCAACAUACAUCAACUAUGCUACAUGUAAAUCAAAUCCUCAUCCUACAUCGGCAUUCGGCUUUAUUUGGACUACCACUUUAUGGACAAGCCGUGUGGUCCAUGUGGUCUACGUCACAACGGCCAGAGGACAAGGAGAAAAUAGUUGUCGAUGAUUGGUGAUUGAAGUUAUUUGUCAAGAAAUUUUUUCCCCAACAUGGUUCAUUUAAUUCAUUAUUUAGUAUUUGAUAUAGGUUCUAUGCUCUAAUGUGUAACCUUCUUCUCACGAUUUGGGUCUAGCUGACAGUGGUCAUGAGUUCAUUACUUAUGUUAACUACUAUUGUUGUGUCCACUUGUUCGCAAGAGACUAUAAAGUUAACUUAUAUCCUCCCGUAUUUAUAUUAAUAUAGUUGGUGGUUAGGUAAUCCUUGACCUGGAAUAUUACUCACAUUUUUCAAAUAGGAGGCCAAGCUGGAACUGUCUAGUGCAUCAUCUAUGGUCACAUAUGGUGUAUUGCCUAUUCUAAACCCAAUGAGUACUACAUUAUGGCAUGUGCCUGCAAGGAGGAAUGAGUUACUCUUUUAUGUCAAGGGGAGCGGCAUGCCUAAUAAUUGUCAAUGAAAAAUUAAUAGUCUACAUCAAAAGUCUAACCCAAGAAAGUGAAUAUGUGCCAUUGUAAUUUUACAACACUAAGGGCCUGUUCUGAUCUUGUCCAGCUCCACGCUUCACAAAUUCCUGGAGCAGAUACGAGCCGAAUGAAAUAGCAGCGAGAAGCUAGCUCCAGGAAGCUAGGAUCGACUGCAGUGCAAAAUCAUGAAGCAGACUCGGCCCAGCUCCACCGAUCUGGAAAGCUGAAGUUAGCCCAUAUUACAAGUGAACUGCCAUAGCCAAAUCAUACAAGCCGAACCGGUACGCUCGAUCAGUUUGAUUGCUCCUCGUUCCCUCGCUCGUGCUCCCUCACUGCUCCUCUACAAGGCCGAUUUGGGUUGCCUCCAGUCAGCCCAACUAGCUCGAACAAGCCACAACCCUUCUAGUUGGGUUGCAGUGCCGCGAGAAGCUACAAACCGAGCAUAACAGAUUUUUCAUCGCUGCUUGGAGUGAGAAGCUACUCUGAAAAGUUGAAUUUCUUAAGUUUUGGGAAGCUAGAGGAGAUCAUAACAGGCCCUAAGUCAUCGGUAUUUCAUAAUUGAAUAUUCUCCAUGUCGUGACUUUUGAUGGUGUAAACCCAAAUAAUCGCCAUUGUGAAAUUAAAUUCCUCUCGUGAGUCGAACCCACAUCCAUAAAGAUGUGCCACUAAAAUCCACCUCCAGGCUAUCUUGGAGUCCUUAAUAUAAUCAAGUGUGCCCAAUAUGGUGACUUAAUAUGUAUUUAUUGACCCUACGAAGCUAAUCACCUCCAUCAAGACCCAUUCCUGGUUCUCCUAUAACUAGAUUCCCCGAAACCACGAGAAUCCUUAGAAUGGGAUUACAACUUAGCACCUUUCGUUUUCACAUAGUAAGAAGAGUUGCUCCUUGGAUAGCACGGUACGAUCAAAGGUGCAACCUGUGUUUCGGAGGGAGUUAUUGUCUCGAAACUUUGUUCUCAGCUAUUCCGAUUCCAUCAAACGGAGGCCAUUGGGUCAAUGCUGUAGUGCACGCCCUGUAGUUUUCAAGUGGGGUGAGACAACUUUAGAUAGGAACCUAUUUUCAUUCUGACCAGCUCCCUGAAAACAAUGUUCGACUUCAUGUGUAGUCGGUGUAGAUGUGUCAUUGCAAUGCCACCACUAGGAUAUCAACAAGUCAUAUGUAUUACAUGACAACAUAUGCCACCAUAUGGUGACUUGAUAAAUUAAAUGGAUUUCACCAAGCUUUCGUGUUACAAUUAUAGUGAAGAUAGUGACUCACAUGUCAGCCUCCCUGAUGGGAAGCAAAAUCACUCUGACUUUGGCAACCUAAUUUUUGGUGGAUUCAAGCAAACAUGUUGGAUUUGUAUUUUAUUUAUUUCAACAUAUAUAAUUCAUAUAAAUAAAUCAAUUCAUAAUAGGUGUCUUAGAGACACCCAUGUCAAUAAUGUGAAAUUAUGGGAAAUCUUAUUGUGUGCAUCAACAUAAGCCAAAACUCGUGGCUUAAGAGAUAUGUGUACAAUCUUCCAAUGGUUAUUCCCCCUACUAAAUUCAUGAUGUUAACUAGUUCCCAGAAGUUGAGAAAGAAGUUUAGUCAUGGGAUCAAUGUCCAGUGCAUCAUAUUUCCAGUUCCCAAAAAAAUUUGUUAUGGAAGUUGAGAAAGAAGUUUGGGCAACAUAUUUCCAGACACCUGUCAUGUCUAGGAUCUUCUCAAGCCUAGGUAAGCUUAGUCAUGGGAUCAAUGCAGGCUAUUAGUACAUUGACCUGGUUCUUAAUUCAAGUCCUCCUUGCUUGAUACAAUAUUGAAUGGAAAGUACAUAAUCAAUUUACUUAAGUGGGUGAACAAUGUUGGCUAGUAUAUUUCAACACUCACCUCACAUGCAUCUUUUAGAGGCAUAUAAUGCAUCGUGAUGGAAACAUUUUUUCUAUAGACUAAAUUCCAAUGGAAAAUUUUAAUUAAUUUAAUUAGUAGCAAUCUCGUAUCGCAAGGAUAUAUGGCAAAUGAAAAUGAGGGCUCAAAUGCUACUUGUUGGCACACAAAAGUCAAGUUGUCUUUUUCCUCCCAUGUUGAUCCUCCGUGGUUCGACAUUGGGCAUUACAAAGAGAUCAAGUUAUCUUUACACACCGCUAGAGCUACCAGACCCUGGAUGUUCCAUCAUGAAUGUCCAUAUGGUGCAAUGAGUGAUAGCGAGGUAUAUUAGAACAUAUAGUUUACACCGUUAAAGUAAUUAAAUGGGCUAUUUUUCCUACUAUGAAAAAUAGUAUUUUAAGAGAAAACUAUAUAAGAGUUUGUGAUCUUUGUAUGUAAAAGCAUUAUUUGCCUUUGCUUGGUGUUCACGCAGUUUGAUUUAUGGCAAAAAUGGAAAAUCAUGGGACAAUAAUUGUUGAUAUUUUUUGCCGGAAAGCCAGAUCUUUUCACUUUUCAGAUCACACAAAGUAUUGUUUUUCUUAUAGGGGUGAUAUACAGUGUUCUAAAUCUGCACUUGUGAUUCGUUGUCCAUUUAAAUCUGGUUUCUUCCACAGAUUAUGUUGGUUUGUUGUUGUAUUUAUCUCAGCACUAAAGUAUACUGAUGUUAGCUAAGUCCAAUCAAAGGCCCGUGUUUUUAUCAUGUUAUACAAAUUAGUAAGCUAAGAUCUUACCAAACUCAAGUUACAUAAGCCCAGACUACGUGAAAUACACAUCAUGCAGUACACAUGUUCAUCUUAGUGUUAUGUUAUACUUGGCUCCGAGAUAACAAAUGGUAUCAAUUAUUACUAUCUUUUGCAGCUUGUUUCUGCCUGUUCAUCGUAGAAUUAUCUUAUGUGGUCUCCCAAGGUUCAUACAACUUGGAUUUUUCAUACUUUGGUAGUAUUAGUGUUCACUAGGACUAGGUGCCACUCUGCAGAACCUGAGGAUACAGAUGGAGAAAGUAGUCAUGGUUUUUUUUUCAAAAAGUUUGUUCAUAUCUAUAAGAGGUUUAUGAUUUUUCAGUGUAUAGUGUUGUGAAACCUAGAGUGUUUUAUCUCAUUUAACAUUGAACUACGCUUUCAAGGAAAAACCUUCAUUUGACAUCGAACUAUGCAUGCAGGGCAAACACCCCGUGCUUCGGUGCCACCGCGCCGCGAACCCUGGGAGCUUGAACCUGGAUGGGUGUGAACUUCAGAUUGAUGUCAAGGUUAGGGGUCAGUCAUGGAUAGAGAAUAAAGGGGACUUUGCAAAACUGUUAUUAAUAAUAUGGAUGAAACAUUGCCUUGUGGAGAGAAUAAGAUAUUUCCAGAGAUAUUUAUAAAUGGAUGCAUACUUGAAAUAGCAGUACAAAAUAUGAUGCUAACAUUUUAUUUUCAUUGUUGUUCCCAUUAAACUUCUGGUGGUGGCUCCAUUAUUCACAGCCUCGCACAUGAAAAUGUUAUUUCGUUCGGGUAAAUGUUGCGUGUCGUUGCUCCUGUAGUUUUGCGGUUUGCAUCUCCUUGAAACUUGUGAGUUGGAUUUUUCGAAGUUGCAAUG